rnacentral:lncRNA from 1 species
AAGAGAUACGGAUACUGCUGCAUCAUUUGCUCCUCUGAUUCCCAAGUAGCUUCUUCUACUUGAUGACUUCUCCACAGCACCUUGACAAGCGGAAUUGUCUUGUUCCUAAGCACUUGCUCCUUUCGGUCGAGAAUCUGAACCGGUUCCUCUUCAUAGGUCAACUCUCUCGUCAAACUGAUCGGCUGCUCUUGCAGCACAUGAGAAGGAUCGGCAAUAUACUUGCGAAGCAUGGAUACAUGAAACACCUUAUGUAUCCUAGCUAACUCUGGAGGCAAGGCCAAUCGAUAAGCAAGUGAGCCAACUCGCUCUAUAAUCUCAUAAGGGCCAAUAUACCUCGGGCUAAGCUUCCCACGCUUACCGAAACGCACAAUCCCUUUCCAAGGAGAUAAUUUCAGGAACACCCAAUCACCCACUUGAAAUUCAAGAUCUCUCCUACGGACAUCCGCAUAACUUUUCUGCCUACUCUGAGCAGUCUUGAGUCUAUCUCUAACCACUUUAAUCUUCUCAUUCGUAACAUGGAUUAACUCUGGGCCACAAAGCUCUUUUUCCCCUACUUCAUUCCAACACAAAGGUGUGCGACACUGCCUCCCAUAAAGAGCCUCAAAGGGAGCCAUACCAAUGCUAGAAUGAUAGCUAUUAUUAUAAACAAAUUUCAUCAACGAUAGGUUUUUAUCCCAACUCCCUCUGAACUGCAAGGCACAAGCCCUCAACAUAUCCUCCAAAGUCUGAAUAGUCCUCUCGGACUGCCCAUCAGUCUGAGGAUGAAAAGCAGUGCUGAAGAGUAAUUGGGUACCUAAAGCUGCCUGAAGAGCUCCCCAGAAUUUAGAAGCAAAUCGAGGAUCCUGAUCUGACACUAUUGAUUCAGGAACACCAUGAAGCCUCACAAUUUCAUUCACAUAAAGCUCCGCCAAUUUAUCCAAUUUAUACUUCUUUCCCACUGGCAAGAAAUUUGCAGACUUGGUGAGUCUAUCCACAAUCACCCAAAACUAGCCUCACAUGAAAACUAGCCUCACAUGAAAACUAGCUAUCAAAGCACCAACCUCAUCUACUGAUAAAUCCACUCCUGUAGCUCGCAACUCACAAAGAAGCGGAACACGAACCAUCUUUAUAUGAGAUAAAGAUAUGGAGGGAUUUCGAUGAAGAGCAUCAGCUACCACAUUAGCUUUUCCAGGAUGAUACUCAAUAGUGCAAUCGUAAUCAUUGAUUAACUCCAUCCACCUUCUCUGUCUCAUAUUUAGCUCCCUUUGAGUGAACACAUACCGAAGACUCUUGUGAUCGGUAAAAAUCUGACACUUGGCUCCAUAAAGAUAGUGUCUCCACAACUUGAGAGCAAAAACUACCGCUGCAAGCUCCAGAUCAUGAGUAGGAUAAUUCCCCUCAUGCGGCUUCAAUUUCCUAGAAGCGUAGGCAAUAACUCGAUCAUGCUGCAUCAAAACUCCACCUAGACCACGUCUAGAAGCAUCACAAUAGACCACAUACUCUCCACUAUCAUCCGGAAGUGCCAAAACAGGAGCACUUGUUAAGCAAUUCUUCAAUUCUUGGAAAUUUGCUCACAUUGAUCUGACCAUUCAAACUUAACCCCCUUCCUGGUCAAUCUUGUAAGAGGAGCAGCAAUCUUUGAAAAAUCUUUCACAAAGCGCCGAUAAUAACCUGCUAAUCCCAAGAAACUACGAAUCUCCGUCACAGUGGUGGGUCUUUUCCAAUUCGACACUGCUUCCACCUUUUGGGGAUCCACACUAACUUCUUCUGCCGAAAUCACAUGACCCAAAAACCCUACUUUAUCUAGCCAAAACUCACACUUGCUAAACUUAGCAAAUAACUGCUAAUUUUCCAAAGUCCGCAAUAUUAUUCUUAGAUGCUUGGCAUGCUCCUUCUCACUUCUUGAGUAAACCAAUAUGUCAUCUAUGAAUACGAUCACGAAACGAUCAAGGUAUGGACUAAACACCCUAUUCAUGAGAUCCAUGAACGCCGCGGGUGCAUUAGUAAGUCCAAAUGGCAUCACCACAAACUCAUAAUAACCAUAUCGUGACCGAAAAGCAGUCUUGGCUAUGUCCCCCUCUCGGAUCCGCAACUGAUGAUAACCCGAUCUCAAAUCAAUCUUAGAGAAAACAGAGGCACCCCUCAACUGAUCAAAUAAAUCAUCGAUCCGAGGCAACGAAUAUUUAUUCUUCACUGUGACCUGAUUCAACUUCCUAUAAUCAAUGCAUAGUCUCAUGGUGCCAUCUUUCUUCUUAACAAACAACACUGGAGCACCCCAUGGAGACAUGUUAGGCCGAAUAAAACCCUUAUCUACCAACUCCUACAAUUGAGUCUUCAACUCUUUCAAUUCCGCUGGAGCCAUUCUGUAAGGUGCCUGAGAGAUAGGCAUAGUUCCAGAAAGUAAUUCGAUAGAGAAGUCUAUCUCCCUUGUAGGAGGCAAACCAGGCAACUCCUCAGGAAAAACAUCCGGAAACUCCCUUACUAUAGGAAUAUCUUCUAAUCCCACAACUCCCAUACUUGUAUCCACCACAUGAGCUAAAUAUGCCUGACAGCCUUUACUCAACAAUUUCCUUGCAGCAACAGCGGAAAUUAUGCAACUAGAAAUAACAUAUCUUUCCCCUUGGAAAGCAACCUCAAAACCAUCUGGACUUCGAAGCACCACUACUUUUUGAAAACAAUCUACCAUAACUCUAUAUGCUUCCAAAAAGUCUAUUCCCAAGAUCACAUCAAACUCCACUAUAUCUAAAGCUAUUAAAUCAGCCUCGAAAUUAACUCCUUCCACUAAAACUUCAUAACCACUAAAUACCCAAUUUAUUCUCAUCACCUCACCGGAGGGUAGAGACACAUGUCACUCGCCUGGAAGAGACGAUGAUGGCACAUUGGCAUGGAGGGCAAAUCUACUAGACAUGAAUGAAUGCGUGGCUCCGGGAUCAAUUAAAGUAAAAGCAGGCUGACCAAAAAUUAAUAACGUACCAAUGAUGACAUCUGGAGAAGUACGACCCUCCUGCUGGGUCAUAGCAUGCAGUCUAGCGCGAGUCAUGGGACGUCCACGCUGACCACUUCCCCGCUGAGAGCCACCUCUGACCGAAGCACUGCCCUGGGCACCACUAGUAGAGCCUCUAGCUGAAGACUGACCAACUGGCUGAGUAGGGGUGGGGGUCGUCCUCUGAGCCAAUAAUGAACAAUCUCUCCUGAAGUGGUCCUGACUACCACACUCAAAGCACCCAGAAAACUGCUGCUGCCCAUAAGAAAAAGUCUGGCUUCCGGAUGACCCACCAUGGAAGCUACCACCAGAAUCAUACUGCCCAGACUGCUGCCUACCCAACUGACUCCUAGCAGGUCUCUUGUGACGUCCUCUAACCCUGAACCAAGAAUUAGAACCCGAUCCCCCACUACUGCCACUACCAGCUGAAGAACCAGAAGCGGAUGAUGAUGCAGCUUUCUUGGAUGGACCCUGACUGGGGCCACCGAAAUCUCGUGGCCGAACACUAUAAAUCCCCAUAGACCCAAUGGCCAUGGCUGCAUGAACAGUAUCAAGAAAAGUCGGGUAAUAAACACCCGUCAUCUUACCUACAAACACUCCACCAAGUGCCCCAAUGAACAUCUCCAUCCUGGUCCUCUCAUCAGGAACCAGAUAUAACACAUGGUAGCUCAGGGAAGUGAAUCUCUCCUGGAACUCUAUAACACCCUCAUCAUCCCUCUUCUUCAUAUUCAGGAAAUCUGACUGUAUUCUGCUGCGGUGGGCAGGACUGAAAUACUGCCCCAAGAAAAGCGUCUUAAACUGCUCCCACGACAUAUUCAGAGCAUCCUCAACAUUCUUGCUAGCGAGCGACCACCAGUGAUAUGCUGAAUCAUCCAGGAAAGUCACUGCCAUCUUCACCUUCCUUUCUUCUAGCAAAUCUGUGCUCGCAAAAGCCUUUUCCAUUUUGUCUGCCCAAGUAUAAGCAUCAAGGGGUCCCUUGGCACCCUUGAACUCUCUUGCUCCAGCCUCAUAAACUUCUCUCCUCUUCACUGUAUGAGGGUGUGGAGCUAGAUCUAUAACAUCCCUCAGCAUAUUUCCAAUAUCAUCAAUCAGUCCCCUGACCUCAUUGUCCUCAUCGGCAUUAGUCGAAGUAGCCACACGGGGUUGCCGUGGGCGCCUAGGAGGCAUAGUACCUGAGGAAGAAGAAAUUUAGUAGUCCAUAAACAAGACUAACACAACUAUCACACAUACCCAAUAACACAUAGCAUCAAAAGCAUAAACUAUCAAUGAAUCCGCCGCGGUCGGAUCAUCACUCUAUAGACACUACGUGCUACUUAGGCAAAUAUGAUAAUGACAAGGAAGCAGGAAAAGGAAACCUAAAGCUCUGAUACCAACUGACACGACCCGCCCCAAAUUUCACCUUGAAACCCGGAGUAAGUCGUGCGGGGACCAUCUCCAAGGAAAAUUUUACCGAAAAGAUUGGUAAAACCUCCCUUGAAAAUGGACAACCCUAACUCAAAAAUUUCAAAUUUACACUCUUACUACAACACGUUCAAACUUCACAUAAAUAUCCAGCUAAUAAAAGGAAACAUUAUCCUUCAGAAAUUCUAAACAUCAAAUCAACAGGUCGAGCACACCACCGAAAUAAUAUACAACAAUCCCAAAGUAUCCAGAGCUACUAGACUCUAGCGGAAGCAAGAAAACACGAGUAGGUUGAACAGGUAACCUACUGAGGAAAACUGGCGGAAAAAUGGGUGACUAUGCUUCGUCUCCUACUAGAUCCAACCCGAACUCUGCAGACUGGGCAUUUUAAAACAAAGGGCUCAGGGGAAAAACAUUUAAUAACGUUAGAGUGAGUGGACAAAAAUAAAUUAAUAAGAAAAAUAUUUAUGUUUCCCCAAAUCCAUUUCUAAGGAAAAAAUCGAAUGCAUGCCGCAAGCGAUAAAAUAUCGAGCCUCUCACACUCUAUAAUAUAUGUAUGUAUUUAUACACGUCCAUACUCCCUAUAUAAAUUCAUGGGUGUAUAUAGGGCUACUACGCUCGAGUCCAACGCUCACGUCACGCCUUAAUGCGGUGCUACACUACGCCAUUAAGGUGGACAGAUGGGUGUAUAAAUAUGUGUCCAUACCCCCUAUGUAAAUUAAACACUCAUAUAGGGCUACUACGCUCACGUCCAACGCUCACGUCACACCAAAAUGCGGCUAUAUGCUACGCCAUUAAAGUGGACAGACACAUAUGGCUAGCUAGCAUUUAUAUACAUACUCUCCUCAUAAAUACAUAUUUAUAUCCAUCGAAAAUCUCAUUUUCGGUAACUCUCCAAGAGAAAUAAAAAUCGUCAAAUUAAAAUGACAUCAAAAUAUUCCGCAACAUUUAUUGUUCAACCAUGAACUAUAGCAUGCAUUUAUUUAAAAUAAACGUCCACUCACAAAUUUGGCCUAAGCCUGAUGUCGAUCUGGGGUCUCAUCUGCUCGAGCCUCCUCACGUCCUGUUCCAAAUAUAAUAUUAAUUUCCCACUAAAAAUCCAAUAAUUAAAUAAAAUUGGCAAAAUUAAACGUGAGCCUCUCACACACCCAUCAUUGCCCAUCUACGCCAUUCUUAACUCAAAAUGGCUCAACCUUCACCGAACAUACCGCAGCCGUAAAUACAACCUCCCCCAAAAUACGACUUAAAUCCUACGGCCGGAUUCUAUAUUAUUUAACCACCAAAAAUACCACACUUCGGAAAUUCAUAAACCUAUCCAAAACUCAUCCAAAAAUUCCAUAACUCACUUCAAUAAACUCCCCUUAAUAUUCCAAAUUUAACAACAUUAAAAAUCUCCCAAACAGCUCCGGCGACCUCCAAAUUCUAUGAAAAUUUGACAGCAUAAUCCUCUUAUCAUGCUCUACAACUUCCCUAACUACCACAAACCCAAAAUCCAAGCCUAGCUAGGGUAAUCGACUAAAAACAUCCUAAAAGCCCUAGAAAUUUCAACUCCACAUUUCUCCUUACCUAGCUCAAGAGAGAGUGAGCUCUUUGGAGGGGUUGCUGCACGGGAGGAGGGCUACAAAAUGAGCUAAGGAUCGUCAGCUGUGGUGGCCGGAGGAGGGAGUUCCGGCGACGUGAAGCUUUGGACAGUCGAACCUUUCGGGGGAGAGUGCUCCUUCACGGCGGAGCUAGGGCGGUUGUCACCGAUCCAGGGAGGUAGCUGGGUCGGAGGCCGUCAGUUUGGGACCGGAGCGGCGGCAGAUGGUGGCCGGACGGCGGCAGGAGGACGGCCGGAAAACCGGGCAGCGGGAGGAAGAAUUCGGGGGAAAGAAAAUCGGGAGAAGAGAGAGAAGUGAGUGUGUGGGUAUUGGGCCCCUCCCACACCCGGUCCAAACCCAUAUAAAUCAACCCACUCCAAAAUAAAACACCCCGAAAAAAUAAUACCCUAAUAAAAUUACCUUUUACUAGCUAAAAUUUACCAUUUUUACCGUCGUCGUAUUUUCCUCCUACGAAUAAUCCUCCGCCCAUAAUCGUCCCCGAAACCCCUCUAGGAACCAAUUAAACUAUUAUCUCAAUGACGGAGACGGUAAAAUUCUUAUUAUAAUCAAGCUAGUAAAUAAGGUAAAAAUUUAAGGGUCGGGAUGUGACAGUUACGCCUUGAAGUGGCUGAUGGAAAAAAGAGUAGCAAAGACAUGGAGAAAAACUUAUUCAACUUUGGACCUUAGACUUAAGAACAAACCUAGCUAAUCACUGCCUUCCAUUUCCACAAAACAGGAAGAUAGACGGAUCAAACUCACCAAGUAGGGCUAUAUACUAACACGGAUCAAAACUCAUUUGGUGUACUAAUCUUAAAUAACUCAUUAAGUUCCUUGUCCUUGGCCUUCUCUUCCUCCUUCUUUUUCUGUCAAUUAUUCCAAUGUCAUAAACAAGACUUCUUUCAGUAGCUUAGUUAGGAACUGAAACCCAAAAGUAAGCAUGCUGGCCAAAAUCUAACCAUUAGGUCUUUUCGGUCCAGCAAAGAUGCACAUUAUAACACAAGAGUCAGCCAAUAACCAAAUUUUAUUCUUUUAAUUGAGUGUGUACUGAUUACUAAAUCUUAAACCCUCUAAUGUUGUCCUCUCUGAUUUCUGCCAGAAAUCCUAUAUGGCUAAUCUUCCAUCUUUUCUAUCUAUUCAGUUUCCUAAUACUCCUACUAUCUAAACUCUAAAGUCAAACAUCUCAUCACCACAAUCAACCUUUUUCCUACUUCAAUACAAAGGCCCUUUCAUCUCAUUCGUCUACGGCUACUGUAAUGUACCUUGAAGUCCAUAUUGACAGAUUCUUCCGCCCAUCUCACCUCAGUUAGGACCCCAAGUCCCUUUAUGCAAAACACAUGUUACAUAUCUGCUCUAUAACUUUCAUACAAGGCAUUCUUCCAAUUCAGACAGACACACAUAUAUGAGGAACUAAAUUAGCUAAUUAAGCCUGAUUCCAAACCAGGAUCCCUGCAUUACGUUUCGAGUAUCAAUCUCAUAUGUCUACUACACAUGAUUCCUACCAUUCUUAGAGCUAAGCAACCAAAUUACAACGACUAGUUUCCAUUCUUAGACUUAUAUGAACUCACACUUAACUUUCAUACAAUACUAAUAGAUUAGACAGAAAGACUUUACAGAAUGAAGCAAUUAGAAUAACUAUUACGAGAGAAUACAAACCUCAGUAUCGGGGAUUUUGAUAAGACGUAUUUGCACACGCAUCAAUUAACCCUGUCAACAAAUCAAUCGUAGUAUAAAACAAGCAGGGAUCGUUCUAAACCGGGGAUCCAACUACAGGGUAGAUCCAUCUAAUCUAAUAUAAGUGCCGAAAUAAGCAUAUAGGUUUAAAGGUUUGAUGAUUUUGGAAUAAACAACAUUAAUAAUAAAUCCUAAAUUACUUCUAUACAUAUAUACAUAUGAUCAACCAACAUUCAUGCAAACUCAACCAAACAACCAUGCAAGAAUAAAGAAGACGAUUUCUAAUCUCAUUUAAGUCUACACCGUGAGCAAAUAUACAACCUAAAUUUGAUAUGCACAUAAGUUCCUACGUGGUUCCUAUGACAUAGACCAACUUAGAAUUAGACUACGGGUUUCAUUCAACAUCGCGACACAACAAGCUCGGCUACAUGCUCUACUUAUUGUCACACACAUAAACUAUCAUGCNNNNNNNNNNNNNNNNNNNNCUAUCUCAUAGACAAGAAUCGAAACAUACUUAAGCAAAUACCUAAAGCAAACAAAAACAAGAACAAACACAUAGCAAUCCGAAAAUAGAAGAUGAAAUACACUCUCAAAAUAUCCCUACUUGUUCUAUUCUUCGAGUGCGCGGAGUCCUAGGCUACGUGCUUUGGACGAAUGCUGAAGGUGGGAUCGGAUUGUGGUGUUUGGAGGUUGAUGGAGUUUCGGCAAAGGCUUUGGUGUUAUUUGCACGGGUUGAUGAUGCUCUUCUGUCCUUGAAGUCGUGCUUUAUAUAGAGGAAAAACCUUAGAGAAGUCGGCCACAAAGCCUAAACCAAAUUGGUUUAGGAUUCCUAGUUUUUCUCCCUUUCGGCAGAAUGACCUCCGUCUGAUGAUUGCGUCAUAACUCCCUCUAGAAAACAGAUAUUGAGGUGAUUCCAAUUGAUUUGGAAACUAGACUCCCGUAGCUUUCUAUCCAUAUCUGGCACGUUUUCGGAUUCAUUGUGAGCCGUCCUGGAGAGUCCGUUGAAGUUGACAGACGUGCACAGGAAUUCUCCCGAUUUAAUCAGGAUGAUGAGGUGGCGAGACUGGAGGCGGUGAGAACAUGAGAAGGUGGGAGAAGCGAGAUUGGAGCGGCAGGUGGAUGCGGUGGCGAGUUUAGUUGCGAUGACUGAUGCGGGUGGAUGCGGUGGUGGCUGCGAUGACUACUCGGGUCAAUGAUCACCAACGAUCGAUUGAUGGCGGGGUCUCCGAUGGGUGGAGGCAGUGGAUUCCGGCUGUCGUGCAGCUCUGUAGGAGAUUUGGGAAUUUAGGGAUUGGAGUGGGUUUCAGACAAAGAAAAGACUAAGUGUUGAGUCUGUAUCAAUUUUAUCUUAGCCGACAAAUAUUCAUUGCCUAAAAAAUUUAAAUUUUGGCCCAAAAAAAGGCGCAAAAUUCACCCGCCUAAUAUUUCGGUAUCCUAGGCGACUGAAACGACCACUUUCCGUCGCCUUAGUAUUUCUAACGCGAUGAAUUCUUCAAGUUCCGUUGCCUUGGUUCGACAAGCCGACGACUUAUUCAAUUUCCGUCGCCUAAGUAACAUAAAAUUUUAUUUACCCGCCUAAUAUUUCGAGGAUCAUAAGCAUUGGAAUGUCCACUUUCCGUCACCUUAGUACUUCUAAGGCGACAAAUUCUUCAAGUUCCGUCGACUAAGUGUAUUUUUAAAAAGGGAAAAAUUUUAAGAACAAUACAUGACAAAUUGUCAACUCAUAAUUUUGGUGUUUCAAGUUUCAAAACAAUCGUAACGGUACAUGAACUUGUAACCUCAACCGAAAAUAUGUACAUACCGUUACAUUCUCCGUUAUCUAACGUGUUUUCUAGUAAAUUUUAAGGGGCAAAUCCGUCACUCCUUAAUUUAGCAGUAAUAAAUUAUUAAAAUCAAUAAUUAUUAAUAAUUAAUAAGGAGAGGGAAAUAAGAAAGGAAAAAAUAUUGUUGUCUCUCUUUUUCGUCCCCGUUCAAACCCAACAUACACAAAAAUGGUGAUCGAGGUAGGACUAUAGGAGAAAGUUGGAAGAUGAUUUGAUUUGGUAAUUAAGUUAUGGAAAAAAAAAGUUUGAAUAUAUAUCGAUGGGUUGGGACGAGCAAUGUAGAGCGAGAAAGCUAUGUCCUAGUUUUACUUGGAUCCCCACGAGCAACAAAGUUUUUUUUUCUUUUUUUUGAUGAAUAAGAGCCUUUCAUUAAAACCAAACCCAGUAACUUACAAACACAACGAAUAGUAAACAAAGAAACCAAGUAAGGGGAAAACAACAGUCUUUGAGAAUAUAUGGUCUGAGUUUACAAGAUUAAAAAAGUUUAUAAAUAGAAAAAAAGAAAAAGAAAACAUAAUAUAAAAAAAAAGAAUGGAGAAAACCCGAAACCACUUUUUGAAAAAUGAGAAAUUACAAAGAGUUAACGGUGUUAUUGACGGCAUGUGCUAAAAGUGUGCUGACUUUUAAACGUCAUGUAACAUUUUGAUUGUUUUGAAACUUGAAACAUCAAAAUUGAGAGUGGACCGUUUGUCAUGUAUUGUUCUUAAAAUUUUCCUAUUUUGGACAUUUUAUUAUAUUUACAUCCGAGUAUUUUCGUGUAACUUUUCAAACUAAACCCAACUGUAACUCCACGUAAGUAUUCGUACAUAAAAAAGCAUACAUGCAUUUUAAAAAUUACACAUGUAGAAAAAUGGAAAUUUGCAUGAAUAAUUAAUGGUUACAAAUUAAUUUAAAAAUACAUAUCUGAAGUUAUGCCAAAUUAAUACAAGUAGAUUAGACCGAUCGAAAUCCACAAUAAUGGUUAUAUUAAUCGUACUCAUGAUAAUCUGAGUUGUCCGAAUCAUCAUCCUCCUCAAUUUGGUCAGAAUACUCAUCAUCCUCUAUGUAUUCGUCAUCUAUGAAGCCGUCAUAUCAUGAUUGGGGUUGCGUUGUAGCGAGUUCAAUUCAGAUGGUGUAACUGGAAUGUAACCUAUGAUAGCCGGAACGUGUUGGUUGUUGACACGAAUAUCCUCAGUAUCGGGGACUACAUGUGGAGAUUCUUCUUGAUAUGGUUCAUUCGGUUGAUCAGUUGUUGGUUCACUAGGCCCACUCUCAUCAUCCCCUCCCAGUGUAGCUGCACUCCAAAUAUUCUUAUGUGACAUCACCUGCACCACUUUCCAACCCUCACCCAUAGCCGGAUCAUCAAGAUAAAAUACUUGUUUAGCCAUGGUGGCAAGAAUAAUUGGCUCAUUCUCAUACCAUACACUGUUUGAGUCCACUAAUAACAAGCCACGAUCCAGAAUUGUACUCUGUCUGGUUGGGUCAGUAUUAAUUGAACCAUUUGCACUUGAACAACACGACUAGCAUACGGUUGCCAUAGAUUAGUUCAAUGACAUUGACAAGAACCUCGUAGUAGUUGAAACCCAGACCCUCAACCAUGACUCCAUUGUUUUAGGUGACAUGGCCUUCAUCUAGUUCUGACGUCAUAAACUUAACACCGUUCACAAAACAUCCACCACGAAUUCUGUGGCUUUGGGGUCCUCCAGCCAACAAGUGUAACUCCGGGUCGUAAGAAGCAGGAAACUGCUGUUGAAUGUGCAUCAUUUGUAACAAUUUUAAAAGCAACGUUGUUACAUUAUGUAACAUCAAAAAACAACAUAUAUUUAAUUUAUGUAACAUCAUAUAUAGAGAUAGAAAGUACCCAAAUAGGAAAGUAAUCAGGAAAAUCUCUCUUGUGUACGGCUUCGUUACCAUCCUGCCUUUCCAAAUAGGACUUCAAGUACCGCUCGGCUUUGUCGCAAAGUUGAAGGACAGACCAAUGAACCUCUUUGAUCUCAACAUUACUUAAUCUUUCAGAAUUACUUAACCUACCAUACAGUUGAACAUUGUUGGAAACAACUGAUAGAUUGAAUUGCUGGCAACUAUCCGCUUUAGAUGAUUCCCCCACUGUGUCUUCAUCAUUGAGAUAUGUGCUGCAGUAAGUUACGCACUCAGCCUAAAUGUAUGCCGCCGUGAUCGACCCAUCAGAGAAACGUUUGUUUUUGUUUGACUUCUUGAAAUCCCCCAGUUGCCUGCAAAAUAGAUAUUUAUUCUCUUACAAUAAAUAUUUAAAAAAAUUAUCUUAAUUUGAAAGAAUGAUUAAUUAGAAAAUUAGUGCAUAUAUACCUCUCAUUUGGACAGCACCAGGUAUACUGUACAAGACCAGUAAGCAACACUUGUUCGGGACGGUGGAUCAUGAGGUGAAUCAUGAUGUCAAAGAAAGUUGGGGGAAAGAUCCUCUCCAGCUUGCACAUGAUGUACACAAUGUCUUCUUACAAUGACCGAACAUCAGACUUUUUAAGCUCUUUAGCGCAUAUCCUCUGAAAGAACUUUGACAAAGUCACUAACGUGUCAACCACAUCACUAUGCAAAUACGGUUUAAUGACCACGGGAAAAAGACGUUGCAGCAAAACAUGACAGUCAUGAGUCUUCAACCCAGUAAUCUUAUUUUCCCCCGUCUUAACACAUCGAGCGAUAUUCCCUGCAUACCCAUAAGGAUACUUAACGCUAUGAAGCCACUGAAACACUUCCGCCUUCUUCUGAGGAUGGACUGUGUAACCUGCUUAAGGUAUUAUAGCUUUUUUUGUUUUUUUAUUCUCUACUAGCCAUAGCUUAGAGCGUAUACCCAUUUUCUUAAGAUCAACACAGGCUUUGGGGGUGUCCUUGUUCUUAUAUUUGAGAUUCAGAAUUGUUCCUAAAACGCUGUCACAAACAUUCUUCUUUAUAUGCAUGACGUCCAAGUUGUGUCUGAUUUUCAACGUCGACCAGUAAGACAAUUCAAAGAAUACACUUUUGUGCGUCCAAUACUUAAACUCAUCAAGCGUGGGAGGAUUCAAGUUGGUUACUUCUUUACUGGUGCUCAAAUAAACUCAUCAGGCGUGGGAGGAUUCAAGUUGGUUACUUCUUUACUGGUGCUCAAAUAUCUGAACCAGUGCUCGUUAAGCCUCUCCAAAAUCCACUCACCAGACCUCCUUGUGGGUUUCAGAUUAUGCUCCUCAGUCCCAUCAAAUACCUCAACAUCUCACCGCCACUUGUGAUCCUCGUCAAGGUAUCUACGAGAUCCCAAGAAACAAAUUUUGUUGGCGUGGCGACUAGAAUUGAUGUCAUCUAAGCAUACCGGGCAAGCCUUGUACCUCUUAGUUUGUUGGCUAGACAACAUCCCGUAAGCUGGAAAAUCACUGAUGGUCCAAAUAACAGCUGCUUUCAUCAUGAAUGAAGUUUGACCAUGCCUGUCAAAAGUAGGGAGUCCAUUUUCUCAUAACUCCUACAGCUCGUCAAUUAAUGGUCUCAUGUACACAUCCAAGCACUUUGCUGGAGAAUAUGGCCCUAAAACCAUAAGCGUAAGAAAAUUGUACUCCUUCCUCAUACACAUGUUGGGAGGUAGAUUGUACGGAAAUACUAUCACAGGCCAAAUGCUAUAAGACAAAUUCAUGUUUCCAGUAGGAUUGAAUCCAUCUGUUACAAGUCCAAGUCUAACAUUUCGACAGUCUCCAGUAAAUUCGGGAAAAGAACGGUCAAAGUGCUUCCAAGCCUCCCGGUCUGCGGGGUGUGUGAGAUUAUCUGGAUCUAUCCUCUCCUCUCCCUGGUGCCAUCUCAUAUGCUUGGCCGUAUGUGAAGACAUGUACAGACGCUGCAGACGAGAACCCAACGGGAAAUAACGAAGAACCUUCCUAGGAAUGGGCGGGUUUUUCUGUUUAGAUGAAGUGGAAGCUUUAUAAUUUGGCUCGUAGCAGUGUGGGCACUCAAUUUCAUCCUUGUUUUCUUUGUAAUACAAGAUGCAGUUAUUGACGCAAGCGUCUAUCUUCUAGUGACCAAGACCGUGGUCAGCCAACAUGCUUUUUACCUAGUCAAGAUUUUCCGGACAACUUUUACCUUUGGGAAGCACUUCCUUCAUAAGUGCUUCAUAAGUGCAAUAUCCUCAUCAAAACAUACGUUAGUCUUUCCCCGCUUGUUUUUUAUCUUCAUUUGCUUCAUAAGGGUACCCAACACAGUAUGCUCACUGCCAGGAUACAAUGGGGUUUGUACUUGUCAUACAAGCCUGUUGUACUUAUCAUAAUCACUGUUGUAGUCAACGUGGGAGACAUUAGGGGAGGUGUCAAGGGUGUUGUCAUAAACAACAUUUUCCUGAUAUCCUAAGCCGGGGAAAGGGAAGGCAUCGUUUAAGAUGUUCAUCACAGCAGGGUCCCCGUAACUAGCAUUCGAAGAUCAUGCCUGCUAAUUAUGUUGUGCUUGAAUUUCUGCAAGUGUAGGCAUUUAAACUUGAUUUUCGUCGUGCCAUGUCCAUGUGGUAUAACUAGGACAAAUACCGUUUAGUGCCAAGUGAGAAUACAUGUCUUCAUAUGUUACUGGUUUCUGAUUGAGAUAUUUGUUGCACGGACAUAUGUGAAUAACUUUGUCUGGAGGACUAUGUAGACGCACAAACUCAAGAAAAUCAAAAAUGCCUCUCAUAUAAAGAGGGGACCCCCUCCCUAAUUUCAUCCAGCUCUUAUCCAUGUUGUACACUAUAAUAACAGGAAACAAAAAUAUAUAAUCAAAAAAUCGUGAAUAAUAAACGGGAAAUAUGUCAGGACCCACCCCGAAUUUCACCCUAACUCGAAGUAAAUCCUGUGGGGUCCACCUCCAAGGAAAAUUUACCGAAAAUUCAGCAUAAUCUACCUUUAAAAUGGACAACCCUUACCUGAAAAAAAUUUCCAUAAAAACACUUCUAUUAUCAAUCAUCUAUCCUCAACUCCUGGAGUUCAUCAUGUCUCCCAAUAUAACAAUUUCUCAUCUAAAAUAAUUUCACAACCAACAACAGACAAUUAAUAAUUUACUACUAGACUUUCAGAGCAUAUCUAAAGAUGAACAAAAAACAAUGAAUAAAGAAUGAGCGGAAGCAGCCUCUCAUUAUGCCUCGAAUCCAUGUACGCUCGACCUCAAAUAACUUAGCCUGCAAACUGAGCAUUUAAAAGUCAAAGGGCGCAGGGGAAAGUAAUUUAAAAACGUUAGAGUGAGUGGACAAAAAUAAAUUAAAUAAUUUAGCAAAUACAUAAUUUAUAUAUUUUCCUAUGUUUCAACUUUAAAACUUGGCUGCACGUAACUUUGAACAUCCUUAAAACUUUAAAUCCAAAUUCACUUAAUAAUGGAGUUAAUUAAAACAGAAAUCUCAUGAUGAGGGAUAAACCAGCCCCGCUGGUUAAUCCAAUACAUACUGAAAAAAAUAAAACAAGGGAAGAGAUAUCACCAUGUAAGAGGACCCUCCUAGGCUCGGGUCGGUGCCUCCCAGGCUAUAAUAGCGUCCCACGCUAAACGGUCGAUUCACCUAUGGUGAGGACCGCUAAUAAAGACUAGCAAGCAAUAAAUAAUAAUAUCCGAUCGGUGCCUCCCAAGCUAUAGUAGCGUCCCACGCUAAGCGCUCGACUCACCUAUGGUGAGGACCGCUAACAAUAAAGGCUAGCUAGUAAUGAAAUAUGAGUGACCCUAUAUUAUGGUGAUUAAAAACAUACGAAAUCAUUUAAAUCCAUAAAGCUUCCCCAAGAUCAUACAAAUGGUACGGUUCCCAACCGUACUUGAAAAUUAUCAUAAGCAAUUAUAAUAAACUCAAUGACGUGUCUUACACGUCAAAAUAUUCUCAAAACCAUAAUAUAAGCGAGAUUUAAUUAACAAGUAAAAAUCAUAAUUAAUAUCUCAAUCCAAAAUACUCGUUAAAACAUUCUCAAGGUGCAGAUCGAUAUUCCACCAAUAAUUUCGAAAAUUACAAAUAGCGAACUACCGAAAAUACCAUUUUUAGAAAUCUUUUAAAAAUCUCAAAGUCCACCAUUAAAACCAUUAUAAUGAAAUCUGGAAUUUAUAAAAAAUAUCCAAACUCAAAUAUCAAAAUAAUAGUCCGAGCUCAAAUCCAUAAAUCAUAACCAACACUUAAUCAAUGCAUCAAACUCAAAUAUAUUCUAAGAUCAUUUCAUAAGUCGAAAUUAUAUUAUACGCUUGGAAAAUAAUAAAAAUAAAUUAUAAAAUUUUGCAUGCAUAUUUAUUUAAAACGAAAAUGUCCACUCACAAAUUUAGGCAUAAGCCCGACAAUAUCCGAAUCGCUACUCAAGCGAGAUCUCCUCGUAUCUUGACACAAUUACCAUGCUUAGGACCAGUCUUUAAUUUCAGAAAAAUAAAUACUUAAAUAUAAACACCAAAACUCUUCCGCUUAACCCACUACCCUUACUAAGGUUAAGCUUAUCGGAUUUAUGCCAAACUCCUCCCGCAAGCUCAUUUCAUUUAUUUCAACAAUCUAAAACAGAAAUAAGGGAAAUCCAACGGUAGGAUCUUCCCAAGAAGCACACCGAUAAAACCCAACUUUGAAUAAUCCCAAACAUAUUCAAAUCGUCACCAUAAUUCUCAAACUUCACACCAUUGGACUCCUCUCAUCAUAACCAAAUUAAAUAACACGAAAAACUACCCAAAAGAGGUGGCGCCGCCGUCUUCUCCGCCGGUAGCGGCGGCCAGCCACCCAAAAUCCGACCACCUCCAAUGGCUACCAAAUUUUGACACAAUCUUUCUCUCAACAUUCCAAACAACUUUCAUAACUACCACAAAAUCUAAUUUCAAGCCUAUCUAGGGUAAUCGAAGCCAAACAUUAAAAUCCCAAAUUUAAAACCUUAGAAUUUCAAACCUUCGAUUCUCCUUACCAAGCUCGAGUUAGGUCGAAUCUUUUUAGGGGUUUGCUGCUGGAAGGGAGAGCUUCCAAAUAAUAGCAACAGCUCCAGCUAUGGUUGUCAGGACUCACCUCGAAUUUUACCCUGAAACCCGAAGUAAAUCCUGUGGGGACCACCUCUAAGAAAAAUUUAUCGAAAAUUCGACAUAAUCUCACUUCAAAAUGAACAACCCCUUCUUAAUAAUACAUGCAUACACUUCAAAAGAAUCCAUCUAUAAGCCUCUCCUCCUGGAGCCUUCGUGCUCCCCAAAUCACAACAUCUCCCAAUUUAUUUACUCACUUUAAUAAAAAAAACUCACAACCAACAAUCACAGGUUCAGAACAAUUCUAUUAGAAGAAAAAGGAACUAGAAAUAUAUAUAUAUAUAUAAGUGGGAGCUAUACUAUUGACUAUGUCUCAUCUCUAUGUAUGCCCGACAUCAACUAUGCAAUCCUGUAAACUGGGCAUUUUUAAAACGAAUGGCCCAGGGGAAAACAUUUGAAAACGUUAGAGUGAGCGGACAAAAGUAAAUUUAAAAGAAACGAGCAAUAAAUAUCUUUAUGCUUUCCCAAAUUAAAUUUCCAAAGAAAAGCGAAUGCAUGCCUCAAGCGAUAAAACUUUUAACUCAUAAACUAUCGAGCCUCUCAAGCUCUAAAAUAUAGGUAUGUAUUUACACACGUCCAUACACCUUGUAUGAAUUCUUAUGAAAAAUAUGAAAAAAUAGAAAUUCAUACAAGGCUACUACGCUCGUGUCUAACGCUCACGUCACGCUAUAAUGCGGUGAUAUAAAUAUGUGCUCAUACCCCCUAUAUGAAUUAAACCCUCAUAUAGGGCUACUAGGCUCGCGUCUAACGCUCACGUCAUACCAUAAUGUGGUUAUAUACUACGCCAUUAAGGUGGACAAACACAUAUGGCUAGCUAGCAUUUAUUACAUAUUCUCCUCAUAAAUAUAUAUUUAUAUUCACCGAAAAAUCCCAUUUUCGGUAACUCCCCAAAAGAAAUAAAAUCGUCAAAUUAAAAUGACGUCAAAUGCUCAAACAAAAGAAAUUGUUUAACAAUAAACCAUUGCACGCAUAUUAUUUAAAACAAAAGUCCACUCACAACUUUAGGCAUAAGCCCGACGAAAUCCAAAUCGCCACUCCAGUGAGGUCUCUUCGAAUCCUGGUACAAUAACUAUGCUUAGGACCAAACUUCAAUUUCAGAAAGAGAAUACUUUAAUAUAUGACUCAAAACUCUUCCGCCUAACCCACUACACUUUCUAGGGUUAAGCUUAUCGGAUUCAUGCCAAACUCCACCUGCAGCCUCAUUUUAUUUAUUUCAACAUUCUAAAACAAUAAUAAGGGAAAUCCAACGGUCGGAUUCUACCCCAUUAACCGUCAAAAUCACCAAUCUUUGAAAAUCCCAAACCUAUCCAAAACUCCUCCAAAAAUUUCAAACUUUACAUCAAUAGACUCCUCUUAAUACAACAAAUUAAAAACCCUGAAAACCACUUCACAACGGCGCCACCGCCGUCUGCUCCGUCGGUAGCGACGGUCGGUAACCUCCAAUGCCUACCAAAUUUUAGCAGCAUCUUCCUCUCAACUUACUCUACAACUUUCCUAACUAGCACAAACACCAAUUCCAAGCCUAACUAGGUCAAUUGAACAAAAAUAUUUCAAGAAAACCCUAGAACUUCCACUCACCGAUUCUCCUCACCUGAAGCAAACUAGAUUGAGUCCUUUUAGGGCAAGGCUACUGGGUUGAAGACCUUCAAAACCAUAUAAGGCUUGCCCGGAUUGGUGGCCGGAGGAGGAAGUUCCGGCAACGGAACACCACGAACGACCAGAGCUCUCGGGCACGAUAUCUCCCCCACGACGGCGCUAGAGAGGCUGCCACCGGUCCAGGAAGUUAGAGGAGAUGAUGGCCGACCGUUUGGGACCAGUGUGGUGGUCUGCGAUGGCCAGACGACAAUGGACUGACGAAGGGAAAAUCCGGCAGGAAAGUGGAAAGAGGGAGGGCGUCAAGAGGAAAGAGAGAGAGAGAAGAGAAGAGAAGAAAAGUGUUGGGCUUUUCCCAACCGGUUUCUACCCAAACCAAAUAUAAACCCAACUCCAAAAUAACACCAUAAAAUAAUACCCUAAAAAAAUUACCUUUUUACUAGCUAAAAUUUACCAUUUUUACCGUCGUCAAAUAUUUCUUCUACGAAUCAUUCCUCCAAAAUAAUCGCCCCUCAAAACCCCUCUAGGGACCUUUGAAACUAUAAACUCAUUGACGAUGACGGUAAAACUCUUAUUAAUACCAAGCUAGUAAAUAGGGUAAGAAUUUAAGAGUCGGGAUGUGACAAUUCUCCCCUCCUUAUAAAAAUUUCGUCCUCGAAAUUUACAUACCUGUCAAUCGAAGAGAUAGGGAUAUUGUUGCCUCAUUUGCUCCUCUGAUUCCCAAGUAGCUUCCUCUACUUGAUGACUUCUCCGAAGUACCUUGACAAGUGAAAUUGUCUUGUUCCUAAGGACUUGCUCCUUUCGGUCAAGAAUUUGAACCAGUUCCUCUUCAUAGGUCAAAUCCUUCUGCAAACUAAUCGGCUGCUCUUGCUACACAUGAGAGGGAUCGGCAAUGUACUUGCGAAGCAUGGAUACAUGAAACACAUUAUGUAUCCUAGAUAAUUCUGGAGGCAAAACUAACCAUUAAGCAAGUGAGCCAACCCGCUCUAUUAUCUCAUAAAGACCAAUAAAUCUUGGACUAAGUUUUCCACGUUUACCAAAACGUUCUACCUUUUUCCACGGAGAAAAUUUCAAGAACUCCCAAACACCCACUUGAAACUCAUGGUCCUUUCUGCGGACAUUUUUAUAACUCUUCUAUCUACUUUGAGCUACUUUGAGUCUAUCUCUGACUACUCUAAUCUUUUCAUUUGUAUACUGAAUUAUUUUAAUCUUCUCAAAGACUCUAAAUCCUUCAUUCAACCACUAACGUUUACACGUAAGUGGGUUCAGUGAUAUUUGCUCCAGAGUACGAGUACUGGUAGGUAUAUAUGCACACUUUUUCCUGAGCAAUGGAAAUAGCUAACCCAAAUAAACGCAAAAAUUUGCUAUCACCAUCGAGCUCAAAUCUCUUAACGUCACGUAACAAUCUUGUCAUUACGCUGCUCACAAACUCGACGUUGAAGCCCACUUGUUAGGAAACCAAAGUUUGUUAGGAAACCAAAGUUCACGCACUCUCACACACUCAGAGAGAUAAAAAAUAAGACUCUUUUUGAACAUAUUUAAGGAUUCGCGCACUGCAAAAACUGCAGCAAUCACACUAAUAAUACCGAGAUACUUCGCGAAGUCAAAGCUCUCGCAAGUCCACAAGACAACCUUGCUCUGCCUAAGUGCUCAUUCCCCCAACAAAAGUUUAACCUCGAUUCUCGAAAUGACAUCACGUAGUGAUCAAUAACUACGUCACUUAGGUCUCUCCACCAAAACUAGCAGCUUAUGGGAAUUCAAGUUCUCUCCUAAUUUUGUUAUUCUCAAUAAUCUCUUCACCCCAGACCAGAAGAUAAUCUAAAACAUGACUAUCAUGCGAUAAUAAUAUUUUCCCUUCUUGCUUGCCGUAAUCAAAUCUGAACUACUUAAUAUCCACAAAAUAUUUGCACCAACAAUUCAUGUUGCCUGACUUAACGUUGGAAAUUCACGCAAACAGACCACCAUCCUUAAGUAGUGGCAAAAUCUGAUCCUCAAACCUUAUUAAUUAAUUCGGGUGUCACUACGACCACCAUUCAACAAUUAACUUAUACAUCUCACUUAGUCAUUCCAAGGGAAAGAUUCUAAAUGCCAAAACUUAUAAACCAGACAACACACACUUCUCUCUCAACCUCCAUUUAUAAUUAAUCUACAGCAGAAUACGAUCCGAAAAUCAUUUAUGGACAACUCUUGUACACACUUCUGACCAACAACUUCUGACCAAUGUAUCAUCAACUACAAAAUCACACCUGAGUUAACUACAUUGAUCGUCAAAAGCAGUGACAACCGGAAACAAGACUUAGCUUUUAACACUGUCGCGCAGAGCAUGCGAAGAGCACCAAGUUACCUAUCGCACGUUGAAAUUAGUUUUCCAAACAGGAUCCACUACUACACUUUGUGGUUUGCUAACCAACGGAAAUUAUGAGUUUAAGUAAAAGUCAACACUCAGGGCAAAUCUCCGCUCAAGCUUCAGAAUAACUAGCUUAUAGAACUUGAGGACAAAUUCCAAAACUCUGAGCUCAAAAGCUUCAUAAUUCUCUGACAUCCAUUGGAAAACCCAUCUCAAAAAUGUACUAGAAAUCAAAAUUCAAUAAAAUGGUUUCUACUAACCACCCUGACCCUACUGAUGAAAACACAUCCAAACAUUAAUGACCUCCCAGGUCAUACCUGGAUCAAUAAGUGUUCUACUAGGAUCUGAUCCCUAGAAAAGGCGUCGCAUAACUUAUCAAUAUCUACUACCCUCAAUAUUAUAACUCUCAAUAAACCUUGAUUCUAGACGCUUCUUGAGUCAAUAGGGGAAAACCCCCUCCCAUAAGGCUACUUCAUGAAUUAUACCUACAACGAAACAAACCAUCUAUUCAACAUCUCCACAUGACUCUCAGACUACCACAUAAGACUUACGGCUCCAUGAUUCAUCGCUUAAUUGAACUCCAGCUCACUUGGGAUCACAAAUGGAUUUAUACCUGAUCAAAGUCUACGACAAAACAACCAAUUUAUCAUUUACCUCGAAACUUCGACAAACAAACCAGAAUCUCUAACCUUCAAAUCGUACUGUUGAAUUUGCACUCCAUAAUUUCAAGCUCCGAGGAUGCUACCCAAAAACUAUAGUAGGAAUAAUUUAUAUAUUCCCACACAACAUGUCAAGACCCACCCCGAAUUUCACCGUGAAACCUGAAGUAAAUCCUGUGGGGACCACCUCCAAGGAAAAUUUACCGAAAAAUUGGCAUAACCUCCCUUGAAAAUGGACAACCCUUCCUAACUAAAACACCUGCAAACACUUCUAAUAGUUUCAACUCUAACCUAAUAAACUCCUGGAGCCUUCGUGCUCCCCACAAAUCACAACAUCUCCUAAUUUAUAUUUACUAAUCUAGCAAAAAUCCCAUAACCAACAAUCACAGGUUCAGAGCAACUCUAUUAGAGGAGAUAGGAACUAGAAAUAGAAAUAUGAGCGGAAGCUAUACUAUUGAUUAUGCCUCAUCUCUAUAUAUGCCCGACCUCAACUAUGCUAACCUACAUACUAGGCAUUUUUAAAACGAAGGACCCAGGGGAAAACAUUUGAAACCGUUAGAGUGAGUAGACAAAAAUGAAUUCAAUAAAAAUAUUUAUGCAUUCCCAAUUUAAUUUUUCAUAGAAAUUAUGCUGCAUGCGACAGCUCAAAGCUUUCUACUCACAAACUGGCAAAUACAUGACUAGUCUCCAAAACUCAAUAAAAUUGAGUCUCUCAGGCUAAACUAUAUAUAAAUAUAUAUAUGUAUGUAUUUACACUCAUUAGACUCCUUGUACGAAUUCUAUGAACAAAAUAGAAAUAUAGAAAUUCAUACAAGGCUACUACGCUUGCGUCUAAUGCUCACGUCAUACCAUAAUAGAAGUUUACCUCAUUAUAGCGGAAAAGCACGAGUGUAUAUACAUGUGGACUCCCUAUAUGAAAACCUAUAUGAAUCAAAUAAGAAAGUAGUUUUCAUAUAGGGCUAUGACGCUUGUGUCUAACACUCACGUCACGCCAUAAUGGAAUUUCACCUCAUUAUGACGGACCAAGCACGUAUGGUUAGCUAACAUUUAUAUACAUACUAUCCUCAUAAACAUCUAAUAUACAUAUCCACCGAAAAUCUCAUUUUUGGUAACUCUCCAAAAGAUGAAAAUUGCCAAAUAUCAAGGAAAGCAAUAAAUUUCAACAAAAGAAUAACCGAUCAACAAUGUAAUGCAUUGCAUGCUUUUAAUUAAAACAAAAGUCCACUCAUAACUUUAGGCAUAAGCCCGACGAAAUCCAAUUCACCCCUCAAGUGAGGUCUCCUCAAAUCCUGGCACAAAAACCAUUCUUAGGACCACACUUCAAUUUCAGAAUAAAUAAUACUUAAAUAUAUAACUCAAAACUCUUCCGCCUAACCCACUACCCUUUCUUGGGUUAAGCUUAUCGGAUUCACGCCAAAUUCCAGCCAUAGCCUUAUUUCCUUUAUUUCAAAAUUCUAAAACAAUAAUAAGGGAAAUCCAACGGUCAAAUCCCCAUUAACCGCCAAAUUCACCAAUCUUUCAAAAUUCCAAAACCUACUCAAAACUCUUCCAAAAAUUCCAAACUUCACAUCAUUAAACUGCCCUUAAUAUAUCACAAUUAAAACCACAAAAAUCCUCUAAACAGCGUCGGCCGGAGGCCUAUUCCGGCGACCUCCAAUGCCUACCAAAUUUUAAUAUCAGCUUCCUCUCAACUCCCUCUAUAACUUUCCUAACUAGCACAAACAACAAUUCCAAGCCUAACUAGGUCAAUUGAACAAAAACAUCACAAAAAGCCUUAGAACUUCCACUCACCAGUUCUCCCCACCUGAAGCAAACUGGACCGAGUCCCCCUAGGGCAAGGCAACUAGGUUGCAGGCCUUCAAAACCAUGUAAGGUUUGCCCGAGUUGGUGGCCGGAGGAGGAAGUUCUGGCGACAAAGAGCUUUGGGCAGUCGGGACUUUCGGGCUGCAACUCUCCCUCACGGCGGCACUAGGGGAGCUCUCACCGGUCUAGGAUGGGAGCUAGGUCGGAGGCCGACCGAUCGGGACCAGAGUGGCGGCCAGACGGUGACGGACAGGCAGCUGGAAGUUCUGGCAGGGAGAGAACUCGGGGAAGAGGAGAGCGAGUCCGGGAGAGGGAGAGAAAAAUAUGGGUUGGGCUUUUCCAACCCGUUCCACCAUCCUAAAACAUUUAAAACCAACACUAAAAUUAACACCCAAAAAUAAUACCCUAAUAAAAUUUACUUUUUACUAGCUAAAAUUACUAUUUUUACCGUCAUCACAUUUUUCUCCUACGAAUAACUCCACCGAAAAAGUCGUCCCCCCAAAACCCCUCUAGGAACCAAUUAAACUAUAAACUCAUUGACGAAGACGGUAAAAUUCUUAUUAAUACCAAGCUAGUAAACAAGGUAAAAAUUUAAGAGUCGGGAUGCGACAAUUCUCCCCUCCUUAUAAAAAUUUCGUCCUCGAAAUUUACAUACCUGCCAAUCAAAGAGAUCGGGAUACUGCUACCUUAUUUGCUCCUCCGAUUCCCAAAUAGCUUCCUCUACUUGAUGACUUCUCCAAAGCACCUUGACAAGAGGUCAAAACUAAGCAGUUGCUCCUUUCGGUUAAGAAUCUGAACUGGCUCCUCUUCAUAGGUCAAAACUUUAGUCAAACUAAUCGGCUGCUCUUGCAGCACAUGAGAGGGAUCGGCCAUAUACUUGCGAAGCAUGGAUACAUGAAACAUAUUAUGUAUCCUGGCUAAUUCUGGAGGCAAAAGUAACGGAUAAGCAAGUGAGCCAACUCGCUCUAUAAUCUCAUAAGGGCCAAUAUACCUCGGACUAAGCUUCCCACAUUUAUCAAAACGUACUACGCCUUUCCAAGGAGAUAAUUUCAAGAACACUCAAUCACCCACUUAAAACUCAAGGUCCUUUCCUGCGGACAUCUUUACAACUCUUCUGACUAAUUUGAGCUGCUUUGAGUCUAUCUCUGACUACUUUAAAUCUUCUUAAAGACUCUAAAUCCUUCGUUGAACCACUAACAUCAACACGUAAGUGAUUUCAGUGAUACCUGCUCCAGAGUACAAGUACCUGUUGUUAGGACCCACCCCGAAUUUCACCCUGAAACCCGAAGUACAUCCUGCGGGGACCACCUUGAAGGAAAAUUUAUCGAAAAUUCGGCAUAACCUCCCUUGAAAAUGGACAACCCUUCCUAAGAAAACCUGCAUACACUUCUGAUAAACCAAAUCCAACCUUAAACUCCAGGAGCCUUCAUGCUCCCCCAAAUCACAACAUCUCCCAAUUAUUUAAAUAUCUACACAAAUCUCAUAUCCAACCAUUUAUAGGUUUAGAGCAACACUAAUAGGAAGAAAGGAAACAUAAUAAAUUAACAAACGGAAGCUAUAUGAUGACUAUGCCUCAUCUCCAUGUACGCCCGACCUCAACUAUGCAAUCCUGCAACUGGGCAUUUUAAAACGAAGGGCCUAGGGGAAAACAUUUGAAACCGUUAGAGUGAGUGGACAAAAACAUAAAUUUAAUGAAAAUAUUUAUGCUUUCCCAAUUUACAUUUCCAUAGAAAAUAUGCUGCAUGCGACAGCUCAAAAAAGCUCAACACAAAAACUGGAAAUUUCAUGACUAGCUUCGGCCAGUCUCCAAAGCUCAAUAAAAUACAACCUCUCAGGCUAAAAUACAAAUAUAUAUGUAUGUAUCUACACUCGUCCAUACUCCUUGUAUGAAUUCUUAUGAAAAAUAUAAGAAAAAUAGAAGUUCAUACAAGGCUACUACGCUUGCGUCCAACGCUCACGUCACGCCUUAAUGCGGUGAUACACUACGCCAUUAAGGUGGACAGACGGGUGUAUAAAUAUGUGCCCAUACCCCCUAUAUGAAUUAAACACUCGUAUAGGGCUACUACGCUCGCGUCCAAUGCUCACGUCACACCAUAAUGCGGCUAUAUGCUACGCCAUUAAGGUGGACAGACACAUAUGGCUAGCUAGCAUUCCUUCAUAUACAUAUUAUUCUCAUAAUCAUCCAAAUAUGGAUUUUAUUAUUCUCCAACAAUAAUGAAAAUUGCCAAUUAUCAUAAAAAGCAAUAUGCACACGACUCCACCAAAAAUCUCAUUUUCGGUAACUUUCCAAAUAACACGAUAGCCAUUAAAAAUGAGAACAUUGACUUCUGAAAAUGACUUCGUGAAAAUAAACAAUUCCACAUUGAUAUUCAAUAAAAUCAAUCAUUUAAUAUAGAAUCACCGCAUGCAUAUAUUUUAAAACAAAAGUCCACUCACAACUUUAGGCCUAAACCUGACGUCGAACCGAGGCCUCUUCCACUCGAGCCUCCUCACGUCCUGAUCCAAACAUAUAAUUAAUUUCCCAACUAAAAAUCCAAUAUUUACACAAUAGGCAAAAUUAACCGAGAGCCAUAAAAACUCUCAUCAUUGCCUAACUGCGAUAUUCUUAAAUCGAAAUGACCCAAACUUUAAUACCAUACUCGGCAGCCGUAAUUACAACCUCCCCAAAACAACGACUUAGAUCCUACGACCGGAAUCUACAUUAUUUAACCGCCAAAAAAACUAAACUUCGGAAAUUCCCAAACCUAUCCAAAACUCAUCCAAAAAUUCCAUAACUCACAUCAAUAAACUCCCCUUCAUAUUCCACACUUAAAACUAUACAAAACUCCCAAACAGCAGCGGCGGCCGGAGGCUGAUUCCGACGACCUCCAAUGCCUAUGAAAUUUUGACAAAAUAAUCUCCUCAUCAUGCUCUACAACUUUCCUAACUAGCACAACACCCAAUUUCAAGCCUAACUAGGCCAAUCGAAUGAAAACACACUAGAAAACCCUAGAGCUUCCACUCACCGGUUCUCCUUACCUAGACCACGAGAGGGUGAGCUCUUUGGAGGGAUUGCUGCACGGGAGGAGAGCUUCACAACGAGCCAAGACUCGCCGGCUAUGGCGGCCGAAGGAGGGAGCUCCGGCGAGAGGACAACCGGCUUCCAAGUAGGACUUCCUCCGUUCGGCGGGGUUGCAGCGCCACUCACCAGCCCAGGAAGGCGGCGGGGAGGACGACGGACCGUGCUGGAGUGGUGCGGCGUCCCUGCUUGGCCGGACGGCGGCGGCGGGCGUUGGUCUUCCGGCGAAGUGAGAGAGAGCUUGGGAGAAGAAGAACCGGGGAAAGAAAGAGAGAAGGAGAAAAGAGGAGAAGAAGAGAAGAAAAGAAGGAGAAAUGGGGGUUUAGGCCUCACACCAACCCGGCCCAACACCACAAUUAAACCCAACUCCACCAUCAAACACCCAAAAUAAUACCCUAAUAAAAAUUACCUUUUACUAGCUAAAAUUUACCAUUUUUACCGUUGUCAUAUUUUUCUCCUACGAAUAAUCCUCCGAAAAAUAACCGUCCUCAAAACCCCUCUAGGGACCAAUUAAACUAUAACCUCAAUGACGGAGACAGUAAAAUUCUUAUUAUAAUCAAGCUAGUAAAUAAGGUAAAUAUUUUAGGGUCGGGAUGUGACACCUGUAGGUAUCCACACUCUUUCCUUAGCAAUGGAAAUAGUUAACCCAAAUAAAGCGUAUAAAUUUGCUAUCACCAUCGGGCUCAAAUCUUCUAGUGUCACGCAACAACCUCGUCAUUACGCUGCUCAUAACUCAAAAAUGAAGCCCACUUGCUAGGAAACUAAAGUUCACGCAUUCCCACAUGCUCAUAGGGGUCAAAAUUAAGACCCGCUAAUUGAACAGAUUUAAGGAUGCACACUGCAGAACUGCAACAAUCCCUUCUAAUACCGAGACACUUCGCGGAGUUAAAGCUCUCGCAAGUCCACAAGACAACCUUGCUCUGCCUAAGUGACCAGUCCACCAACAUAUGAUAACCUCGAUUCUCGAAAUGCCCUUAUGUAGAGAUCAAUACUACGUCACUUAGGUCUCUCCACCAAAACUAUUACAUUACCAUUUUGAGCACCACAAACUAGCAGCUUAUGAGAAUUUCAACUCUCUCAUGAUUCUGCUAUCUCCACUAAUCUCUCUACCACAAACCAGAAGAUAAUAUGAAACAUGACUAUCAUGUGGAAACUAGAUAUUCCUCCUUGCCCACCAUAAACAAAACUGACUAAUAAUGCCCACGAAAAUUGGCACAAUCAAUUCAUGAUGCUAAACUUGACGUUGAAAUCCACAUAAAUAGAACACCUUCCUUAAGCAUUGACAAAAUUUACAUCUCCAGCCAUGCUACUUAUUCGGCUGCAACCGUGGUCACAAGAGCAACAAUUAAAAGCACACGGCUCACUCUAACCGUUCCCAAGAAUGAUUCUAAAUGCUAAUACCUUUGAACCCGACAAACACACUUCUUUUUCUAUCUCCAAUAAUAAUUAAUCUAAUAGUAGAAUACGAACUGAAAAUCAGAUAUGCUCAAAUCUCCUACACCUCCUAAGCGCCACGGCUCCCCACCUAAAAGAUUCUCCGAUAACCGAGCUCGUGGCACCAAUGCAAACUAUAGAAUGAAAAGUUAAUUUUCAUACAAGGUCCACUACUACACUUUGUGAUUCACCAUCCAACAAAAACUAUAAGUUCAAAAGAGAAUCAAGACUCAUGGCUAAUCUCAACGCAAGCUCGAGAAUAAAUAACUUAAAAUUCAUGAAAGACAAGUUCCACAACUUCAAGCUCAAAACCUCCAUCAAUCACCGACGUCCGCUAGAACCCGUUUUCGAAAACGUCCUAGAAACCAACAUUUAAUAGUGGUGUCAACUAAUCACCCUGACACCAACGGAUGAACACACCACCGAAUAGCGAAGACCUCCUAAAUCAAACUUGGAUCAAUAAGUGGUCACAUUACAAUACGAUCCUGAGAAGAGACGUCAUUCAACCUAUCCAUAUAUCUAUUAUUCACCAUAUUAAAUCUCUUAAUAAACCUUGACUCGAAAUGUUUCUUAAGUCAACAGGGGAAAACCCUCUUCCAUAAGGCUACAACAUACCUAAAACGACACAAACCAUCUAAUCAACAUAACAACACGACUUCCAGUCUACUACAAAGAAUUUACGGCUCCAUGGUUCGUUGCUUAAUUGAACCCCAAUUCACUUAAGAACACCACUAAAUUUAUCAAUGAUCCAUGGCUAUGUCAUAACAACCAAUUUAUCAUUUACCUCGAAACUUCAACAAAAUAACCAGAAUCUCUAACCUUCAAAUCGAAGAAUUUGGAAUCCACACUCCAUAAUUUCAAGCUCUGAGGAUACUACCCAAAAACUACAGUAGGAAUAAUUUAUAUAUUCCCACACACACCACAACCAAAACUUUGCUCCAUCUCACCGAAUUAGAAAUAAGGUGAGAACAGAUCCUCCCAUUGUUGUGUCAUAGUUAGUCACCCAUUGCGAACGAAGUGAUGUUAGCAAACAAACUUCGAUCUCAAAUUCAAAACUUACAUCACUACUCGAAGCAAUGCAACUUGAAAUUACUAUGGACACCCACGCACUCUUGCACUACCAGAAGAAAGGCUUUAGCCGACGAAAAUAAAAAAACCAGGCCGACGAAUUUUUUUUCGUCGGCUAAUUUAAAAUUUUCGUCGGCUAUGGUCAACUUUAGCCGACGAAAGUAAUAUUUAAUCGGCUGAAUAAUUUUUUUCGUCGGCUAUAGUCUGUGAACUUUAGCCGACGAAAUUUUUAAAAGUUUAGCCGACGAAAUUUUUAAAAGUUUAACCGACGAAAAAAAUUUGUCGGCUAAAGUGGACUUUAGCCGACGACAAAAAAAUUCGUCGGCUAAAGUGACUUUAGCCGACGAAAUUUUUAAACUUUAGCCGACGAAAUUUUUUAAACUUUAGCCGACGAAAAAAAUAUAAUUUCGUCGGCUAAAGUGCCUUAUAUUUGCAGAUCUAGACAACAACUCAUAUGAGAAAAAAAACUAUACGUAGAACCUUCAAACGCAAAAAAGUCGUGAAAUAAGAUAUGACCAGAACGGUGAAAUACGACUACGGUUGAAAAAUCACAGUAUUCCGGUAAAGUCUCGGUGCCGAUAGUUGACUUACUCUUACUAUUCACUAUGCUGCAGAUUUGGCGUUUGGUGUCUGAUUGACUAUUGUGAUACCUUUCCGGAAGCGUAACGGCGCUACGAGUGAGACUCAUCGCUAUUGCCAUGAUGUAUAGGCUUUUUUGGCCAUCCGAGUCCGUUUAGGGCUUGAAAAUGCAGUUUUCUUAUUUUCGAUUAGAGUUGACAGUUUCGAUCGAGCCCUUAACGUUGNNNNNNNNNNNNNNNNNNNNNNNNNNNNNNNNNNNNNNNNNNNNNNNNNNNNNNNNNNNNNNNNNNNNNNNNNNNNNNNNNNNNNNNNNNNNNNNNNNNNNNNNNNNNNNNNNNNNNNNNNNNNNNNNNNNNNNNNNNNNNNNNNNNNNNNNNNNNNNNNNNNNNNNNNNNNNNNNNNNNNNNNNNNNNNNNNNNNNNNNNNNNNNNNNNNNNNNNNNNNNNNNNNNNNNNNNNNNNNNNNNNNNNNNNNNNNNNNNNNNNNNNNNNNNNNNNNNNNNNNNNNNNNNNNNNNNNNNNNNNNNNNNNNNNNNNNNNNNNNNNNNNNNNNNNNNNNNNNNNNNNNNNNNNNNNNNNNNNNNNNNNNNNNNNNNNNNNNNNNNNNNNNNNNNNNNNNNNNNNNNNNNNNNNNNNNNNNNNNNNNNNNNNNNNNNNNNNNNNNNNNNNNNNNNNNNNNNNNNNNNNNNNNNNNNNNNNNNNNNNNNNNNNNNNNNNNNNNNNNNNNNNNNNNNNNNNNNNNNNNNNNNNNNNNNNNNNNNNNNNNNNNNNNNNNNNNNNNNNNNNNNNNNNNNNNNNNNNNNNNNNNNNNNNNNNNNNNNNNNNNNNNNNNNNNNNNNNNNNNNNNNNNNNNNNNNNNNNNNNNNNNNNNNNNNNNNNNNNNNNNNNNNNNNNNNNNNNNNNNNNNNNNNNNNCGACGAAAUAUAGUAAAUUUCGUCGGCUAUAGUUAUUUUUAAUUAUUUAUUACACACUUUAGCCGACGAAUAUAUUAAUUGUUUCGUCGGCUAAAGUCUGGAAAAAAAACCGACGACAUGUUUUUCGUCGGCUAACUGUGGGACUAUAGCCGACGAAAAAAAAAAUUUCGUCGGCUAAAGUCAUCACAGACGAGCUUUUCCCGACGACACUAUAGCCGACGAGCCUUCGUCGGCUAAGAUCUUAGCCGACGAAUUAAGAUAACAGGCCGACGAAAAUUUUUCGUCGGCUAAAGUGCUUGUCCUGGUAGUGUUGCUCCAUAAUUCAGUGGGCUUGGGCUUUAUUCCACUGCUACCACUCCCACCAGCUCCACACAACUGUUUUAAAAACACCCAUGACAACACAUUAAAUUCACCAGGUGUUGUCGUAAAACCGGAGCGACCACAACCAUCCCGCUCUCACUCCACCAUUACUUUUUAAUUCCAUUUAAAUUUAUCAUCUUCUCAAAACACUCAACAAAAUUGGAAACCAAACUUCAACACUUAGAAUUCAGAAAGAAUCUAUAAUGGCCCCAUGAUUAAAAUAAUAUAACCGACAUCUCACUUCACGAUUUCAAACUUGCUUGAAACUCAAACCAAUUAGUGCCACCAUUCAAUUUCUAAAAUCUCCCGACUGUGGCACAACAACAAGUUGUCACAACGCACUGACCAAUGACUUAUGUAAAACCAACCCAAGGAAAAGCAAUCCAAGUCAUUACACUUAGUGCUUUAACAAACUUCAACUAGCCCACAAUAGAGACCAAAAUCAUCUGAAAUCUUACUAUUCAUCGACUACUAUUAUCCGUCAUUUCCAAAAGAUAUUACCACCACCAUCUUAACAAAUUGCUCAAAAGACAAAAAAAAACUUAUUCACAAUUAGAGUUGUAGAAACCAGAACAUAUACCGCCACAACCAAUAUUAUCCCAACAUGUUCCCAAUUGAUUUCUGUUGCGGAUAAAAUAGUCGGCAAAAAGGCCUUCAAUCAAAACUUAUCUAAAUUGACAUUUAUCUUUUUAUGUAGCAAUGUCUUACAACCCAAUCACUAAUCACAAAUCCCAUGUGACUAAUUCACUUAGAAUUAGAGUCCUCAACAACUCGUAAAGGUACCCUCAAGAGUUACUAUAGGUACCCACCAUAACACUUCAACUAACUUAACAUCAAAAGAAAACACCACUACUUUGAACUUUCUUUCCAACUAUUUUCUCCUAGAAGUCACGUAACUCGAAGCCAAGAUUUUCCAUUGGACUACUACAACUCCUUACUUGCCCACCAUAAUUAGUGAACUCCAAGGCUUGAAUUAAACUUUUCACAUUCUACAAAUUCGCAUGAGAUGCUCACCCUAGCAUCUUAAUCAUAACCCAAUCAAACAUUGGUCAAAUGAAAGGAAUGCUGCCACACAUAUGUGUUCCCAACUGGAGUUCCCAACUGAUACAUGCAUUUUAUGCUAUAUUUUUAAUGUAUUUCCUACCCUAUUUAGCUUCGUUAAUUCCUUAAUAAUGUCAUUUCUAGCUUGUUCUGUGUUGUAGGUCAAAAGAGGCAGUUUUACACAAAAGAAGGCUAAAACACAAGAGUUGAGCGAAAUCCUAAUCAAAGGAGGAUUUCUGGUGCAGCAAGGAGUCUCACUAAGUCGUAGAAUCAAAGGAUAAGUUGUUUAGGAAACUUUCCUAUUUUGAAAAGGGAAAGUUGCCUAUUUCAUUUUAAGAAACUUUCUUAUUUUGAUUUAGGAAACUUACUAUUUCUGAAUCUUUCCUAUUCUGACUUUCCUAAAAUAAUUAGGAAACUUUCUUUUCUUAUGAGACAGGGAAUCCAUUUGAAGUCAGGAAACCUAAUCCAACUUGGAAUAGGAAUCUGUGAACAUGUAUAAAAGGAGGACGACGAAUUCUGCAGUAAUCAAGGGAUUUAUGUGUUAAUAUAAAUCAGAAAUAUUAAGGGAUUCUUUCCUUAAUUUCGUCAUUUAAAUUCUGUCCAUCCUACCUUAUUUAUCUGACUUUAUUCCCCUUGCAGGAACCCUAAUUGUGCACCAGGAAAGGAAGGAAAAUCAUUUUCGUCAAAGGUCUGAUUGAGGGCAGAAGAAGGAAGCUUUUCACUGCUGUGAUUUUCUCUGGAGCACAAGAAAAGUACCUGGCCUCCAUUCGAGCCUCAUGCAAUGGAUUUCUGCACAAGACAUUCCAGAGAAUUCUGGGAAUUUUAAUUCAAGAUAUUAACGUAAUUAUUUCAGACCAUUGGAUCAGAAGUUGAUCAAGGGCUAGGAGAAGACCUAGGGUUUGGCGUGUUCACUAUAAAUAGAGGCUCUCUGCUUCAUAAUUUUGAUCAUUGAUUCACGUUAAAAACCAGAGAGAUACGAGAGCAGCAGCAGGCCAUCUUUUCCUCUUUUGCCGAGUUCGUCCUCUCUUGCCAGACCUUGAAGGACUUCUCCACGAAGGUAGCAGAGUUGGAGACUUGAAGCAUUGAAGCCAAGCAUCCUUUUGACGUCGCCAAGCUACCUUGGAAACUGAAAAAAAGUGUAAACACUGCCUUUACUUUGUUUUGAUUUUCUUUACAACUUGAAAGCAUGUUUUGGAUGUUAACCUUUGGAUUUGUAAGCAUGUUCUGCUUGUUCUUGUAUUCAAUAGAUUUUCAAAAUUUUAUAAAACGUAUUGAUGUUUCGUUAAGGAUUUUCUGGCGAUCUGAUUUCGUGAGUUUUAAUGAUUGAAAGUUUGCGUUUUUGUUUAAGUAAAAGAGUUAGAAUGCAUGCUAGCUAUUGCCAUGAUUCGUGCUAAGCUUCUUCAAGUAAGUAUGUUUCUCUAAGUGGUGAAAACUAUGUAAUAAUAGUUGAAAACGUAAACUGCAGUAAGUGCAUGUUAUGACUUCUCGGAUGUGCAUUGUUGUUCAAUCUCAAUUCGAUAAUUCUUAAUGAUUCGUGUUUAUUGUGGACGAGUACUCUUCAGUAUUGAAUGCAACAAUUUACAUGAAAUAAUCUAAGUUCUAGACUUCUUUGUGCUUAGGUGAUAAAGUAAGUAGAAUUAAAGGAAAUACAUGUCCUCUUUAGGCGUGUGUUUUGAGAUUGUUUCUCUUGUUAAGAACUUGCAUGAUAAUCGGAUUGCUGGAAUGAGAUGAGACCUUGAUGUUUGGUAGAAUUCGAAUUUAUCUUUGUUUGCGAUGUUGAAUGAAUCGAUCAAUUGUAUAUAUUAUUUUAUUUUCUGUUUUCAUAGGAAUUUAGUAAACAAACCCUGAAAUCCCCCCUGAAAUCAUGUAAAUGUAAUUAUUAUGUGAUUAACUUUUCUAGUUUUGUAAACGCAGGAGCACCCUAAAGUUCCCAGAUUGAUCGAACCUUAUUUACCAAUACUACUAUUGUCAAAACAAGGUUCAUAAUUGCCACACGCCCGGAAACGAGCGCGUCACCAACUCACAAUUGAACUCUAACAAUUUAUGAUAUCAACUCGAUAACUUUUAGAAAAGACAUAAUCCAAACACCUCUUUCCUUAAUCAAAGUAGGAUGAUCACUUAAGAGGUCGGCAUACGGAGGCAUAGUCUUGAAGAUAUAGACAUUUAUGGCACAAUACUAUCCAUAAAUAAGAUAGGAACAACUACAUCACAAACCUAAUCAACACAUAGUGUCUAAAGCAUAGAAUGCUAAUGGAUCCGCCGCGGUCGGCCCAUCACUUUAUAGACACUAAGCAUGACCAAGAAUAUGAGGUAGUACUAAAAAGAGGAAGGAAUCGAAUAACCUAAUGCUCUGAUACCAACUGUCUAGACCCACCCCGAAUUUCAUCUUGAAACCCGAAGUAAAUCCUGCGGGGACCACCUCUAAGGAAAAUUUACCGAAAAAUUGGCAUAAUCUCCCUUGAAAAGGGACAACCCUUCCUAACUAAAACACCUACAAACACUUCUAACAGCUCCAACUCCAACCUAAUAAACUCCUAGAGCCUUCGUGCUCCCCACAAAUCACAACAUCUCCUAAUUUAUAUUUACUAAUCUAGCAAAAAUUCCAUAACCAACAAUCACAUGCAGGUUCAGAGCAACUCUAUUAGAGGAGAUAGGAACUAGAAAUAGAAAUAUGAGCGGAAGUUAUACUAUUGUUUAUGCCUCGUCUCCAUGUACACCCAACCUCAACUAUGCUAACCUGCAUACUGGGCAUUUUUAAAACAAAAGGCCUAGGGGAAAACAUUUGAAACCGUUAGAGUGAGAGGACAAAAAUGAAUUCAAUAAAAAUAUUUAUGCAUUCCCAAUUUAAUUUUUCAUAUAAAUUAUGCUGCAUGCGACAGCUCAAAGCUUUCUACUCACAAACUAGCAAAUACAUGACUAGCUCCGACCAGUCUCCAAAACUCAAUAAAAUGGAGCCUCUUAGGCUAAACUAUAUAUAAAUAUAUAUGUGUAUGUAUUUACACUCGUCAGACUCCUUGUACGAAUUCUAUGAACAAAAUAGCAAAAUAGAAAUUCAUACAAGGCUACUACGCUUGCGUCUAACGCUCACGUCACACCAUAAUUGAAUUUUACCUCAUUAUGGCGGAAAAGCACGAGUGUAUAUACGUGUGGACUCCCUAUAUGAAAACCUAUAUGAACCAGAUAAGAAAGUAGUUUUCAUAUAGGGCUAUGACGCUUGUGUCUAACACUCAUCACGUCACGCCAUAAUGGAAUUUCACCUCAUUAUGACGGACCAAGCACGUUUGGCUAGCUAGCAUUUAUAUACAUAUUAUCCUCAUAAACAUCUAAUAUACAUAUCCACCAAAAAUCUCAUUUUCGGUAACUCUCCAAAAGAUGAAAAUUGUCAAAUAUCAAAGAAAGCAAUAAAUUUCAGCAGAAGAAUAACCGAUCAACAAUGUAAUGCAUCGCAUGUUUUUAAUUAAAACAAAAGUCCAAUCAUAACUUUAGGCAUAAGCCCGACGAAAUCCAAUUCGCCCCUCAAGUGAGGUCUCCUCAAAUCCUGGCACAAAAACCAUUCUUAGGACCACACUUCAAUUUCAGAAUAAAAAAUACUUAAAUAUAUAGCCCAAAACUCUUCCGCCUAACCCACUACCCUUUCUAGGGUUAAGCUUAUCGGAUUCACGCCAAAUUCCAGCCAUAGCCUUAUUUCCUUUAUUUCAACAUUAACGGUUAGAUUCUACCCCAUUAACCGCCAAAUUCACCAAUCCUUCAAAAUUCCAAAACCUAUUCAAAACUCUUCCAAAAAUUCCAAACUUCACAUCAUUAAACUCCCCUUAAUAUAUCACAAUUAAAACCAUAAAAAUCCUCUAAACAGCGGCGGCGCUGCCGUUUGCUCCGCCGGCAGCGGCGGCCGGAGGCCUAUUCCGGUGACCUCCAAUACCUACCAAAUUUUAACAGCAGCUUCCUCUCAACCCCCUCUACAACUUUCCUAACUAGCACAAAUACCAAUUCCAAGCCUAACUAGGUCAAUCGAACAAAAAAUCACAAAAAGCCCUAGAACUUCCACUCACCGGUUCUCCUCACCUGAAGCAAACUGGACCGAAUUCUCCUGGGGCAAAGUAACUGGGUUGAAGGCCUUCAAAACCAUGUAAGGCUUGCCCGGAUUGGUGGCCAGAGGAGGAAGUUCCGACGACAGAGAACUUUGGGCAGUCGGGACUUUUGAGCACUAGGGGAGCUCUCACCGGUCUAGGAUGGGAGCUGGGUCGGAGGCCGACCGAUCGGGACCGGAGCAGCGGUCUCAGGCGGCCGGACGGCGGCGGACGGGCGGUUGGAAGUUCUGGCAGGGAGAGAACUCGGGGAAGAGGAGAGAGAGUCCGGGAGAGGGAGAGAAAAAUAUGGGUUGGGCUUUUCCAACUGGUUCCACCAUCCUAAAACAUUUAAAACCCAACACUAAAAUUAACACCCCAAAAAUAAUACCAUAAUAAAAUUUACUUUUUACUAGCUAAAAUUACUAAUUUUACCGUCGUCAUAUUUUUCUCCUACGAAUAACUCCCCCGAAAAAGUCGUCCCCCAAAACCCCUUUAGGGACCAAUUAAACUAUAAACUCAUUGACGAAGACAGUAAAAUUCUUAUUAAUACCAAGCUAGUAAAUAAGGUAAAAAUUUAAGAGUCGGAAUGUGACACAACACCACAACCAAAACUCUGUUCCAUCUCACCGAAUUAGAAAUAAGGUGAGUGAACAUAUUCUCUCAUUGAUGUGUCGUAGCUAGUCACCAAAUACUAACGAAGUGAUGUCAAUAAACCAACUUCGAUCACAAAUUCAAGACUUAUAUCAACCACGUGGAACAACACUGCUUAAAAAUUACUUUGGACACCCACACACUCUUUCUCUAUGAUCCAUGAUCCAGUGGGUUUUAUUCCACUGCUACCACUUCCACCAGCUCCACGCAACUGCUACAGAAUAUUCAUGACAACACGAUUAAAUUCAUCAUGUGCUGUCGUAAAACCAAAGCGACCACAACCAUCCCGCUCUCACUCCACCAUUACUUUUCAAUUCCAUUUAAAUUUAUCAUCUUCCCAAAACACUCAACAAAACUGGAAACCAAACUUCAACACCUAGAAUUCUGAAAGAAUCCAAAAUGGCCCCACGAUUAAAAUAAUAUAACUGACAUCUCACUCCACGAUUCCAAACUUGCUUGAAACUCAAAACAUUUAGUGCCAUCGUUCCAUUUCUAAAAUUUCCUGACUGUGGUACAACAACAAGUUGUCACAACACACUGACCAAUGACUUUUGUAAAACCAACAACCCAAAGAAAAGCAAUCUAAGUCAUUAUACUUAGUGCUUUAACCAACUUCAGCCAACCCACAAUAGAGACUUAAAUCAUCAGAAAUAUUAUUAUUCAUCGACUACUAUUAUCCAUCAUUUUCAAAAUAUAUUACCACUACCAUCUUAAUAAAAUGCUCUAAGGAUAAAAACAUAUCCAUAACUAGAGUUGUAGGAACCAGUAUAUGUGUUGACAUAACCAACAUUAUCCCAAAAUGUUCCCAACUGCUUUCUGUUGCGGAUCAACAUAGUCGGCAAAUUGGCCUUCAAUCAUGACUUAUCUAAAUCGACAUUUAGCGUUUUAUGUAGCAAUGCCUUACAACCCAAUCACUAGCCACAAAUCCCACGUGACUAAAUCGCUCAAGUUUAGGGUCUGCAACAACUUAUGAAGGUACCUCCAAGAGUUAUUAUAGGUACCCCACCAUAACACUUCAACUAACUUUAACAUCAAAAGAAUACACGACUACUUCGAACUUUCUUUCCAACUAUUUUCUCCUAGAAGUCACGUAACUUGAUGCCGAUUUUCUAUCGGACUACAACAACUCCUUACUUGCCCACCAAAAAUAGAAAACUCCCAAGACAUAAAUUGAAACAUUUCACCUACCACAAAUUUGCACAAAAUUGCCCAACCUAGCAUCUUAAUCAUCACCCAAACAAUCGUUGAUCAAAAGAAAAGAAUGCUGCCACGCUUAUGAGUUCCCAACUAGAGUUCCCAACUCGCAAUUGAACUCCAACAAUUUAUGAUAUCAACUCGAAAACCCUUGGAAAAAACAUAAUCCAAACACCUCUUUCCUUGAUCAAAGCAAGAUGAUCACUUAAGAGGUCGGCGUACGGAAGCAUAGUCUUGAAGAUAUGGACAUUUAUGGCACAAUACUAUCCAUAAAUACGAUAGGAACAACUACCUCACAAACUUAAUCAACAUAUAGUAUCUAAAGCAUAUAAUGCUAACGAAUCCGCCGCGGUCGGACCAUCACUCUAGAGACACUAAGUAUGACCAAAUAUAUGUGGUAGUAUUAAAAGAGAAAGGAAUCGAAUAACCUAAUGCUCUGAUACCAACUGUCAGGACCCACCCCGAAUUUCAUCUUGAAACUCGAAAUAAAUCCUGCGGGGACCACCUCCAAGGAAAAUUUACCAAAAAUUCGACAUAAUCUCUCUUGAAAAUGGACAACUCUUCCUAAUAAUACCUGCAUACACUUCAAAAGAAUCCAUCUAUAACCCUCUCCUCCUGGAGCCUUCCUGCUCCUCAAAUCACAACAUCUCCCAAUUUAUUUACUCACUUUAAUAAGAAAAACUCACAACCAACAAUCACAGGUUCAGAGCAAUUCUAUUAGAGGAGAAAGGAACUAGAAAUAUAUAUAUGAGUGGGAGCUAUGCUAUUGACUAUGUCUCAUCUCCAUGUACGCCCGACCUCAACUAUGCAAUCCUGUAAACUGGGCAUUUUUAAAACGAAGGGCCCAGGGGAAAAUAUUUGAAAAGAGUGAGUGGACAAAAGAAAUUUAAAAGAAACGAGCAAUUAAUAAAUAUCUUUAUACUUUCCCAAAUUAAAUUUCCAAAGAAAAGUGAAUGCAUGCCUCAAGCGAUAAAACUUUCAACUCAUAAAAUAUCGAGCCUCUCAAGCUCUAAAAUAUAGGUAUGUAUUUACACACGUCCAUACUCCUUGUAUGAAGCCUUAUGAAAAAUAUGAAAAAAUAUAAUUCAUACAAGACUACUACGCUCGCGUUUAACGCUCACGUCACGCUAUAAUGCGGUGAUACACUACGUCAUUAAGGUGGACGGACGGGUGUAUAAAUAUGUGCUCAUACCCCCUAUAUGAAUUAAACACUCAUAUAGGGCUACUACGCUCGCGUCUAACACUCACGUCACACCAUUAUGCGGUUAUAUACUACGUCAUUAAGGUGGACAGACACAUAUGACUAGCUAGCAUUUAUUACAUACUCUUCUCACAAAUAUAUAUUUAUAUUCACCGAAAAAUCCCAUUUUCGGUAACUCUCCAAAAGAAAUAAAAUCGUCAAAUUAAAAUGACGUCAAAUGCUCCAACAAAAGAAAUUGUUCAACAAUAAACCAUUGCACGCAUAUUAUUUAAAACAAAAGUCCACUCACAACUUUAGGCAUAAGCCCGAGGAAAUCCAAAUCGCCACUUCAGUGAGGUCUCCUCGAAUCCUGGUACAAUAACCAUACUUAGGACCAAGCUUCAAUUUCAGAAAGAGAAUACUUUAAUAUAUGACCCAAAACUCUUCCGCCAAACCCACUACCCUUUCUAGGUUAAGCUUAUCAGAUUCAUUCUAAACUCCACCCGCAGCCUCAUUUUAUUUAUUUCAACAUUCUAAAACAAUUGUAAGGCAAAUCCAACGGUCGGAUUCUACCCCAUUAACAGCCAAAAUCACCAAUCUUUGAAAAAUCCCAAACCUAUCCAAAAUGUCACAUCCCGACCCUUAAAUUCGUACCUUAUUUACUAGCUUGGUAAUAAUAAGAGUUUUACCGUCUUUGUCAAAUGAGUUUAUAGUUUAAAUAGUCCCUAGAGGGGUUUUGAGGGAAGAUUAUUUCGGAGAAAUUAUUCGUAAGAGAAAAAUUUGACGACGGUAAAAAUGGUAAAUUUUAGCUAGUAAAAGGUAAUUUUAUUUGGGUUAUUUUGAGGUGUUAAUUUUUGGGAGUUGGGGUUUUGUUUAAGGUGUUGGACCGGGUUAGAGGAGAGGCCCAUUUUUUUUCUUCCUUCUUUUUCCUCUUUCUCUUCUCUCUCCCUCUCCCCCCGAGCUUCUCUCUCCGUCCGACUUCCGACCAUCACCUGCCGCCGUCCGGCCAGCAACUGGCCGCCACUCCAGCCCAGUUCGGAGCCCCGCCACCUCUUCUCUCUUCCCGGCCUAGUGUCCGAGCCGGUAGCGCCGCCGGAGAGGAGAAAACCGCCGGAAACACCGAUUGCUCCUUCGCCGGAGCUCUCACCUCUGGCCACCAUAGCUCGUGAUUUUUAGCUCAUCUUGUAGCUCUCAUCAAGGUUAGUGAUCCCUUAAAAGGAAUCGACUUAUUUCAGUCUUGAUAAGGAGAGAUGUUUAAUUGAAGUUCUAAGGAUUUAUGGAUGUUUUCGUUCGAUUGACCUAGUUAGACUUGGAAUUAGGUGUUGUGCUAGUUAAGGAAGUUGUAGAGUGAGUUGAGAGGAAGAUGCUGUCAAAAAUUUCUUAGCCAUUGGAGGUCGCCGGAGUCGGCUUCCGGCCGCCGCAGUUGUUUGGGAGAUUUUUAUGGUUUUAAAUGUGGAAUAUUAAAAGAAGUUUAUUGAUGUGAAUUAUGGAAUUUUUGGAUGAGUUUUGGAUAGGUUUGUGAAUUUCCGAAGUUUGGUAUUUUUGACGGUUAAUUAAUGUGGAAUCUGGCCGUAAGUUUUAAGUCGUUAUUCUGGGGGAGGUUGUAUUUAUGGCUGCCGUUUAUGGUAUUAAAGUUUGGAUCGUUUCGAUUUAGGAAUAUCGAAGUUAGGCGAGAAUGAGCGUGGUUACGGUUCAUAUUUAUUUUUCCUAUUUUGUAUAAAUAUUUGGAUUUUUGGUUGGGAAAUUAAUUUUACAUUUGGAAACAGGACGUGAAGAGGCUCAAGCAAAAGAGACCUCGGAUCGACGUCAGGCUUAGGCCUAAAGUUGUGAGUGGACUUUUGUUUUAAAUAAUAUGCAUGCUAUGGUCAUGGUUGAACAUUUAAAUUGUUGGAGUUUUGACGUCAUUUAAUUUUUGAGGUUUUUAUUUCUCUUGGAGCGUUACCGAAAAAUGGGAUUUUUCGGUGAGUAUAAAUAUGUAUAUUGAGGAGAGUAUGUAUAUAAAUGCUAGCUAGCCAUAUGUGUCUGUCCACCGUAAUGGCGUAAUAUAUAGCCGCAUUAUGGUGUGACGUGAGCGUAGUAGCCCUGUAUGAGUGUUUAAUUCAUAUAGGGGGUAUGAACACAUAUUUAUACACCCGUCUGUCCACCUUAAUGGCGUAGUGUAGCACCGCAUUAAGGCAUGACGUGAGCGUUGGACGCGAGCUUAGUAGCCCUAUAUAGACCCAUGAAUUUAUAUAGGGAGUAUGGACGUGUGUAAAUACAUACAUAUAUUUUAGAGCCUGAGAGGCUCGAUAUUUUACGAGAUUAAAGUUUUAUCGCUUGCAGCAUACAUUCAAUUUUUCCUUAGAAAUUGAUUUGGGGAAACAUAGAUAUUUUAUUUAUUAAUUUAUCUUUGUCCACUCACUCUAACGGUUUCAAAUGUUUUCCCCUGGGCUCUUCGUUUUAAAAAUGCCCAGUUUGCAGGUUAACAUAGUUGAGGUCGGGCGUACAUGGAGAAGAGGCAUAGUCAAUAGUAUAGCUUCCGCUCAUUUCUAAAUUUCUAGUUCAUUUCCUCUCAAUUAAAAUUGCUCUGAACUGUGAUUGUUGGUUGUGAGAUUAUUCUUAUUAAAGUUAGUAAAUAAUUGGGAGAUGUUGUGAUUUGGGGGAGCAUGAAGGCCCCAGGAGUUUAAGGUUGGAUUUGGUUUAUCAGAAGUGUACGCAGGUUUUAUUAGGAAGGGUUGUCUAUUUACAAGGGAGGUUAUGCCGAAUUUUCGGUAAACUUUCCUUAGAGGUGGUCCCCGCAGGAUUUACUUCGGGUUUCAAGGUGAAAUUCGGGGUGGGUCUUGACACAAAACUCCUCUAAAAAUUUUCUAAACUUUACAUCAAUAGACUCCCCUUAAUACAACAAAUUAAAAACCCUGAAAACCACUUCACAACGGUAGCGGCGGCCGGCGGCCAACUCCGGCGACCUUCAAUGCCUACCAAAUUUUAGCAGCAUCUUCCUCUCAACUCACUCUACAACUUUCCUAACUAACACAAACAUCAAUUCCAAACCUAACUAAGUCAAUCGAACAAAACCAUUUCAAGAAAAUCCUAGAACUUCAACUCACCGAUUCUCCUCACCUGAAGCAAACUAGAUUGAGUCCUUUUAGGGCAAGGCUACUGAGUUGAAGACUUUCAAAAUUAUAUAAGGCUUGCCUAGAUUGGUGGCCGGAGGAGGAAGUUCCGGCAACGGAACACCACGAACGACCGGAGCUCUCGGGCACGAUAUCUCCCUCAUGGCGGCGCUAGAGAGGCUGCCAUUGGUCUAAGAAGGAAGAGGAGAUGAUGGCCGACUGUUUGGGACCGGUGCGGUGCGGUGAUCUGCAGUGGCCGGACGGCGGCGAACUGACGACGGAAAAAUCCGGCAGGAAAGUGGGAGGGUGGCGGACUGAUGACAGGAAAAUCCGACAGGAAAGAGGGAGGGCGUCAGGAGGAAAGAGAGAGAGAGAAGAGAAGAGAAGAAAAGUGUUGGGCUUUUCCCAACCGGUUUCUACCCAAACCAAAUAUAAACCCAACUCCAAAAUAACACCACAAAAUAAUACCCUAAAAAAAUUACCUUUUUACUAGCUAAAAUUUACCAUUUUUACCGUCGUCAAAUAUUUCUUCUACAAAUCAUUCCUCCGAAAUAAUCCCCCCUCAAAACCCCUCUAGGGACCUUUGAAACUAUAAACUCAUUGACAAAGAUGGUAAAACUCUUAUUAAUUCCAAGCUAGUAAAUAUGGUAAGAAUUUAAGAGUCGGGAUUGACAAUGGUGGCCGGAAAAGAAAGUUUCCGGCGAAACUCCACCAUGCACAGCCGUGGCUUUCGGGACUGAUUUCUCCUUCAUGACGGCGCAACACGACCAGCCACCUACCUAGACUUGAAGAGGAUGUUCCAAGCUUCGAUUUGAUACCAAGCUCGCCCCCUAACUCGGCCGAACGGCGGCGGACGGAGGCGAUGAAGUUCCAGCAGAAAUUCUGGAAUUUUUGGGAAAAUUCUGGAAUUAUCCCGAAAUGGGGGUCUGAUUUACUAUUUAUAGAACUUGAGUUUCCUACGAAAUUACUAAUCUGCCCCUGAUUUUAAACCCUUAGAACUUCUUCGUACAAACUUCGAUUAAAACGUGCCAUAUAUCUACGAACUCGGUUUAACGUCCUCUACGACUUUCAUGAAGAAAGUUUUCUCAAAUUUCGAACGAAGGAAAAAGUCAAAUUUUAGAGCCACUAAAAGCUUGAAUACGAAGGUAAAAGUAAAAACAUGAUUCUCAUUUACGGUCCAAGUGACGGUAAAUGGUCAAAUAAGAUCCGGGGCGUUAUAGUCCCAAUGUCGCGUUGACGAUAUAUAGCAUUUCCUCAUCAAAUCGGGUGGGAGGUCGAAGACUUCGACCCACACCGGAGAGAUCGGAUCAGAACCGUCGCCACCUCAGCACGGCCAUUGUACAUAGCUAAGGCAAACAUGGUUUUGCCGUAAAACCAAGAGCUGCCUUCCUCAACUUGUUUCCUUUCCGCCACCUCAUUGAAACGGAUAAUGUACCGGUCGUCUUGUGCUCAGAUCUGCAGCCGUCCCUUGAGAUCCCAUAACGUAGCCAUGGUAGCCAUGAAGGCUUUGGGAACGACCUUCUUUUUGGGCGGCAAGAGCCGUUCGACUGGGUAGGAAUGGUCAGAGAACGCCGCCGCACCACUGGCGCCGAACAAGACCAUUUCAUUCUUCGAGAUAGUGAGCACGACUGCCAACGGGGGACCGCAUCGACCAUGGUUGUUGUCGAGAGAGAAUUGCCAAAAGAACUGAGAAACUCUUAGAGAGAGAGAGAGAGANNNNNNNNNNNNNNNNNNNNCUCUCUACUCUCUCUACUCUCUCUCUCUCUCUCUCUCUCUCUCUCUCUCUCUCUCUCUCUCUCUCUCUCUCUCUCUCUCUCUCUCUCUCUCUCUCUCUCUCUCUCUCUCUCCUCCCAAACUGCUUAGGCAAAUCACUGGCGUCCAAGCCUCCCAUCGUCCCUCCACACCUUCGGGUUAAGCCUCGAUGCCGAAGAGGCUAGAUCCCUCAUGCCAUUGUUCAGUUUCGGCACAAUCUCGAUGAGCUUCAUCAGCGAUGGGCAGCAGUCAAAGACCUAGAUCGAAGAGCGAUCGUGGUGUCUCAGUUGUAGUCUAGGUAGAGAACUAAGAACGAAAUCCCCUACUGCCCCCACCCAAUAGACCCCACGACAUACUCCAUACUGCCCCCAAUAAACCCCCCGACAAAACCCUACAACUCCCAAUAAAACCCCCCGACAAAUAGACCUCACAACAUACCCCCUACUGCCCCCAAUAAACCCUCCUCAAUAGCCCCCUACUUGCCCUAAUAGACUCCUCAACAAACCCCAUAUUUAGAACAAUAUCCUCUAUUGCCCCCAAUAGACUUUCUACUGCCCCCAAUAAACCUCUCAAAUCCCAUAUCGCUAGAGUCCGGGCAACGGCCGUUGGAGUCCGGUUAACGGUCAUCGGCAACGGGAAUCUGGUCUUAGUUACUUUAUUUAACAAUAGACCUUUUACUGUCCUUACAAUGGUUUUUUGUAGUUUAUUUAAUUCAUUAAGAGUAUAAUUUUUUUUUUGCUGUUUAAGUUGGCUAUUAAGAAUUUUAAAUUCUAAUUUUGUUUGUGGGAAUAAAAUUCUUAAAAUUAAAGCUAGUAGGAGAAAUUUUAUUCAUACAUACCAAAUUUCUUAAUGCACACCCCUAUUUCUUNNNNNNNNNNNNNNNNNNNNAAGUUUUUAAUUUUUAUUACAUAUUAUCGGAAGUCUGCAAGCUUCCUAAUGAUAUCAAAUGUCCAUACUAUUUCGACUUAUCAAAAAUCUUUGAGGUUAUUUGAGUGAGAAAAUUAAUAAUAAAUUUUUUUUCAAUCAAUUUGUUUUUAUUGAUUGUUUGUUAAGCUUCAAUUUACUACCAAUUAGAUUUGAUUUUAGUUGAAGAAUUAGUAGUAUUAAUCAUAAAGCUGAGAAAAUAGAGUGAUAGAUUAAAAAACAGCAACUUACUUUGAAUCGGUUUUGGUUGAAGGAAUAAGAUAGGUUAAAAGAGUGUGUAUUAAGUAAAAUAAAUAAAAAAAUUAAAGGUGUUUAUUAAAUAUAUAAGAGUGUGUGAAUAAAAUUUCUCAACUAGACAUUGACCGAUGAAAUAAAGAAAAUAUGUAAAGAAAAUAUCAUUUGUUACGAAAAAUCCCAACCCACUGAUAAUGGUGAAAAAUAUGUACGCAUGUGGAGUGUGGAGUGUGGAGUGUGGACUCAACGGAGAAAAUCAAGUCCAUGGAAUUAUUGGAAUAUGACCAUAACAGUCAACACUGUCCUGUUUGGGUUCUUCAUUCCGAACACAGACAGACUAUUAUUUUUAGUUGACAACUCAUUCGCUUUGUGGAAUAAUUUAGAUUCACUCCCAGCACCAAACACCCACCAAAUCAAAUCAAUGUCAUUCUCCACUCUCACACCCUCUCUAACAGAUUUGGGAAAUUAGCAAAAACCAAAAUCCCAUGUAAAGUGGCUGCCUUUAUUGUUCUGGGAUUGUUAGGGUUUUGAUGAGCGAUUCGAUUUCAGGUCUUUACUUCUUCUGGCCAUGGAAUUGAAGAAGGAGAGGCUUGUCAGGUAAUUUUUCACUCAAAAUUUUAUCCUUUUCUUUUCGGUCUCUGAGGAGCAUGACAGUAAAGUUGAGCAAAGUAAGUUCUGCGAAUUGUGUUUUUGUUCUAGUGCUUGGAUUAUCAUGCAGUUUGGGUUAUACUUGCUCGUGUUGGGUCUUACGGUUUAUCUUAAAACCAUGCCAACCUUAAACAUUAGAUUACGUCUUCGAGUUUUCUAAUUAUAGAUUUUUGCUUCUGUGCUGGGAAAUACAGGAAAAAUUUAAUGUUUCGAUUAACAUGGUAUAAAUGAACAAAUUCUAGUUUGAUUGUGGCCUACGGGUUGCAGCCUUCCAAGAUUAAUUGGCCUGACUUCAUCAAGAUUAACCGUUGAUUAUGUUGAAACCUUUCAUUUGGUUUGAGUUCACUUUAAGUGAUAUUUUGCUGAGUCUCUUUAGUCUUUACAAAUAGGAUAUUGUCUGCUGUUAAAACAAGUAGAGGAUUGAGACACUCCAAUACUGUACUAACCCUUUUUUAUGUGCUUAGGUUUUAUUCUGAUAAAAAACACCAUAGAGAUUCUAUAUGGGACAGAACUGAACCGUAUCGACUUGAAAAGUCAGCCUCUCAAUAUAAGGUUGCAUCAUCUUCAUUGCUCAAAUCUGAUAAUGGACUAGUGGGGGGCAGAAGCAGAUUUGCUGAAACUUUCAGAAUCGGGCAUUCAAAGGUGUUUCCAGAGGACCAUGAGCCAUGGCGCAAGAGAAUACUUGACCCAGGUAGUGAGAUAGUGCUGCAAUGGAAUCGAGUUUUCAUUGUCUCAUGUUUGGUUGCACUUUUUGUGGACCCAUUGUACUUUUACUUGCCCAUGGCUGGAGGGAGUGGAAACAGUUUUUGCAUGAAGACAGACUUGAAUCUGCGGAUUGUUGUGACUUUUUUCCGGACUAUCGCGGAUUUCUUCUAUUUGUUGCACAUGAUUAUAAAGUUUAGGACAGCUUAUGUUGCACCAAGCUCUCGCGUUUUCGGGAGGGGUGAACUUGUCAUGGACCCAAAGAAGAUUGCACAGAAGUACGUUACAUCAGACUUCUCCAUUGAUCUCAUAGCCACAUUGCCGCUUCCUCAGGUACGUAUUUGGAGUAUAACUCUACAAUUAUAAAACCCUAAAUCUGCUCUCCUAGUUUCUUUGUGCUUAUAUUAUUUAGUGUAUCAGGAGUGAGUGAAAAUGACAAUGGGUGCAUGACAAGGUUUGCCUUGUUUGAUGCCAAAUUUCAUUGUGCAUGACAUGACCAAAGGCAAUGAAUUCCUUGUGAGGAACUGAGGAUAUAUUAGGAUUGUGUAAGGGCAUCAUCUGAUAGGAAGGAGCAAUAAACUUUCAUUUGCUUAGUAUGCACUGCCUGAACGAUGUGUAGAUACACAAAAACUCAUUGUUUUAUGUGUUUCGUGCCUGUCAUCAUCUGAUAGGCCGGAAGUAUGAUCUUGUUGCAGGCAAUUAUGAUUAUUUUAUAAAUUGACAGAUGAGUUAUGUUUGUGUUGUGACUUGUAAGAUAAUGAUAUUAAGUAAGGAGGUCAUUUAAAAAUUAGCAUGUCACUUUAGGUAAAUUCAGCAUCUACCUUGAGGCAAGACUUUGUGCAUUUAAUGUCCCUUAUCCACUUCAUGAGUCAAACUGUUAAUUUUACUCUCCAAAGUGGAUCAAUUGUUUCAACUUCAUGGAUCCUGCAGACUCUGUGGGGAUACUGAAAAAUCUGGGUAAUAUUUUUGGUGAUUGCAUUCUGCAGACUCUGUGGGGGGAUAUGAAAAGUAUAUUCUUAUAUAUUUUGACUAAAAUGCACAUUGUGAAAAGUAGCAUCCUCAUAUCUGUCCACAGUUGAAUUGUUACAUUUAAGAGCAUGAGAUAUUACUGUUUGGUCUCUCUCUUUCCCUUCAAUUAAUAGUGUAAAUCUUCCCCGGGUGAGAAAGGUGAAGUACAGCUAAUUCACAUACUAUGUGCAGAUAGUCAUAUGGUUUGUCAUACCUCCCCAAAAUGCUCAAACGGAUGACACCAACAAUGCACUUGCGCUAAUUGUUCUCCUCCAGUACAUUCCCAGAUUAUAUCUGAUUUUCCCUUUAAGUUUGCAAUUAAUCAAAGCAACUGGGGUGGUGACAAAAACUGCUUGGGCAGGGGCUGCAUAUAAUCUGCUAUUAUACAUGCUGGCCAGCCAUGUAAGUUGAUUGUGUUGUCUUCUCUUUCUCUAAACCACCCCCUUUUAUCUGGAGGGAUAUAACAUUCUUUUGCUGUUUGCAGGUUUUAGGGGCAGCAUGGUAUUUGCUAUCUAUUGACCGGUAUGCAUCAUGCUGGAAGAAAUUUUGUAGAAAGGACCUCAGCCCCAUAAAAUGCUUGCCUAAAUAUUUAGAUUGUAAUACUGUUAACCAAUUUGAUCGUGAGACAUGGGCAAAUCGUACAAAUGUUUUUGAUAGCUGCAAUCCUGAAAGCAACAUAUUCAAAUAUGGAAUAUUUGAGAGUGCGCUGACUAAAAAUGCUGUUUCCUCCAACUUCAUCACAAAGUACUUCUAUUGCUUAUGGUGGGGUUUACAGCAACUAAGGUAUGGGAACUUUUCUUUUCUAAACUAGAAAACUAUGAUUUAAUAGAGAGCCACUUUAUUCAACUUGCAAUAACAUCAUCAGGACUUCUACUUAGAUUCAAGAGAUGAGAGAAUUAAGGAUACCCACCAGAAAGACUAAUCCAAUCCAUAAUGAUGUACCGGAAAAUACAACAUUUUUGCAUGGUUAUUUCAAUACACCAGAAAGACUAAUCCAAUCCCACCCGACCAACACUACACUAAACCCAAGAAAAAUUUGAAAUGCAAAUAUUGAUUUUUUAUAUUUCUAUGUGUGGUUAUUUCAUUCAUUCUUGAAUCUAUCAUGUUGAUUAUGAGUUUUCUUAUCAUGUUGGAUUUUCUGUUGCUUUUUGAAACAUGUCCUGGAUUUUGACAGGCUGGAAUAUGAAAAUUAUGUCUAUAGCCUAUUAUUGACUACAUUAAAUACCAGUAUGAGUGACAAUUUUGCAACUAUAUGAUAAGUAGUAUACUAAAUUCCGGUGACAUAUGUUAGAACAGUUUUACAGAAAAUUACAGGUUUCUUAUUUUUCAUAUUUGAGAUUAAGUGACAUCGAAUAAUACUAACAUUUUUCAGUCUGUUAAUCACUAUAAAAUGAUUCACAUUGUUCCUUAUUCUCACAGUUCAUAUGGGCAAAAUUUGACAACGAGCACUUUUAUUGGAGAGACAUCAUUCGCCAUUCUCAUUGCCAUCGUAGGUCUUGUAUUAUUUGCCCACUUAAUUGGGAAUAUGCAGGUAUUGGAAAAAAUUUUACCGUUUGGUUUCACUUCAAUGCAUCUGACCGAAGUUUACCUGGAUAUUAGUAAAUGAAAAAGUUUUUCACUUCACUUUACUGUUUCUUUUUCACUUUCUAGCUGUUAAAUAAAUAGUUGCUAAGUUAUAGGAUAUAUUUUACUUGUUAUAUUCCAACAUAGGAAACAGUUAACCUGGAUAUUAGUAAAUGAAAACGUUUUUCUUAUUCUCUGUGCCACUGCUUUAGUUUUCAAAAGCUUAUACAAUAGUUUAUACUUUAUACAAAGAGAGCCCUUGCUUUGUUGGGAAUUGUUAGUUCUGGAUGUGUUUUAUUAGUUAUUGAUUGAUUGUUUUUGACAGGAUAUGCUUAGAUUAAUUAUUGCAUUAUUUUACUUUUAUUAUUCAGUUAUAAAAGAGUGACAUUUUAAAUGAGUUGAUGUGUUUUUAAUCGAUGACUCAACGUUAGGGAUUGUCUUUCUGUUGUAGACCUAUCUCCAAUCAAUCACCGUGAGGCUUGAGGAGUGGAGGCUUAAGAGAAGAGACACUGAGGAAUGGAUGGGACAUCGUCAACUCCCUGAAGUUUUGAGACAACGUGUACGGAGGUUUGUCCAAUACAAGUGGCUGGCGACUCGAGGAGUUGAUGAAGAAGCCAUCCUUCAUGGCUUACCUGCUGAUCUUCGCCGUGAUAUUCAACGCCACCUAUGCUUAGAUCUUGUUCGACGAGUAUGGUUUCAUUUCCAUGGCUUAGUAUUAUUCUUUGUCAUAUGCUAUUCAAAUUAUGGAUCAUGAGUAUUGCUAGGUGUAGUUGGGGCAUGCCACUAGAGAGGUCCUUUGGAUAGGCAUUUCUGGGUACCAUGUAUGCACAUGCAACAUAUUGCUUCUAAUAAUUUGAAGGCUUCUGUCUUCACUUCAUGUUGGAAUAUGAUCAAAGUUAAUGACGUUGAACUAGCAUAAAAUUUUAGACUGCCUUUGAAAUGCCUUAAAAGUGGAUUUCCUACACUUUUCAAAUAUGAUGUGUUUAUUAGUAACUGUGGUCAAUUUCUAACCUGUGCAUGCACUGUGAGCUAUAAUGAUACUGGGCCAAAUAAUUGACAGUAACACCUCCCAUUAUUCCUAUCCUAUGAAGUACGAAAUGGAAUUGAGUCCACAUCUCUGACAUUAUACUCAUCCCCUUUCUUUUCAUAUUAUUCAGGUACCUUUCUUCUCACAGAUGGAUGAUCAGCUUCUUGAUGCAAUAUGUGAGCGUCUUGUAUCCUCCCUAAGCACAGCAGGCACUUACAUUGUCAGAGAGGGUGACCCAGUCACAGAAAUGCUUUUCAUUAUUAGAGGUACUCUCGAUAGUUCUACUACCAAUGGAGGCCGGACAGGUUUCUUCAAUUCAAUAACAUUAAGACCUGGGGACUUCUGCGGUGAGGAGCUACUUGCAUGGGCACUGCUCCCAAAAUCCACAGUCAACAUGCCGUCUUCUACAAGAACAGUAAUAGCACUUUCUGAAGUUGAAGCUUUUGCAUUGCGAGCUGAAGAUCUGAAAUUUGUGGCCAACCAAUUUAGACGCCUGCACAGCAAGAAGCUGCAGCACACAUUUCGGUUUUACUCCCACCAUUGGAGAACAUGGGCAGCCUGCUUCAUACAGGCUGCUUGGCGUAGCCACAAGAGAAGGAUGAUGGCAAAAGAUCUCAGCUUGAGGGAAUCCUUUGCUUUGGAUGAGAAAGCAGCCUAUGAGACUGCACAAGAGGAAGAAGAAGAAUUUGAACCGACAAGUUCCAAUUCUUCACAAGUAAAAAUGAAUCUUGGGGUUACACUACUGGCCUCAAGAUUUGCUGCAAACACAAAGAGGGGUGCUCAGAAGAUCAAAGACGAGAUGCCGAGGUUACCAAAACCUGCAGAACCCGACUUCUUCACUGAGCCUGAAUAUUAGUUGCUUGAAUUAGAUUAUCCGUUGAAUGCAUCUGUCUAUUUUGUGAUAGAUCUGGGUGAAAUUCAAGAUUUCUGAACAUCAGAAUCCUUUCAGUUAGGACCUGGUAUUGUAAGGUUUCACACUAUUCCCUGCUGCUGAUUGCCAUGCCCACUAUCCUUUAAUCAGAUUUCUGGAGAUUGCCUUGAGAGCUUGGAAUGUUAUAGAAGCUGGACUUGACUGUUUUAUGGUACAAGAUUGUAUAUCAAGUUAUUAACUAAGCUGAUGCCACUUCAAAAGGUCAGAGCAAUAGUUGUUAGUUUGUUGCCAUAAACUGAAUGGCAAAUUAUGUAUCACCUAAAUAUGUAUGAAAGAUCUUCUGGUCUUUUGGCUGGGAUUGAUGUCUAAAUCUUGACCAGGUACUUUAUAGUUUACAACUACCUACUAAUCCAAUUAGUCUUCUAUGGACCUAUUGGUUGGAAGUUGGAACUCUAUGAGUAAAUUAUAGGUGUUGCAAACAAAUUUUCAGCUCAUUUAGUGACCAUUAAGGUGUCGAAACUACAUUAAAUCAAUAAACAAUUAAAAUAUGUCUAACUGAAACUGUUUGUGUAAAUCACGAUUACGAAAAUUAAAACGAUCAUCAAACUAAAAUAAAUUUUAUAGAGAUAUCAUAUCAUAUAUAUCUUGAUACUUACUAGUUAUGAUAAAAAAAUGUGACCCUAUAUAUAUAAUAUAUAACAUUUCAUUGCGUGACCCUGUUCUGUUAAUUACUCUCCACUCUGUGUGAAUCUGUCACUGUCAUACAAAAAGAAAGUCCAAUGUCUUAUUUCAUGCCAUCACUGCAUAAGGUACUCUCUCUCUCUCUCUCUCUCUGAUAUAUAUUGGUUUCCAAGCAAAUCUGAUGAAGAAUGUAGAAAUGUGGAAAUCAGUGGGAAGCAUUCUGUUGCUGUCUCUGUUUCUGGUUUUGCUAUUUUCCACGGUCCAUGUCUCUGAUAUCCAUAAUCCACUUUCUAGAUUCCGAACCAAUUUCACCUUUUCCCCUCUUUUCUUCAAUUCCAGUCACCACCUGCUUCACGCUUUUCAUGUCUCUCCUAUCAGGUCCGUAAUUUACUUUCCAUUACUAAUUCCAUUUUUUCUGAUGCAUUUUGAUGACACCCACAAACAUCCCCAUCUUAAAACUAUGUUUUGUAUUUGAAGUUAGUGUUCUGUUUAUGUUAUCGAAUUUGGUGAAUCAUGUUGAUGCACAUGCUUAUAUGCGUGUAAUUUGGAAUUAUUUCAUUAACACAAACACAUAAUACUCGAUAUUUAUGCAGAAAUUUGGAUAAAAUAGUUGCAAAAAAUUCAAUGUCUGUUCCCCCAAUAAUAAAUUUGAGGAAGGACCGGUUUCUCGAGGGGCCUGUGUUACAGGAAUAUACAUUUGCUGCAAAUUCUGUUCCUUUCAAUAGCUGUCAUGCUUCCACCAUUGUUGAGGUGAAAUUUUUUAGAAACUAUGAUAGGGUUGUGAAUUCUUAAGAGAUUAGAGUGUUUACAGUCGUGGUACAAGGUGACCAGUUCUUUUUUUUUUUUUUUCUUUUUUUGUAGGUUGAUAUAGAUCAUUUUUUAGUUGCCUAUUUUGGAGGGUCAUCAGAAGGAGCACCUGAUGUGAAAAUUUGGUUGCAGACUUACAAGGUAACCCAUGUAUAUGCAAUCUAUUGGGUUUUCUCACUUUAUGAAACCCAGUGUGUAUUCUUGAUUCCAUUAAUUUUGGAUUAGCAAUAGCAUCAUAAUGUGCGAGCGUGCCUGUGUACAUGUGAAUAUGUGUUCUGCUCAUGUACAUAGAGUAUCAACUUUGGUAGUAUUUAUGUACUUGCCAAAUAUUACAGAUUUCUGUGCAAGGUUGAUAUCAAUAAACCUUGUACAUAGGCUGCAUGAAAAUAUAUACUCUGUACAUAUCUAGAAUGACAGUUUGACACAAAACUAAUUUGCAGAACUUAUGGAUUUGUUUUCACUCUAAAAAACUAUCACAUCUAUCUUUGUCCACAUUGUUACGUGCUGUCUUGUUUAUGUAUAUUUCCUUGGGAUGUUUUAAAUGGACGGCAACUGAAGUUUAAUAUUUUUCGUAGUAGAUUUGUUUUUAUAUUCCUUGGUAAAACUCCUGAGUGAACUUUUAUGUUAGUUCAACACUAAGAGUAUUUUUUUUUUUUCCUGGGCAGAAUGGCUAUUGGCAGCCACCUGAGGUUGCUGAUGAACAACCAGAUGUUCCAAUGUGGAACCCCGUGUUAUUCAAACUUUCAUCAGGGGAGCUGCUGUUGUUCUAUAAAAUAGGACAAGAGGUUCAAAAGUAAAUUUGUCUAAGUCUGCAACCCAGUUUUACUAUAAUCUUUGAUUUCGUUUGAUGUUGUCUUGGUAUCUCAGUAGUCUGUAAGUAGUAUGUUCUCAAGUUCCUAACUAUUUUGUACUGUUUGAAUGCCACAUAGCUAAUACUACCCAAAACAAAAAGAAGAUUAAUGAGAGCAAUCGUAUUCUUAAGUCUGUAAGUAGUCUGCAUGAUUUGAAAUCAUUUUCAUGGCAUCUAUAUUAAUUACAAAGGAAAAUUCUUUCAUGUUGGAAAAAAAUUAGAUUAGCUGCCCAAAUCUCUUUGGUCAAAUCCUUAACUUUAAGGUUGUAGAAGGUGUUCUACUUACAGAGAGGAAACUAGCUGGACAAAACUAUGUUCCAAAUUUGUUUGAAACAGGAUAUGGAUAUAAGUAGUUUUUUUUUUUUUUUUUUUUUUUUUUUUUUUGCAUAUUAAACCAACUUUUUGUUAAUGGUGGGUGGGGUUGGUGAAGCACACAAUCUAUCUGACACAAAGAAGAUUGAGUGAGAACCGUAUGCGACAACGCCUACAACUUAUAACCAAACUGGGCAGCAAAUUGUGAACCGCCUCCCCCUAAUUUGUACAUCAACAAUCUGUCACUUGAUGCUUUUGAGCUGAAGGAUUUUUCUUUAUUUAUCUUCUAAGCUUCUACUUAAACAUUGAUACUUUGCCUUUUGGACUUUUGCGCUUAGCUAUAGUUUGUUUUCUCAGACGGACUCUCUCCAUCAUGCUUCAUAGUCUCCAUGAUAAACUUUCGAAUUAGAAGAGUUUUUCCUGUGUAUCCUUUGUAUGUAUUCUUGCCUUCAUGGAAGAGUAACUAACUUUUUCUUGACUUGUUAGAUAAAUCCCAGCAUGGAGGUUGUCUUUAUCAAGAAUAGUUAAUGACCAACUUAAGUAAUGCAGUGAUUGUGUUUUAUUGGGUUAUGAUUAUGCUCCCUAAGAUUUUUACCCUAGAUUUCUUUAACAAUUUUAUUUCUUUUGUAUUAUUUGUCGUCUUCUACUGACUUUGUGUUUGAUGAAUCGAAGAUGGAGUGGAUGCUUGAAGAGGUCAUAUGAUAAAGGUGUUACCUGGACAAAAAGAGAACAACUUCCUCCCGGUAUAUUAGGACCUAUAAAGAAUAAGGUAUUACUGGAAUUCACAUGUUAGAUGUUGGUACAUGUGAUCAUAUAUGCAUUGCGGUCGAUACUAAAAGACAACACUAUACUCUCUACUUUGCUAUUACUCAGCCUAUCCUGCUGGAAAAUGGAGAUUUGCUCUGUGGAUCCUCCGUUGAAAGUUGGAACUCUUGGGGGGCAUGGGUGGAGGUUGUUACAGAACUCAGUUAGCUAGAGUGGUUACAUCUUCCUGAGUUUUGGUUGGUUGACUGACAUUAUAUAAUUCAACAGGUUGCAACAGAUUCUGUUAGGUCUUGGAGAAAGUAUGGUCCCAUUUACAUUGAAAAUGAAACUCUCAGUGUGAUUCAGCCAGUUCCUUACCAGACUGCAAAAGGGACCUUGCGCCUUUUAAUGCGAUCCUUUGAUCACAUUGGUAGAGUUUGCAUCUCAGAAUCCCAUGACGGUGGCCAAAACUGGGAAUACGCAAAACCUACUGAUCUCCCCAAUCCAAAUUCAGGUUGGCUUGUUAUCAGUUCUUAUAUAUUUGAAAAUACUAUAAGAACAUUAAAAAUUUACAAUAUAUUCAGCUGGAAAUUGAAAAUGGAUUCCAUUUUGUUCAAAAUGCUCUCUGAAUGGACUUUUAUUGUAGCAUCAAAUAUGCACUUGGUAAAUUAAUCAAUUUGAUUUCAUUCUUGUUAGCUGCUGUAGUAUUUUCUGUUUAUUUGAAGUCAUACGUAAACAAAACUAAAAUGAGUGUAUGUCACGUUCAUCGGCUAAAUAAAUCUAGUCUUUCAAUUCUGAUGUUCAAUCUUGCUUAAUCAAAUUCAUCCAAUUAGGUAUUGAUGGUGUAAAGCUAAGAGAUGGCUCUGUUUUACUUGCAUAUAAUACAAUCUCAAGGGGUGUACUUAAAGUUGCGCUCUCGGAUGAUGAUGGGGACUCAUGGUGUGAUGCUUUGACUUUGGAGGAGGAUUUGGAAAUGGAGUUCUCAUAUCCAGCUGUUAUUCAAGCAAGUGAUGGGUGUGUUCACAUAACUUACACUUACAAUAGAACACAAGUUAAGGUACUUCUUCGAUAUCUCAUGUGUUAGAUUCAUUAAAGGAGAUUCAUAUAUUCUCCUUUUACCAUUCAAUAGUUUAAUCUGCUGUUUGUCUCUCCAUAGGAUAUCUAAUUUCUCAUUCCUUUUCUUUUGGCAGCAUGUUGUCCUUAAACCAAGUUGAUGCAAUGGAUGAGAACAAAGGGAACAAGAUUACCAGUCUCUAUAUUGUAGCACAAUUUUUCAGCAUGGUAUAAGUAGAUCCCCAGACCACAAUAUGUAAUAGACACUUAUGUAUGACUGGGGAACCUUAUGAUAGUCAUGUGUAUAUUUGGUUUGUUUGUAUAUUACUAACAAGUGAAAUUCUGUUAAGACUUGGGAGUGAACAUGAAUUACAAUCAGUAGUUUUCUGAAAUUUGGGUAAUUUGGUUAUUGGGCCUAGUUGUUGGAAUUUCAUCGACUUGUAAUCCACCAACCAUAUGGGCCUAUGAUACAGAGCCACAUUCACCUUCAAAGGUUUGCAUGGUCUAAAAUUGUCGGGGUUGCUAUAAAGACGUUAGUUGUCCUGAAAUGUGUGUAUUAUUAGAGCAAAAUAUCUGUUGGUUUUCCUCUCAACUCUAAUGCAAUGGAAAGUCAGAUAUUGAUUUGCAUUUUGUUGCUUAUUAAACCUGGAUCACAUCUUUGUUUCAGUGUCAUCAUCUGACUCUUGGACUUGGAUCCUCUCCCCUCGACUCUUUCCCAGCUUGAAGCCUUGAAUGGAUCACGUUGAAUGCCGUAGGUCAUCGGUACCUUCAUUUCACACUCAUCUUGUAAACCUUCUCUUCUCCUUUCCACCCAGUUUUUUUUUUACUUGCAUCAAAGCACUCAAAUUCAAUGUAAUUAGCAGAAAGAAUCAUCUUCUAAGUAAUAAAAAAAAAAAUGUGAAAGAAUGAUUCUUCAUGAUAUCAAAUUCCUGGUGCAAACUUUCUAGGAAAUUUAAUCCAAACAUGUUUAGAGAGAACAUAUUUUGUUGCGGAUGCAUCGGCCAAAAUAAGACGCUCGGGUUUUUUAGGAGAUGAAAGACUAUUCAGUAAUGGCACGUUUAUGAUUACGGGCAUUCAAAUUCCUGUUUUUAUUAAUACAGAGGAAUUAGAAUGAUUCCGGGUAAAAAAAGCCUUUUUUUUUUUGCAUCGUCAUUUGUGGGUAUUUAGAGCUCUUGCCGAGCCAUAUCCUCGUUAGAGCCAUUACAAGAUUGAUGAUAUAAAAAAUUUGCAACCUUUUUCGAGCCAAAUAUUAAAAACAACAAUGGUAGUCAUUUCUAGAUGAUAUCUUGUAUAGCCAUUCCAAGAAUUGGAAAUGGAUAUUGCAAUACUUAAACCCUUUUAAGUUGGGAGAUUUUGGAGCCAAGAGAAAAGAGAAAUUUAUUUCCCCAAGAGGCAUACAAUGUAUGUGAACACAUUACGUACGUAGCAGCAGCAUCCACAUCCCUAUAAUAGUUUCUGUUCCCAAAUCAUCAUCAUAAUAUCUGAAAUGAGGUCGACGUCAUAUCCCCCGAACAGAAACCCAGCGCCAAUUCCGGGGGAGUCAAUACAAGAUACACAUUCACUUUCUGCAUUCAAUUUGUAGAGAUAAGAUUUCCCGACCCAUUUAUUGUGGGAAAUUAAAGCUAGAGAGUUGAAUUCCAGAGUGACAGAAGAAGAAGAAGGAAGAAGAAGGAAGAAGAAGAAGUAGUAGUCAAAAUACCCAUUUCGUGUUGUACAAGCAUAACUACUGCGAAGGCAGAUUUCCUCUUUAAGAACUAAGCUAGGGUUUUAUCAUCAUCAUGGUGAAAGAAUAAGUCGUCACAGACUCUGUAGUGUUGUUCUGAUUUGUUCCCUCUCGUUUUUCUCUUUCGCAGUGGGCUUUGAAAAGCUGCACUCGUACGUCCUUGACAUAAGUGAAAGCGUUCCAGUUUUUGAACAACAGAACAAGUCAGCUUUUUGUCCACUGUCUUCACAGGCGCAUGUUCGAGCUUUAUAGUGAUGACUUGCCUCCUUCGCCUUUACCAUCUCUCUCUCUCUCUCUCUCAAACUGUAUGCACAACAGAGUUCUGGCAUGGAUUUCUUGGCUGGAGGAGAGAGAGGAGGGAGUACGUAACUUGUUUAGGUAAUAUGGGAGUGGGUUCUCUGUGUGUUGUAGACUUGUAGCAGCUUUUGAGUAGGCAUUAUGCAUGUGGGCAUGGGGGCUUUUGACAUCUUUACAGGGCUAGGGAUGCUUUGUCUUUACGGUAUUUGUUUUUACCUUUGUAAUGCCCUGGGAAUCAGAAUCUUUCAGGAGUUUGGAUUUCUGUGCCGGAGCUCAUACAAAAGAAAAGGAGAUGCAUGUUUUGGAGACAAAAAAGACAGAAAUUUUUGGUUCUUGGAAGCUGGCCAAUUGGUUAUAGUUGGACACAAAUAUUUGAAAUUUGAAGUAAAACUCAUAGCGAGAUUCUUCAGCCCACUUUGGUAGGUGUCUCACGAGCCAUUUUCUAAUGACGCGUGGACACAUGUUCAAACUGUAAUGAAUCAACAAAAGGAAAACGUGAAAAUGGUUCAAACAAUGUUUGACCUUUCACAUAAGCUAACUUUUGACAUUCCAUCUUUCAAAAACUUCAAACAAUAUUUCACACUCUUACCACGAUAAAAAAAUGAAGGUUAGGAGAAGGAUGAAGGCCGACUUGCCUUGUAUAAGGAAGGCCUGGAGGUCCCUUAUGCUUUUAAAGCGUUGUGUAAGUACAUAAGCUUGAUUUGUCUUCUUGUCUGUCAUUGUUCACAUUAUGAGUGUUUAUUUGCUUUGUGCAGCGAAUGCAUCUUGCAUGCUAACCGAUUAGGAGCCGGGUCGCUGUAAAAGGGUAAUAUAUGGAUGUUGUCAAGCAGUAUGGCGGGAUUCGACGUGCCUCAUUUCUCAUCGUUUGUUGUUCUUGUCGAAUUUGGGCCGUCACGGAAGCCAAGUUAGUUUAGUUGAUUUUAGAGUUUCAGACUUCUCUAAAUUUGGUCUUCCCUUUUUGCUUCAUGACUAACCAUGCUUAAUCUAUUCGUAGAUUUUCUUAAUGGCUAAAUAGAUCAACCGGAUGAAGAGCCACACGCCUGGAUUUAUGACAUGCGUGCUCAGAGUCAAUUUGCGCGAUUAGUUUUUGUACCAGGUCCAACCUAUGAUCCUGUUGCUGGUGGGAUAGUAUUUCAUGAGAUGUCGCCUAAAGAGGCAGAAAAUCCACCUGCUGCCGUGAGAGUGAAGGUGGUGAUGCCAUCGAUGGGUGGAUCAGCGAAGUCUUUGCCUCGGUCGUCAAAGAAUAUAAGUAUUUUGGAGGGAGAGUCAUCCCUGUUUGAAGGAUAUUGUUGUAAGCAGGGCUGAACAUGGUGGAAGGCCUUGUAAGAGGGAUGGGCGCAGCCCUAUCUCACCGAUCAGUUCCCCAGUCUGGAGGAGGUCUCCUUGGUCGUGCUUUUGAUGACUUCUUAAGCAAUUACAGAUCGACCUAGUCGCCAUUAAUGAUUAAUUAAUAUGGUUCAAAUGACAGCGGGCUUCCCUCAUCAUCUCCUUUAGUCUCAUCCGCUAUGCACUCCAUUUUUUCGUUCGGCAAUCUUCAUGUCGUAAACUUCUUGNNNNNNNNNNNNNNNNNNNNNNNNNNNNNNNNNNNNNNNNNNNNNNNNNNNNNNNNNNNNNNNNNNNNNNNNNNNNNNNNNNNNNNNNNNNNNNNNNNNNNNNNNNNNNNNNNNNNNNNNNNNNNNNNNNNNNNNNNNNNNNNNNNNNNNNNNNNNNNNNNNNNNNNNNNNNNNNNNNNNNNNNNNNNNNNNNNNNNNNNNNNNNNNNNNNNNNNNNNNNNNNNNNNNNNNNNNNNNNNNNNNNNNNNNNNNNNNNNNNNNNNNNNNNNNNNNNNNNNNNNNNNNNNNNNNNNNNNNNNNNNNNNNNNNNNNNNNNNNNNNNNNNNNNNNNNNNNNNNNNNNNNNNNNNNNNNNNNNNNNNNNNNNNNNNNNNNNNNNNNNNNNNNNNNNNNNNNNNNNNNNNNNNNNNNNNNNNNNNNNNNNNNNNNNNNNNNNNNNNNNNNNNNNNNNNNNNNNNNNNNNNNNNNNNNNNNNNNNNNNNNNNNNNNNNNNNNNNNNNNNNNNNNNNNNNNNNNNNNNNNNNNNNNNNNNNNNNNNNNNNNNNNNNNNNNNNNNNNNNNNNNNNNNNNNNNNNNNNNNNNNNGACGGUAAAAAUGGUAAAUUUUGGUUAGUAAAAGAUAAUUUUUAUUGGGGUAUUAUUUUGUGGUGUUAUUUUGGUAGUUGGAUUUAUUUUUAUUGGUGUGGGUAUAUUGGUGUUGGAUCGGUUUUGGGGGAGGCCCAAACCAUUUCUCUCCUCUCUUCCUUCUCUUCUUCUUCCCAACCUUCUCUCUUCCUCAUUGCACUGCCGGAGACUCCCUAAGCUCCAUUGCCGUCGUCUGGUCAAGAGGAGACGCCGCACCGAUCCAGCAUAGUCUGCUGUCCUCUCCGCCGUCAUCUUGGACUGGUGAGUGACGCUGCAACGUCGCCGAACGGAGGAAGUCCUCCUUGGAAGCCCAGUGGUCUUCUCGCCGGAACUCUCUCCUCCGGCCGCCAUAGCUAGCAAUCCAUGGCUCAUCUUGAAGCUCUAUUUCUAGGGUAGUAAUCCCUUGAAAGGUUUUGGUCCAGUUCGUGCUUGGUAAGAAGAAAUCCUGCUUGAUUGAAAUUCUAGGGCUCAUUUGAUUUUUUUGUUCGAUUACCCUAUCUAGGUUGGAAAUUUGUGUUUGUGGUAGUUAGGAAAGUUGUAGAGUAGGUUGAGAGGAAACUGCUGUCAAAAUUUGGUAGGUAUUGGAGGUCGCCAGAGUCGGCCUCCAACCGCCGCUAUUUGGGGGAUUUUCAUAGUUUUAAAUUGGUUAUAUCAAGGGAAGUUAUUGAUGAGAAUUUUGAAAUUUUUGGAGGAGUUUUGGAUAGGUUUGGGAAUUUUUAAAGCUUAGUAAUUUUGGCAGUUAUUUAAGCUAGAAUCCAGCUGUUGGAUUAAAGUCGUAUAAUCUGUAGAAAGUUGAAUUAAAGCUGCCGGUAUAUUCGGUGAAGUUUGGACCAUAUUGUGUUAAGAAUGGCGAAGUUGGGCAAGGAUGAGUGUGAUUAAGACUCACAUUUAAUUUUGCCUAUUUUGUGUAAGUUUUGGAUUUUUGGUUGGGAAAUUAAUUAUAUAUUUGGAACAGGACUGUAAUACCCUAGAUUUUCAUAUCAUUUUUCCUUGUAUUAUUCCUUUAUUUAAUGAAGGAUUAUUUAUGGAAAUUCUUUGGUUUAUGCGAAGUUGAAGUUUCGGGAGUUUAUUUAAGGUGUCUUGACUUUUAAGAGGCCAAAAGUUGACUUUAUUUUCCGUAAGUUAUCUUUGAAAACUUCCUUCAUGAAAGUUGUAGAGUUUGUCGAUACGAGUUCGUAGACAUGAGGCACGCUUGAAACGGAUGUCAUAUGAGAAAGUUAUGAUCAGAGGAAGUUAGUUUCCGGGAUUGGAAAGUGUAUAAGUAGAAAAAUGUGUGUGGGAGUUAUUUUGGAACCCUAAAAAGUCAGCCCCCCUCUCUUUUCUCUCUUCUCUCUCUUCUCUCUCUUCCUCUCCCGAGGACCAAGCUUCCACCGGAGCUAGCUCCGCCUUCCGGCCACCACUUGGACCACCACCAGUUCCGUUCGACUCCCACAAGUGCUCUCUUCAAGGCUGGGCAGCUGCUGCUUGAUUUGGCACGCCGGAAUCGGAGCCUUGUUGCCGGAAAGAGGGCUGCUGUGUUUCCGGUCGGUUGCCGUUUUCGACGGCGACGAGGGGCAUCCUUAGGUGAGUCUUCAUCCCCUCCUCCUCCUAGCAGUGUCUAGGCAUAGAUUGAAGCAAGUUUUUGAGGUUUUGAGGACGAUUUUGCAGGUUUUGUAGUUGAAUUUCUGGUCACGGUUCGGGGCAGUUUCCGGCCAAAAUUGGUUGAAGUCUCAGGUAUGAAAGUUGUUCCCCUUGCUUCAAGCUUCAACUUUGCUGUUGAGUUUUCUCAAAUUCGGAAGUUGGUGGUGGCACGUGGGGCCCAUUCGCCGCCGCCUGUGGUGGUGCGUGGCAGCGCAUCUGACAGUGGUUUUGGCUUAGGUUGCUAUGUUUUAGCUAGCUCUUGUUGUGGUGAGCUUAUGGAGAUGUAGAAUUUCUAGGUUGUGAGAAAUGUUUGUUUGUUAGGACUUUAAGUUUGUUAGUAGACUUGGUGGAGUUUUGAGUUAGGAUUUGAGGAUUAGAGGUAGCCAUUUUGGGUCUCUAAGUUCGACGACUUUGGAAAGUUGUCCUCCCUUGAACUAAGGGUUAAUUUAAGGGUAUUGUGAUAACCUAUAGUAAUUUAGUUACUAAGGUUUUAAUUGUGUUAUUUUUAGGUGAUUUGUGAAGUUGUGUUUGGUUUGCUAUUGUCGGCUUGUGGAAUUUGCAGCGGGAUUUUUAGCUGAGUAAAUCUCACUAAGGUUCACUUUUGAACCAAAUGUUAUUAUGGUCAUGUGAUGAUGAUAACGAUGAUAAUGUUGGAUUUAAUAAUAUGCUUUUAAUUGUUUUUAAAAAUAUAUGAGCUUGAUCGUCAACGGCUCAUAGGUAAGAUAAAACAAGUUUUCUUUAAAUGCUAUUUUGAGAUUCAUGUGAUCAUAAUUUUAUUGAUUAUUGAUAGAUUAUUCUUGUGGAAUAUCUAUAAUUUGUUCAUGUAAAUAUAUCCAUGUGGUAGGAUAUAAUUUAUGAUGUGAUAUUGUGUUGUUGAGAAUAAUGAUGUGAUAUUGUGUUGUUGAGAAUAAUGAUGUGAUAUUGUGUUGUUGAGGAUGAUGUUGUGAUAUUAUGAUUGUUGGAUAAAUAACCAAACCGGGUUCCAAGCCCUUAAUUGGGUGAUUGGUUGCGGUUAAGAUGUUAUUUAUCAUUUUUGUGUCUAAUAUUAGACAGUCAAACUGGGUUCCAAGCCUUUGGCCGGGUGAUUGGUUGCGGUUAGGAAUAGAGCUCUGGUCCGUCUGCCAGUGUAGGUCAUGGGAGAUACUAUAUGGUAUCUGGGACCCAUGGGUACACAUUUUUUUGUUGUAGGUCACGAGGGGUAUUUAUUAAUACCUGGGACUCAUAUGUACAUAAUAAUUGAGAAAGUGUUGGAUUUGUGGUUUUAAUUAUUGAUUUAUUUGUUCUUGUGAUAUAAUUGGUAAUUUGAGGUUUUGGUGUUAUUUUGAGAAUUACUCAUACGGGCUUUUUAGCUUACCGGGUUUGUUGUUUACAACCCGGUGCACCAAUUCUUGGUGUAGGGGUUAGACCUGCAAGUGAGGAUCAGCAGGGUUGAGACGGAGGAUUAGUGGCAAGGUUUUUUGUUGGGUUUUGUUAUACAUUGUAUAUUUCCAUAUUUGGGGUAGAUAACAUUAAACUCAUGUGAGCGUUUUCAUUUUCUUGACUUUCAAGUUUAUGUAAAUAAGGAAAUGUAAUAUUUAACUCAGUGUUGAGUUGUGUAACAUUUACAUUUUCCGCAUUGAGUUUAGUUUUCCUUGAAAUUUGUUUGAAACAGGUUUUGGGAUUACAUUAUUUUAAGUUAUAUCAUGCCCAAAUUUUUGAAAAUUAUCCUUCGAAAAUUGGGGUGUGACAAGGACGUGAGAAGGCUCGAGCGGAAGAGGCCUCAGAUCCACAUCAGGCUUAGGCCUAUUUUGUGAGUGGACUUUUGUUUUAACUAAAAGCAUGCGAUGCAUUAUAUUGUUGAUCAAUUAUUCUUCUGCUAAGAUUUAUUGCUUUCUCUAAUAUUUGACAAUUUUCAUCUUUUGGAGAGUUCCCGAAAAAGAGAUUUUCGGUGGAUAUGUAUAUUGAAUGUUUAUGAGUAUAGUAUGUAUAUAAAUGCUAGCUAGCCAUACGUGCUUGGUCCGUCAUAAUGAGGUAAAAUUUCAUUAUGGCGUGACGUGAGUGUUAGACACAAGCGUCAUACCCCUAUAUGAAAACUAUUUUCUUAUCUGGUUCAUAUAAGUUUUCAUAUAGGGAGUCCACACGUAUAUACACUCGUCCUCUUCGGUCAUAAUGAGAAAAAAUUUCAUUAUGGCACGACGUGAGCGUUAGACGUAAGCGUCGUAGCCUUAUAUGAAUUUCUAUUUUUCUAUCUUGUUCAUAGAAUUCAUACAAGGAGUCUGACGAGUGUAAAUACAUACAUAUAUAUAUUUAUUUAUGGUUUUGCCUGAGAGGCUCUAGUUUUAUUGAGUUUUGGAGACUAGCCAGAGCUAGUCUUGUAUUUGCCAAUUUGUGAGUAGAAAGCUUUGAGCUGUCGCAUGCAGCAUAAAUUUUAUGGAAAUUAAAAUGGAAAUGCAUAAAUAUUUAUUUAUUAAUUUAUUUUUAAUCACUCACUCUAACGGUUUCAAAUGUUUUCCCCUGGGCCCUUCGUUUUAAAAUACCCACUCUACAGAGUGCGGGUUGGAUCUAGUAGGAGUAGAGGCAUAGUCACCCAUUUCUCCACCACCUUUCAUCAGUAGGUUACCUGUUUACCUACCCGCAUAUUUUCUUGUUUCCUCUAGUUCUAGUGGCUCUGAUUACCUUACGGAUAAUGUAUAUUAGUUCGGUCGCGUGCUAAGUCUUAGAGUCAAAUUUGGAAUAUUUGAAUGUUGAAGUUUGUUAUAUUAUUUGGAUAUUUAUAAGAUGGUUUUAUUAUUUUGUUGUGGUGGUUGUAUUGUGGGGAGCGGGUGCCUCCAAGAGUUGAGGUUGGAUGUGUCGAUAUAGGAGUGUGGUUUGAAUUGUUUUUCAGGUAAGGGUUGUCCAUUUUUAAGGGAGGUUAUGCCGAUUUUUGCGGUAAAUUUUCCUUGGAGGUGGUCCCCGCAAGACUUACUUCGGGUUUCAGGGUGAAAUUCGGGGUGGAUCUUGACAGUUGGUAUUAGAGCUUUAGGUUUCAUUUCCUGUCUCCUUGUCACUAUCAUAUUUACCUAAGUAGCACGUAGUGUCUAUAGAGUGAUGAUCCGACUGCGGCGGAUUCAUUGGCAGUAUGCUUUGGAUGCUAUAUGUUAUUGGGUAUGUGUGAUAGUUGUGUUAGUCUUAUUUAUAGACUACUAAAUAUCUUCUUCCUCAUGUAUUAUGCCUCCUAGACGUCAACGCCAACCCUGUGAGACUGGUUUGACCAACGCCAAUGAGGGCAAUGAGGUCAGAGAGCUAGUAGAUUCUAUAGGAGAUAUGAUAAGGGGAGUUCUGGAUCGGACUCAGAACCCUUGGACUAUGAAGAAGAAGGAUGUUUAUGAGGCUGGGGCAAGGGAGUUCAAGGGUGUCAAGGGACCCCUUGAUGCUUAUACUUGGGUAGACAGGAUGGAAAAGGCUUUUCUGAGCACUGAUUUGCCGGAGGAUAAGAAAGUGAAGAUGACGGUGACUAUUCUGGAUGAUUCAGCACAUCACUGGUGGUCACUUUCCAGCAGGAAUAUUGAGGAUGCUCAGGGUAUGACUUGGGAGCAGUUUAAGACGCUCUUCUUGGGGCAGUAUUUCAGUCGUUCCCACUGCAGUAGGAUUCAGUCGGACUUCCUGAACAUUCAGAAGAGGGAUGAUGAGGGUGUCAUAGAGUUCGAGCAGAGAUUCACUUCCCUGAGCUACCAUGUGUCAUAUCUGGUUCCUAAUGGGAGGAUCAGGAUUGAGAUGUUCGUUGGGGCACUUGGUGGAGUGUAUGCAGACAAGAUGACGGGUGUAAUUUACCCGACCUUUAUGGAUGCAGAUAGUGCAGCCAUGGCCAUUGAGACCAGGGGGACAUAUGGUGUAUGGCCCCGAGAUUACAGUGGCCCCAGUUAGGGUCCAUCCAAGAAGGCUGCUUCAUCAUCCGCUUUCGGGUCUUCUGCUGGUAGUGGCAGUAGUGGGGGAUCGAGCUCUGGUGCUCGGAAUAGAAAUAGAGGACAUUUUAGGAGACCUUCUCGGAGUUAUUUGGGUAGGCAACAGUCUGGUCAGUUUGGUACUGGUGGCAGUUUUCAUAGUGGGACAUCUGGUGGCCAGACUUUUUCUUAUGGGCAGCAGCAAUUUUCUGGGUGCUUUGAGUGUGGUGGUCAGGACCACUUUAGGAGAGAUUGUCCAUUGUUAGCUCAGAGGACCACCCCCACCCCUACUCAUCCAGUUGGUUAGUCUUAAACUAGAGGCUCUAGUAGUGGUGCCCAGGGCAGUGCAUCGGCCAGUGGUGGCUCUUGGCAGAGUGGUGGUUAGCGUGGACAUCCCAUGACUCGCGCUAAACUUCAUGCUAUGACCUAGCAGGAGGGUCGUAUUUCUCCAGAUGUCAUCAUUGGUACAUUAUUAAUUUUUGGCCAGCCUGCAUUUACUUUAAUUGAUCCUGGAGCCACGCAUUCAUUUAUGUCUAGUAGAUUUGCCCUCCAUGCCAAUGUGCCAUCAUCGUCUCUUCCAGGCGAGUGGCAUGUGUCUCUACCCUCCGGUGAGGUGAUGAGAAUUAAUUGGAUGUUUAGUGGUUGUGAAGUAUUAGUAGAGGGAUUUAAUUUCAAGGCAGAUUUAAUUCCUUUAGACAUAGUGGAGUUUGAUGUGAUCUUGGGAAUGGACUUUUUGGAAGCAUAUAGAGCUAUGGUAGAUUGUUUUCGAAAAGUGGUGGUGCUUCGAAGUUAAGAUGGAUGUGAGGUUGCAUUUCAAGGGGAAAGAGAUGUUAUUUCGAGUUGCCUGAUAUCUGCUGUUGCUGCUAAGAAAUUAUUAAAUAAAGGCUGUCAGGCAUGUUUAGCUCACAUUGUGGAUACAAAUGUGGGAGUUUUUGGAGUAGAAGAUAUUCCUAUAGUAAGGGAGUUUCCGAAUGUUUUUCCUAAGGAGUUGCCUAGUUUGCCUCCUGUAAGGGAGAUAGGCUUUUCUAUUGAGUUACUUCCUGGAACUAUUGCUAUCUCUCAGUCACCUUACAGAAUGGCUCCAGCGGAAUUAAAGGAGUUGAAGACUCAAUUGCAGGAGUUGGUAGAUAAGGGUUUUAUUCAGCCUAGCAUGUCUCUAUGGGGUGCUCCGGUUUUGUUUGUUAAAAAGAAAGAUGGCACCAUGAGGCUAUGCAUUGAUUAUAGGAAGCUAAAUCAAGUCACGGUGAAGAAUAAAUAUCCGUUGCUCCGCAUUGAUGAUUUAUUUGAUCAGUUGAGGGGUGCUUCAGUUUUCUCAAAGAUUGACUUGAGAUCUAGUUAUCAUCAACUACGGAUCCAGGAGAGUGACAUAGCCAAGAUUGCUUUUCGGUCACGAUAUGGUCAUUAUGAAUUUGUGGUGAUGCCGUUUGGACUUACUAAUGCACCCGCGGCGUUCAUGGAUCUUAUGAAUAGGGUGUUUAGUCCAUAUCUAGAUCGUUUCGUGAUCGUAUUCAUAGAUGACGUCUUGUUUUACUAUGAAUAAUAUUGCGGACUUUGAGAAAUUCUCAGUUAUAUUGCGGACUUUGAGAAAUUCUCAGUUAUAUACUAAGUUUAACAAGUGUGAGUUUUGGCUAGAUAAAGUGGGGUUCUUGGGUCAUGUGGUUUCGGCAGAAGGAGUUAAUGUGAACCCCCAAAAGGUGGAAGCAAUGUCAAAUUGGAGAAGACCCACCAUUGUGACGGAGAUUCGUAAUUUCUUGGGAUUAGCAGGUUAUUAUCGGCGCUUUGUGCAAAAUUUUUCAAAGAUUGCUGCUGCUAUUACAAGAUUGACCAAGAAGGGUGUUAAGUUUGAAUGGUUAGAUCAAUGUGAGCAAAGUUUUCAGGAAUUGAAGAAUCGUUUGACUAGUGCUCCUGUUUUGGCACUUUCAGAUGAUAGUGGGGAGUAUGUGUUUUAUUGUGAUGCUUCUAGACGUGGUCUAGGUGGGGCAUUGAUGUAGCAUGAUCGAGUUAUUACCUACACUUCUAGACAAUUAAAGCCGCAUGAGGGGAAUUAUCCCACUCAUGAUCUAGAGCUUGCAGCGGUGGUUUUUGCUCUCAAGUUGUGGAGACACUAUCUUUAUGGAGCCAAGCGUCAGAUUUUCAUUGAUUACAAAAGUCUUCGGUAUGUGUUCACUCAAAGACAGCUAAAUAUGAGACAGAGAAGGUGGAUGGAGUUGAUCAAUGAUUAUGAUUGCACUAUCGAAUAUCAUCCUGGAAAAGCUAAUGUGGUAGCAUAUGCUCUUAGUCGAAAUCCCUCCAUAUUUUUAUCUCAUAUAAAGACGGUUCGAGUUCCACUUCUUUGUGAAUUGCGAGCUACAUGGGUGGAUUUAUUAGUGGAUGAAGUUGGUGCUUUGGUAGCUAGUUUUCAUGUGAGGCCAAUUUUGGUUGAUAGAAUGCGGAAGGCACAGCAUAAAGACCCUUUCAUAGUUCAGUAGAUAGAAAGAACAUCGAGUGGAACCACCGUUGAUUUUUCAGUUAGAAGAGAUGGAACUUUAUUGUUCAAGAAUAGGCUUUGUGUUCCGAAGAGAAAUGAAGAGUUAAAGAAGGAGAUAAUGGAGGAAGCUCAUAGUUCGGCAUAUGCUGCUCAUCCGGGCAGUACAAAAAUGUAUCGGACUUUGAAGGAUUAUUAUUGGUGGCCAAAUAUGAAGAGGGAAAUAACAGCUUUUGUGAGUCGGUGUUUAAUCUGUCAGCAAGUGAAAGCUGAAAGGCAGAAACCUUCAAGGUUGCUUGAGCCGUUGUCUAUUCCAGUGUGGAAGUGGGAUCACAUCACCAUGGAUUUUGUUUUCAGUAUACCUCGUACUCGUGAAGGGCAUGACGGUAUUUGGGUGAUUGUGGAUAAACUCACCAAGUCUGCACAUUUCUUGCCAGUGGGAAACAAGUAUAAAUUGGAUAAAUUGGAUAAAUUGGCGGAGCUUUAUGUGAAUGAAAUUGUGAGGCUUCAUGGUGUACCUAAAUCAAUAGUAUCAGAUCGAGAUCCUAGAUUUGCUUCUAAAUUCUGGGGAGCUCUUCAAGUAGCUUUAGGCACCCAAUUGCACUUCAGCACUGCUUUUCAUCCUCAGACCAAUGGGCAAUCGGAGAGGACUAUUCAGACUCUAGAGGAUAUGUUGAGAGCUUGUGCUUUGCAGUUCAGAGGGAGUUGGGAUAAAAACCUAUCUUUGAUGGAAUUUGCAUACAAUAAUAGCUAUUAUUCUAGUAUUGGUAUGGCUCCCUUUGAGGCACUUUAAUUAUGGGAAGCAGUGUCGUACGCCUUUGUGUUGGAAUGAAAUAGGAGAAAAAGAGCUUUGUGGUCCCGAGUUGAUUCAUGAUACGAAUGAGAAGAUUAAAGUGGUCAAAGAUAUACUCAAGGCUGCUCAAAGUAGGUAGAAGAGUUAUGUAGAUGUCCGUAGGAAGGACCUUAAGUUUCAAGUGGGUGACUGGGUGUUCUUGAAAUUAUCUCCUUGGAAAUGGGUAGUACGUUUUGGUAAACGUGGAAAGCUUAGUCUGAGGUAUAUUGGCCCUUAUGAGAUUAUAGAGCGAGUUGGCUCACUUGCUUAUCGGUUACUAUUGCCUCCAGAAUUAUCAAAGAUACAUAAUGUGUUUCAUGUAUCCAUGCUUCGCAAGUAUAUUGCUGAUCCCUCUCGUGUGCUACAAGAGCAGCUGAUUAGUUUGCAGAAGGAUUUGUCCUAUGAAGAGGAGUCGGUUUAGAUUCUUGACCGAAAGGAGCAAGUGCUUAGGAACAAGACAAUCCCACUUGUCAAUGUGCUUUGGAGAAGUCAUCAAGAAGAGGAAGCUACUUAGGAAUCAGAGGAGCAAAUGAGGCAGCAGUAUCCCUAUCUUUUCGAUUGACAGGUAUGUAAAUUUCAAGGACGAAAUUUUUAUAAGGAAGGGAAAAUUAUCACAUCCCGACUCUUAAAUUUUUACCUUAUUUAAUAGCUUGGUAUUAAUAAGAAUUUUACCGUCUCCGUCAAUGAGGUUAUAGUUUAAUUGGUCCCUAGAGGGGUUUUGGGAGACGAUUAUUUCGGAGAAUUAUUCGUAGGAGAAAAAUGUGACGAUGGUAAAAAUAGUAAAUUAUUCGUAGGAUAGUAUUUCAUGAGAUGUCGCCUAAAGAGGCAGAAAAUCCACCUGCUGCCGUGAGAGUGAAGGUGGUGAUGCCAUCGAUGGGUGGAUCAGCGAAGUCUUUGCCUCGGUCGUCAAAGAAUAUAAGUAUUUUGGAGGGAGAGUCAUCCCUGUUUGAAGGAUAUUGUUGUAAGCAGGGCUGAACAUGGUGGAAGGCCUUGUAAGAGGGAUGGGCGCAGCCCUAUCUCACCGAUCAGUUCCCCAGUCUGGAGGAGGUCUCCUUGGUCGUGCUUUUGAUGACUUCUUAAGCAAUUACAGAUCGACCUAGUCGCCAUUAAUGAUUAAUUAAUAUGGUUCAAAUGACAGCGGGCUUCCCUCAUCAUCUCCUUUAGUCNNNNNNNNNNNNNNNNNNNNNNNNNNNNNNNNNNNNNNNNNNNNNNNNNNNNNNNNNNNNNNNNNNNNNNNNNNNNNNNNNNNNNNNNNNNNNNNNNNNNNNNNNNNNNNNNNNNNNNNNNNNNNNNNNNNNNNNNNNNNNNNNNNNNNNNNNNNNNNNNNNNNNNNNNNNNNNNNNNNNNNNNNNNNNNNNNNNNNNNNNNNNNNNNNNNNNNNNNNNNNNNNNNNNNNNNNNNNNNNNNNNNNNNNNNNNNNNNNNNNNNNNNNNNNNNNNNNNNNNNNNNNNNNNNNNNNNNNNNNNNNNNNNNNNNNNNNNNNNAUCGCUCUUCCUCCUGUCGUGUGUGAGCCGAUUGUGAGCAACGCUGUUCACAAAUUGUCGAAGAGCCGAGAUCCGAUUAUCAGGAAGAUAAAGGAGAUGCUUAGUGGAUUGCCAAUUCUGAUCCAGGAGACGUACAUACUGUCACAUCCCGACUCUUAAAUUUUUACCUUAUUUACUAGGUUGGUAUUAAUAAGAAUUUUACCGUCUCCGUCAAUGAGGUUAUAGUUUAAUUGGUCCCUAGAGGGGUUUUAAGGGACGAUUAUUUCGAAGAAUUAUUCAUAGGAGAAAAAUGUGACGACGGUAAAAAUGGUAAAUUUUGGUUAGUAAAAGAUAAUUUUUAUUGGGGUAUUAUUUUGUGGUGUUAUUUUUGGAGUUGGAUUUAUUUUUAUUGGUGUGGGUAUAUUGGUGUUGGAUCGGUUUGGGGAGGCCCAAACCAUUUCUCUCCUCUCUUCCUUCUCUUCUUCUUCCCAACCUUCUCUCUUCCUCAUUGCACUGCCGGAGACUCCCUAAGCUCCAUUGCCGUCGUCUGGUCAAGAGGAGACGCCGCACCGAUCCAGCAUAGUCUGCUGUCCUCUCCGCCGUCAUCUUGGACUGGUGAGCGACGCUGCAACGUCGCCGAACGGAGGAAGUCCUCCUUGGAAGCCCAGUGGUCUUCUCGCCGGAACUCUCUCCUCCGGCCGCCAUAGCUAGCAAUCCAUGGCUCAUCUUGAAGCUCUAUUUCUAGGGUAGUAAUCCCUUGAAAGGUUUUGGUCCAGUUCGUGCUUGGUAAGAAGAAAUCCUGCUUGAUUGAAAUUCUAGGGCUCAUUUGAUGUUUUUGUUCGAUUACCAUAUCUAGGUUGGAAAUUUGUGUUUGUGCUAGUUAGGAAAGUUGUAGAGUAGGUUGAGAGGAAGUUGCUGUCAAAAUUUGGUAGGCAUUGGAGGUCGGCGGAGUUGGCCUCCGGCUGCCGCUGUUUGGGGGAUUUUCAUGGUUUUAAAUUGGUUAUAUUAAGGGAAGUUAUUGAUGAGAAUUUUGGAAUUUUUGGAGGAGUUUUGGAUAGGUUUGGGAAUUUUUAAAGCUUAGUAAUUUUGGCGGUUAUUUAAGGUAGAAUCCGGCCGUUAGAUUAAAGUCAUAUAAUCUGUAGAAUGUUGAAUUAAAGCUGCCGGUAUGUUCGGUGAAGUUUGGACCAAAUUGAGUUAAGAAUGGCGAAGUUGGGCAAGGAUGAGUGUGAUUAAGGCUCACAUUUAAUUUUGCCUAUUUAGUGUAAGUUUUGGAUUUUUGGUUGGGAAAUUAAUUAUAUAUUUGGAACAGGAUGUGAGGAGGCUCGUGCGGAAGAGGCCUCAGAUCCACAUCAGGCUUAGGCCUAUUUUGUGAGUGGACUUUUUUUUUUAACUAAAAGCAUGCGAUGCAUUAUAUUGUUGAUCAAUUAUUCUUCUGUUGAGAUUUAUUGCUUUCUCUGAUAUUUGACAAUUUUCAUCUUUUGGAGAGUUCCCGAAAAUAAGAUUUUCGGUGGAUAUGUAUAUUGGAUGUUUAUGAGUAUCGUAUGUAUAUAAAUGCUAGCUAGCCAUACGUGCUUGGUCCGUCAUAAUGAGGUAAAAUUCCAUUAUGGAGUGAUGUGAGUGUUAGACACAAGUGUCAUAGCCCUAUAUAAAAACUAUUUUCUUAUCUGGUUCAUAUAAGUUUUCAUAUAGGGAGUCCACACCUAUAUACACCCGUCCUCUUCGGUCAUAAUGAGGAAAAAUUCUAUUAUGGCGCGAUGUGAGCGUUAGACGCAAGCGUCGUAGCUUUGUAUGAAUUUCUAUUUUUCUAUCUUGUUCAUAGAAUUCAUACAAGGAGUCUGACGAGUGUAAAUACAUACAUAUAUAUAUAUAUAUUUAUUUAUGGUUUUGCCUGAGAGGCUCCAGUUUUAUUGAGUUUUGGAGACUGGCCGGAGCUAGUCUUGUAUUUGCCAGUUUGUGAGUAGAAAGCUUUGAGCUGUCGCAUGCAGCAUAAAUUUUAUUGAAAUUAAAGUGGGAAUGCAUAAAUAUUUAUUUAUUAAUUUAUUUUUGUCCACUCACUCUAACGGUUUCAAAUGUUUUCCCCUGGGCCCUUUGUUUUAAAAUGCUCAGUCUGCAGAGUGCGGGUUGGAUCUAGUAGGAGUAGAGGCAUAGUCACCCAUUUCUCCACCAACUUUCAUCAGUAGGUUACCUGUUAACCUACCCCCAUAUUUUCUUGUUUCCUCUAGUUCUAGCGGCUCUGAUUACCUUAAGGAUAAUGCAUAUUAGUUCGGUCGUGUGCUAAGUCUUAGAGUUAAAUUUGGAAUAUUUAAAAGAAGUUUGUUAUAUUAUUUGAAUAUUUAUAAGAUGGAUCAAAAGAUGGUUUUAUUAUUUUGUUGUGGUGGUUGUAUUGUGGGGAGCGGGUGGCUCCAGGAGUUGAGGUUGGAUGUGUCGAUAUAGGAGUGUGGUUUGAAUUGUUUUUCAGGUAAGGGUUGUCCAUUUUUAAUAGAGGUUAUGCCGAAUUUUUCGGUAAAUUUUUCGGUAAAUUUUUCUUGGAGGUGGUCCCUGCAAAACUUACUUCGGGUUUCAGAGUGAAAUUCGGGGUGGGUCUUGACAGUUACAUUUCUAACAUGAUUAAAUUAAUGUAAUGGAUCAAUAAUUGUUCAGCUUUUGUUACUGAGUCUGCUGCUAUGAUCCACUUGCGUGAAGUACAAAAAGAAUUAAGUUGUUCAGGCCCACAAGGCUAUUGUCAUUGUGCGAAAGGAAAAGGAGAAAAUAGAAAAGUAUAUCCAAUCUUCGGCGGGGCGGGAAGCGGCAUGGAAGGGGAAAUGCGAAUAGGUUGCGAAGCUGUUUGUGAAGGCAAUUGUUAAUUUGCAGGAGGUUGAGGAGGCAGCGGAAAGCCGGCUUGCAGCAAAUGAGGAUCUAAUAGAAGAUUUAAUGAAGUCGAGGGCUGAGCUUGCGAACGAGAAGAGCAUGGCGACUAAGCUUUCUGAUUUGGUCUCAUCGAUGAAGUGAGGCGAGAGUAUGGAUGAGACGAUCUGAUCAACCAUGGAGCUUUAUUUUGAUAAUGUUGAAAAUCAUCGUCCCCAAGAAAGGCCCUUGGUAGAUGUCUUCAGGAUGCUUGAGCACUAUGCUCAACGCAAGCAAUAUUAGCUCUUGAAGCAACUAGGAGUGUUAAAGCUGAAUAAUCCAAAGAUCAGGCAAGCGAUGGAUGAUCGUAAUGAAUCGACCAGCUCGGAAGGGUCUAGCAGCUCGUCGGCAUCUGAUCUUGGUUCAUCAUUCAAUGAUGAGAGGAGGGUUUAUGUAAGGUAGAUACAAUGUAAGGAAGGCGUAGCUAUGUAUGUCUUUUUUGUUGUUGACUCUAGCUAUCGAUUAGUAGUAUAUUUGCUCAAGGAGAUCAGAGCCUGUGAUAAUUUGAGGUGUUUGAAACUUAUAAGCUUUCAAGCCUUUUUUUUAUUAAGCUUUCUAGCUUUGUUAGGUAUUUGAUAGCCAUAUGUGUGUUGUAUUGCUUGUGUUUUUGAUUGUGUUCAUUUCAAAGUAUGAAAUAUGAAAGGAAUUAAAAUUGUUGUUGUCUUUCGCACAAGGAAAGUAAACAAUGAUUUGAAUAAUUCUCUUUUUCAUUGCAUUAAAUUUAGCUAACACAAAGCAACCGGAAGGAAAUGUUCAUUUACAACUUGCCUAUGUAAAGAUAGGGCUUAGGGAGACAAGUCGUCUGUUAUUGUUGAUUAUGUCCUAUUACGGAAAAUGUGGUAUAACGAACGGUAUUUCACUUAGGUGAAGCUUUUGACCAGUCACGGUGUGGAUGUGAACGCAGUGAUAGAUGAUAUGGGUUAGCUAUGUCAAAGAGGCAAAUAUCCUAUUUGAUUUGGCCAUGAACAUGAAGUUCUCCUUAGAGCGCUUUGGGAAGGCAGUCUUGAAGCUUGCCUUCACGAAACAUUUGUUCGCACGCAUUUUGAAAGGCACAACAAUCGUUGAUGUGAUGGCCAUUUUCCAGUUUUCUUGCCAUUCUUUGAUUUGGGAAAUCUGCUUGGCGGAGUGGGUGGGAUUUGAUCUUUAUACUUCUCUUAAAUGUUUGCAUGGGUUGUGUUGAUGACCGAAUAGACCUUGAAUCUUGGCGUUGAAGCCCUGUAAUUGUUGUUACGGUCUCUACUAUCUCAGCCUGAGCGGUAAGCAUUGUGGCGAUCAUUUCCUUUGUAUCGCUAGUUGUUGAGUGUCUCAAUGAGCGAGAACGUCAUGGAGACUUAGAUUGAGAAUGUGAUCGAUCACGUUUCUUUGCAUCCUUCUCAAAGCCUUUGGCAUUUGCCAUUUGAUUUGUUGUCCAUGGUGGUGGGGUGUCCCCGAAUGUAUCAUAUUCAGAUUUGGCAUGACUGACUGCUAGUUCCAUGACUUCAUCUUAGUCUAGUGGGGGAAUUAGAGUGUUGAGCAAAGAUUUAAAGUUUACUUGUUGAACAACGAGCUGAGAGGCAUGGUUGGCGACCCCUUUAUCAAGCAAACGACACUUGAUGUUGUCAAGCGCCAACGAUUGACGUAUGAGCAAAAUCUCUCAUUUGAACAUUUGGUAAUGUGUAGUAGACCGCUCGAGUCUUCGAAUGAGCCAGCAACCAAUUGGAAGUGCUUUUAGAAAGCGUCUUAAAGUUCUUGGAAUGAGUUGAUUGAAUUUGAAGGCGACUUGUAGAACCAAGACAUGGCAUCUUUGACGAGGGUCUCCUGGAAAAGGUGGCAUAGGAUGACAUCAUCACAGUACUUGCACCGUACAGCCGACUCAAAAUACUCUAGGUGAGUAUAAGGUUUAGUGUGUCUCGAUCGAACGUAGAAUUCGAGCCAUGAAAGGGCCUAGUUGGGUAACGUAAUAGAGUUGGAAGUAAGGUCUGCGUGGGGAUGCCUCUGCUUUUCUCAAGCGGCACUCGAGCUCCUCAAAUCAUUGUAAAAUCAUGGUAGUGGGAUCAGCAAUCAUAGUUUCAUAGUUUUGAUUCUAGGAACCUUAGGAGCGAAGGAGAGGGCAUAUGUUUUUGUUGUCUCAUCUUGUGUGGAUAUUUGCUCAUUAUUAUCGCCUUUAUUAUGUUCCAAAGUUAGGAUAUCGGGAACCGCUGAAGAGGUAUGCGACUGGGGCUCCUGCCAAUUGGAUGGGUCUUCUGUAGCAUAAGGUGGCGAAUUUGAGAUUGUUGUAUCGCUUCUAUGUACGCUCCUUGAUGGCUAACGCCUGAUUAAGCUACGAUUGGGCAGUUGGUUGAAUGACAAGUUCAUUUGUUGGUUGUGUUCCUUGUGCUGGAGAAUCAGUGUCAAUGUAGACUGAACUUCCUCGAUGUUGAUCAGAGUCUGAAAGGGUCUGUUGACCAAAUGGUUGAGUUUCCACGUCCAAUGUUUUUAUGGUUCCUCGCUUGGCGACAUGUCAGACCGUCCCCUACUUCGAAGAGGUAGAGGCCCAUGGGGAACUUUGGGGAACUCCAGUGAUUUUUUUCGUCAUUUGUAGUCGGAGAGGGCAACAAAGUUUGACUAAGCACAAGACUUGAAGAAAGAGUUUUGGAAGAGGACGUAGCUUUUGAUUGUGUGGGAUUACGAAAUCGAACGUGGGAGGGUUUGAGAUCAUGGACGGCGCCAAAUGUUGUGGUAUGAGAUAUAGGAUAGGCUAAUUAGCAAAGUGUUAGAUGUUCGUAGUUAGCAACGGAGGCGACUUAAGCAGAGGAUGCGAUUGUCGUCGAGUAGAUCUUUUGAGAAACUUGCGAGACACAAACAGAGGUUAGAGAGGCGUCUGGACUGAUCCACAUACCCCCUUCGACGUUGAAGUUAGCCAUUGGUGGCCAAAUCAAAGGAAGUGGAGAGGGAAUGAAGUCAGUUACCUUUGAAGGUGAGGGGAAGCCUAUAUUUAUGGAAGCAAAUUUGCUCCCCACCAUUUGCUCCCCACCCUCCUCCCCACCCCUUUGGAUGAAUAACAAGUGUCUUUUAAAUUUAAUUAUUUUAACAAAAAGAGUGAAAGUAACACUUGUCAUUCAUCCAAAGGGGUGGGGAGAAGGGUGGGGAGCAAAUGGUGGGGAGCAAAUUUGCUUCCCUAUAUUUAUAGGUUCGGCGAGGCGGGCUGGGCAUGACAGCUGGUGACAGCUAUAUCGCAUAUUUAUAGUUGUCCUUGAUAGCGGGCUUUGCUUCUCGGAAGGAGGCUUAGGUGCGGCUCGACAGACCACAUUCGUGUGUCCACGUGUGCGGUCUUAAAGCACUUAGCGUAAGUUGGAAGGAUGAGAACACAUGUGCAAGGCUUAGCUAGAAAGCUAGGUAUAGGUUCCCAUAACAGCCUAAAUUAAGAUCCACAAAUAGAGAGAUAAGUCUUUGGGCAGCAGAUGUUGACACCGCAAUAUAAACCUUAUCAAAUAAGUCUUUGUUAGAAGGUGUAGUGAGAAAAAGAUGUUUAGACUUACCUACUAAUGCAAGGUUUCUCCUAAUCGCCCUGUAAUCGACUACAAAGAGAUCUGCUCUCGUAAUGGAAGUCAUUCAUUGCACUCCACUACCUUAUCAAUUUGGUAGUUUCUGGAAAUCUGAACAUUCAACUUACAAAUGUGGUCACAACAUAUCUCUAUGGGGACCUAAAUUAAAAAAAUGCAUGAAGGUCCUGAACAUACUUUAUUCAUCAGAAACAAGUGGCCCUUGAGAAUAUAAGUGUGUUUACGAAAGGAAUUGAAAAGCUCACUAAGUGACUACCUUAUUUGAAAGACAUAUGGUGAAUUAUGCCCUUACAUGUUCAUUCCGGAUUUGCAUUGACUUUUGAUGAACUAUGACAUACCACUUUUUAUUGAAAAUCUAAAGUUAAGAAUUAGAAAGAUUUUGGGAAGACACUGUCUCGAAUUGAAACUCGAUGAUUGUAAUGAUGGUGAGUAUCCAUCAAUCAGCUUAGGCACUCUAAAGAAAAGGCAGUCUUGCAUGUACUCCCAUUAUUAGUCGAAGUUUUUAAUGUAAGAGAGAUCCGAAUGGUCUAAAGGAAUAUGAUAAAGAAGAGUUCAGAGAUGAAAUUUCUUAUCUAAAUACAAUAGGUAUAUCAUUAUACUUUGCACAAUAUGCAAGAUUCACCUCUCAUUCGUCGUGAAAUUGUAAAGCUAAGUUCAGCUAUGCAACCACGCAACACCGAUAGUGUCACACCCCAGUUCUUAAGUUAUUUUACGGUUAUUUACUUUUGGUAUUACUUUGGUCUUUUACCAUGUUGAGUAACCGUUUACCGUUAAGGACCCUAGAGUUGACUUUUUGUAGGGAAAUUAUUUUGGAAAAAUUUCUUUAAGGAAGUCGUAGAGGACGUUAAUACGAAUUCGUAGACAUGCUAUGCGUUAAAAUCGGAGAUAGCAUGUAAAAGUUAUCAGAUAAAAAAGGGAUAAACAUUAGUUGGUAAAUGGGUAAAUUUUUAUUAGGCUUUAUUUUUGUGGGUGUUUUAAGUGAUGGACCGAGUCAAUAGGAGGUCAAAAGGCCCAACUCAUUUCCUUCUCUCUCUCUUCUCUCUUUCCCCCGAGCUCUCUCCCUACUAGAAAUUCUCCAGCUUCGUCCGUCGCCGUCCGGCCACCACAGACCGCCACACCGGUCUCAAACGGUCGGCCGUCGACCCAGCUCUCUUCUUAGACCGGUGGGAGAAGCCCUAGCCCCGCCGUGAGGGAGAAGGAUCUCCUGAAAGCUCCGACUGCGCAUUAAUUGGAGUCCCAUCGUUGGAACUUGCUCCUCCGGCCGCCAUCACCGGCGAUUCGUGUCUCAUUUGGAAGUGCUCUCCGUGUGUAACAAUCUCCUAGAAGGUAAUUAGCCAAUUCGAAGUGUGUAGGAGGAUUUUCGGUGUAGGGUUUGAAUUGGGGAUUUUUGGACGUUUUGGUUCGAUUACCCUAGUUAGGCUUAGAAUUGGAUUUUGUGCUAGUUAAGGAAGUUGUUGUGCGGGUUGAGAGGAUUAUUGUGUCAAAAUUUAGGAAGCAUUAGAGGUCGCCGGAGUUCUGCUGUCGGCCGCCGCUGCCAGCUGAGCAGGCGGCGGCGCCUCCCUUAGGGGUAAUUUUUCAUGUUUUUGAGUUUGUUUUAAUGAGAGGAGUUUAAUGAUGUGAAGUUUGGAAUUUUUGGAGGAGUUUUGGUUAGGUUUGAGAUUUUCCAAAUAUUGAGAAUUUUGGCGGUUGUUAGAAUGAAAAUCCGGCCGUUGGAUUUCCUUGGUAUUUAUUCUAGAAUGUUAGAAUUGAUGAAUUAAGGUUGUGGUGGAGUGUGGGGAAUCCGGUGAGUUUAACCCUAGUAAGGGUAGUGAGUUAAGCGGAAGAGUUUUCGUGUUUAUAUUUAAGUAUUUAUUUUCUGGAAUUGAAGUUUGGUUCUAAGCAUGGUUAUUGUGUCAGGAUACGAAGGGAACCUCGCUUGAGUGGCAAUGCGGAUAUCGUCGGGUUUUUGCCUAAAUUUGUGAGUGGACAGUUUGAUUUUUAAUAAAUGUGCAUGCAAGAUUUUAUAAUUUAUCAUUUUAUUUUCCGAGCGUAUAUUAUAAUUUCUACUUAUGAAAUGACUUUGGAAUUUAUUUGAGUUUGAUGCAUUGAUUAAGUGUUGGUCAUGAUUUAUGGAUUUGAGCUCGGAUUAUUAUUUUGAUAUUUGAGUUUGGAUAUUCUUUAUAAAUUCCGGAUUUCAUUAUAAUGGUUUUAAUGGUGGACUUUGAGAUUUAUAAAAUAUUUCCGAAAAUGGGAUUUUCGGUAGUUCACUAUUUAUAAUUUUCAAAAUUAAUGGUGGAAUAUUGAUCUUGACCUUCAGAAUGUUUUAGCGAGUAUUUUGGAUUGAGAUAAUAAUUAUGAUUUUUACUUAUUAAAUAAAUCUCGCUUAUAUUAUAGUUUUGAGAAUAUUUUGACGUGUGAGACACGUCAUUGAGUUUAUUAUAAUUUCUUAUGAUGAUUUUCAAGUACGGUUGGGAACCGUACCAUUUGUAUGAUCUUGGGGAAGUUUAAUGGAUUUACGUGAUUUCAUAUGUUUUUAAUCACCAUAAUAUAUGGUCGCUUAUAUUGAUUAUUGCUAACUAACCAUUAUUAGCGGUCCUCACCAUAGGUGAAAAGAGCGCUUAGCGUGGGAUGCUAUUAUAGCUUGGGAGGCAACCGAUCGGUAUUUAUAUUUAUUUGUUAGCUAGCCAUUAUUAGCGCUCCUCAAUAUAAGUGAGUAGAGCGUUUAGCAUGGGAUUAUAGCCUGGGAGGCUCCUUUUACAUGGUGAUAACUCUUCCCCUUAUUUUAUUCUUCUCAGUUAUAUAUUUGAUUAACCAGCAGCGCUGGUUUAUCUCUUCUUACGAGAUUUCUUUAUUUGAUUAACCAGCGGGGCUGGUUUGUCCAUUCUAUUGGGUUUCUGGAAUUUAAGUUAUAUAAUUUACGAAAGUUGCGUGCAGCGAGGUUUUAAAGUUUAAAUGUGGGAAAGUAUUUAAUUUACGUUUUGUUAAAUUAUUUAAUUUAUUUUUGUCCACUCACUCUAAUGUUUUUAAAUUACUUUCUCCUGGGCCUUUUGGUUUUAAAUGCCCAGUUUGCAGGCUAAGAUUAAUUAAGGUCAAGCGUACAUGGAGUUGAGGCAUAGUCAGAGGUUGUUUUUGCUCAUCCUUUAUUCAUUGUUUUUCUUCCCUUAUAGAUAUACUCUGAUAAUCAUUUGAGAUAGUUAUUAGUUUAUUAAGGCUGGUUGUAUUUUUGGGAUGUGACGAACUUGGAGGAGCAGAAUGGCUCCAGGAGUUGAGGAUGGUUGAUUUAUAAUAGAAGUGUUUAUAUGGAAAUUUUUUUCAGGUAUGGGUUGUCCAUUUUUAAAAUAGAUUAUGCCGAAUUAUCGGUAAAUUUUCCUUGGAGAUGGACCACACAAGAUUUACUUCGGGUUUUAUGGUGAAAUUCAGGGUGUGGGUCCUGACAGAUAGAAUGGCAUAAAGACAAUCUUUCAAUACUUAAAAAUAUGGAAGAUUUGGGCUUAUUCAAUCCCUACAUAGGAAAGAGAAAAAUGCAUGAUAGAAUGGAUACUAUUCACGUCGUCAACAGCCAUGCUUGAAGAAAGACUCAUCAAAAGAGAAAUCAGAAAAUUUGUUUUUGUCUUCUGAGUCAACUUAGACAAAGCUUUGUGUGAAAGCUCAGGUCGAACUAGAUUAUAAUUCAUAUAUGGUUGGAAAACUACGAAUGUCUAGUUUCCAUAACCUUUUAUAGUUUUACCAUACUAUUUUCUAGAGAAAGUUAUGACUGUUUUAGUGCACGAAAGUCAUGCCAUGCGUGAAUUUGAUUUUACAGCGUGAACUUAUGUUUUGAGUUCUCGGUGUUCUCAUCAAGAUCAAAGUGAAAAAGAUAUGGUUUAAAGACAAUGUGGCAAGAUUUACUUAAUCAUUGCCCAAAACCACAUUUGAAACAUGUUUAAGAGCAUUGAUAUGCUAAUGUUAUCAACGCUUCCAUAAUUGAUGUUAGAAUCAAGGUUCAAAUAUGAAGGGUGUGUUAUGCUUUUUUUUCCUCCGACCAAGACUUUAUUUUUGUUCCACUGGGGUUUUGUUACUUGACAUGGUUUUUAAUGAGGCAACAUCAUAUAUACCAUUUGCCUUAGACACGUGCACAAAAGGGUGUGUUUAAGGAAAAUAUACUUUGUGUGUGUCUUACCAUGUUGUAAUAGCAGGUAGGAAUAUGUUUUCAUUCUAUCUACAUAAAAGGUAUUUUGUGAUCCUCCAUAUAAAAGGCUUAUGUUAAUGAAAAACAUACAUCGUCCAUAUUCUAUCUACUCUCUUCUCUAUUUUAAUGUUUCUCCUUCACCAACUAAUGUUUUAUCAGGUAUUAUGAUAUAAAUCUUAAACUAUUAUUUAAAAAUUAAGAGUACUCGUUAUCAUAAAUAGAUCGGACUAAUGAAUCGGGUAUUCGUUAACCCGCCGGAUACAGAUUUAGAUUAAGCCAUUAAUGAUCGGGUGGGUAAAAAGAGGGUCCAGAUCGAAAUUUUUGUUAUCAAAUGGAUCCGUUCUAAGUCGAUCCGCUCUAAAUUUGGUAUAUCCUACGUACCAUUAUCUUAUUAUUUGUCUAUAUCCUUAAAUGACAGCAAGAUGGUAUACAUUCUAUAUUGUGACGAAUAUACCAUUUCGUCAUGUGGGCUUCAUUAGAAACAAUAAUAAUAAUCUUUGCAGACGGUAUCAUUAAAAACAACAACAAAAAAUUUUCACGAGCUAUAGGAUAGAGGAGUAUCAUUAAAUAAUAUUUACUAAAUACAAAACUGUGUUUACUCACAGCUGUUUAUAUUCACUUCGCAACAACAACAAUUUGUUUUUUUAAGUCAUAGUAAUCGUAAACUGGCUUUAAUUAUAAUUUUUAACAACUAAGAUAGGCCCAUUUAAGCAUCUUAAUGACUUGUCUUAACUUUUAAAGGCAGAUUUUUAAAAGCCAACUUUAUGGUUUUAGUUGGCUUCCAUAGCAUAUCUCUUGAUCAAUGUCUCACGCAGGAAUCUCUUCUUUUUGCAAUAUAUCCAAAAGGAUCAGUCCUUCUUAGAAAAGCUUUUGUUAAUUUCUUCCUACCAAGUUGAAUGCUUAUAGAAAAAAAAAAAAAAGUUGAAUGCUUAUGUGUAAAGUAUAAGAGAUUAGUGCAUCACAAAACCAAAAUUUCCACACCGUUAGUGGAGAAAAGUAGCUUUUCAUCCCUCUUUUCAUUUUCUAUUGUUAGUAACAACUAAGGAUUCCAAAAAAAAAGUCCCAUAAACAAAAAAGGAAAUAGAUCGAUGCCCUUGUAUUUUUCAGAAAAGGUUUUAUGAGGUGGGGAUUUAGCAUCUCUCAUAUUAAUCUCAGUUUAACUAAAACGAAGACGUCUUACCUCCUUAUCGAGAUUUUUUACUCUUUUUACUUCGUAGGUAAUUAUACGUAACAUUGGAUGCUCGAUGACUUUCUUUUCUUCUAAUUACCUAUUUCUAACGAUCGAAGAAGCGGGACUCUUUUGCUCUUCUAACUUCGUAGGUAAAUGAUAUGUCGCACUGCAUGACUUCAUGCGGACAUGACUCUUUUCUCUUUCAAUGGUGAUGCGAGUCAUUCAUUCACAUAAGAAUUACCUAAUUUUUAAUGACUUUUUUUGUCAUUUGUGUCGUUUAUUUUCUUAGUUGUGAUAUUUUAUAUAGUACGAGUGAAAAAGGAGAACCAAUGGUGAUCCUUGAAUUUGAUAAAGAACACAAAAUUUCACAUAUAUUUUGCUUGAUUGGUGCUUGUCUUACUGUUCGAAUUUAUUUAUCAUGAAAAAGCAAGGCCACUUUCCCCUUUAUUCUAAACUAAAAAAAGUGAUGGAAAAAGGAGGGGAGCUUCAAAGUCGUACUUGCUUUGAGUGCAAGAAGCUACCAAAAACUUUUUAGAAGGGAGGAUUCUCAAUUCAGAAUUCUUCCAGCUGUGAUGAUUUGUUGUGUUUGCUUAAAGUUUGACCUUUAGUGACAUGAUUAUCAUAUAUUUGUAAGAAUGAAAUAUAGUGGGGUUUUCCUUGCACUAGUUAAAAGAAGGCCUUUUGUCUCAUAAUACUCUUUAUCAAUUAGCCUUUCAGUAAAAAAUGUGAUCAAUGGAUUGUCAUCAAUUUAUUGAUUAACAGUCUUGAGUUUGUGACAAAUGGGUUUAAUAAAAUUAUGAAAUAGGUUUCGAUGGUUAAAUUUUCAUAAUUCUUCAGUUGAGUGAGACGACUCUAAAAUAAGAGAAGUGUUCUAGGCUUCAGAGAUCAUUACAAUCGGGAUCACAGGUCGACCAUUCUACCAAUCCCCAGUUGGCAGAAGAAGAAGGAAAAGUUUAUUUUGCAUUAUGGUUUCUCUAUUAUCGGUGGAAGUGAGAAGGGGAUAGAAAAGGCAUGGAGUUGUAGUGGGAAGAGCCUUUUCCCCUAUGAAGGAACCGACUAUAAAGGAACACCUUUUGAUAAUGAUGCCGAGAGGCAAAAUUAUCUAGAAAAAGAAAAGGUGGGGAAAGGAAGGUUUAAAUUUAAACUCGGGGGGGGAAGAAGUAGGACGAUGGAAAGCGAUCAUCCAAGGAGAGCUACCUAAUGCUCUAAAAGUAGGGAAAAGUGUUUAAGAGUGUGACGAGGUUCAUCUUUAUUCUUUUUAAAGUGGAAGAAAUUAUUAUGCUAUCAUGUUUGUUGUUCAAGUCUGUAAUGUGUUAUAGCCAGAGACAAAGCAAGCAUGUAUUUUUCAAAAAAAAAAGAAAAAAAAAACACAAAACAAAACAAAAGUAAGAUGUUAUUCACACAUCUUAUUUUGUUAUUUGAAUACCUUAUCUAUUUUUCUAUUAGUAUAAUUCAAAUUUAUUUACAAACUAUAUUUUUUAAUAUGCUUCAUGAUGAUUGAUUCUCAUAAUAGAUAAGGUGUGUGAAUAAUAAAAUAAGGUAUAUAAAUAACACCACCCAUAAGAAAUAUUGGGAAGCCGAUCUUUGACGUGGGUUUCUUUCACCUUAGGUUUUCUUUUACUCUCAUAUUUUGGUCAAGGGUGGCAGGGAGGUUUUGUUCACCUCUAGUCAAGCCUAAAUGGUUGGCAAGAGUGAGGCUUUCUCUCUCCCUUGUAUGCAAUGGGGAGACGAAGUUGGGGGUGGCAUGGAGGGUACCUGGAGCUAAGGACUUUCUUAGCCGGAUCUUGUAGAUCUACAGUUGAAUGGGGCACAACAAGUUGUGGUGACCAGGAAAAAACAGUAGGCUUUAGUAAAGACCGAUGACGGGGUUUGAGUGAUGUCGGUGCAACAUGAAUGGAUUUGUUUGUUGUGGGAACCUUUGUCAAGCGCUCUAAUUUUGUCUUGCACAUGUGUUCUCACCAUUCAGCCCAACGUUGAGCGCCUCCCAGCCGAACACGUGGACGCACGUGAACGGUUCAAUGAGGAGCGCCCCUCUGGAAGCUUCCUUUUGAGUCUCAAAUAAAUAGCUACACAAGUAGCUGACGUCACUCUCGCCCCUAUACGCUUCUAUAAAUAGGCGCCUCGCCUUAUUAUCAAGGUAAGUCAACCAAUGUUCUAAAAGGCGCUAGGCGUUAGGCGGGCGGUAACCCACAGCCUAGAGCCUGGACAGCCUAGGCGAGGAUUAGGCGGGGAUUAGGCGAUUUGUAUUUUUAAAGAUUUAUUAAUUAAAAAUAUAUAUUUAAUGCAAUUUAAUAUUUGAAAACGGUUAAAUAUAGAUAAAUUAUUCAACAUAAUCUAAGUUAUAUCAAUUUAUAAAAUAAAUUAUAACUAAAAUUUAGCAUAACUUCCUAUAAAAGUGAGCAACAACAACAAUAAACAUAUACACUUCUGAUUUUAAACACACAAUUAACUUUUAUACUCUCAUACUCCCCACAAUAUAACAAUCCCAUCUCAAAAAGAAAACAAAAUUAGCCUGAGAGCUUAGCAACCUGGGCGGGCAAGGCGGAGUCUAGGCGGGCUAGGAGGCAUUUAGGCGAGCUAAGCGGUCACUUAAUCGCCCACAGCCUGACACAAAGGCCUGGAAAAAAAACGAGACGGCUUGUUGCAGCCUAGAGCCUAGACGGGGACUAAGCGGUCCUAGACGGGGCCUUUUAGAAGCUUGAAGUCAACUCAUUCCCCACUUUCUUAUUCCAAAUUGUCUACAAAAUGUCUAACUUGAGCGUCUAACGGCGAUUAUCCAGAUCCGUCGGGACAUUCCCCUAACAGCUUGUUUGUUUUUCAGGAGAAAUCCUCACAAUCCCCAUUCCGCUCGGAUCCUCCUGUGUGAUUCAACCCUUUCUUUACAUAAUCCUUCACCCCAUUUUUACACCCUUAACAGUUGAGAGUAUGUGACGUGGUUACUAAAAUUUCCAAGGAAUUGUGGAAACUUUUGUUCAUAAUAUAGGGGUAUUCUCAUAAUAGUGACCCAAGUUAUGUAUGUUAUUAGACAUUUAAACGAACUCCAGUUUUAAAGUUAUUCAUGUCGAAUGACUCGAUUGGAUGUAAUAUAAAAAAAUUUCCUGAAUAAUGUUUUUCAAAAACUAAGUUGAAGAAAAAUUUCAUUUUUACGGUUUCCUAAUUUUUUUUUUCUUAAACAAAUUAAGUUUCCCGAAAAUACCGUUUUAGACAAAGUUCCGUAAAUGCUUUCAAGGAAAAUAUUGCAUAAUUAUUUAAAAAAACAAUUUAUAUCUUUUGACAGGAAAAAUGAAUAAUGUGUUAAUGCUUCUCAUGUAGCAAAUUUGUCCUAAAGUUGUAAAAUGAGUCAUAAAAGUAGUAAUAUUAGUCCUCAAAAUUGUAACAUGAGUAUUUAAAGUUGUAAAUAUUCUUAGUUACCACAGAAGUCCUUAAAAUAGUAAUAUUAGUCCUCAUAGUGGUAAUAUGAGUUUUUAAAGUGAUAAAAAAGAAAUAUAUAUAUUUGAUGCAACUUUGAUGACUCAAUUACCAUUUUAAUAUUGUAACUCAUUUUUUUUUUUACAACUUUAAGGACUGAUGUUACAAUUUUGAAGACUGAUAUUACUACUUUCAGGACUAAUAUUACAACUUUUAGACAAAAUUGAUGCAUGACAUGUAUUAACAUAUCAUAGCCUUCCCCUAACAAGCCUAGUAUCAUUUGGUCUAGUGACAUAGUCUCUCAUUCCCAUAAGUAGGAGAUCGUGAGUUCGACUCACAAAAGACUCGUUGUAACAUUUGAGUUGUUAAAUUGAUAAAAAUUAGCAGAGCUUGAGCUCAAUAUUCGACUUUUAGCUAGCUGGAGCUCAAUAUUCGACUUUUAGUUUGUUCAGCUUGUGUUUAUAAGAUAAAUGAGUAGGGCUUGAGCUCAAUAUUAAACCUGACAAAAUAGCGAGUCGAGCAUUAAAUAAAAUAAUAUUUAGUCUUGAUAUAAAAUGAAUCAGGUAAACAUGAUCAUAUUUAUAUUCGGCCCGACUCGGUUCACUUGCACCCUAAAACAUAAAAACACUAGAGAAAACUAGGAAGCAGACAAGAGGGUGUGAAAAGGAAAGUGAAAAGAUGAAAACUGAAAAGGUAGUGGUAGUGUAGUAGUUGUGUUUGUUUCGAGAGACGCGUAAAACGCAAGAGAAGAAGGGCGUGCGUUACCAAAAGGGAAUAUGAUCAUCAUCAUCAUCAUCAUAUCCUUUUCCAUGUCAUUUUUCGCUUCCCAUAAAGUUGAACCAAGAAAGAAUUUUUGUUUUUUUUGAUACUGCACCACUAAAGAUGAAAGUUUGGAAUCCCCUAAAAGCUAUAUUGCACCUGUACAUUAUAAUCAUCACUACUUCUCAUAUCGACUCCUAACACAUUUUACUGCCCCAACACGUAGCAAGUUAAGUAUUAUUAUACUGAUAAUAGCUUAUGUACAUCUUUAACUACAACAUGCAGUCGAGUUGUUAAGAUAUUAGGUGUGGACACUCUUAAUCAGGUUUGAUGUUCCAGAUGCCGGUUUGAGUUCAAUCUCAAUCUUUUUGUUGUGGUCAUGAGAGUAGACACGUUCUUACAUGACCCUCUAGCAUGUAUUAGUCUCUAGAUCUAUAAUCUUUUUUAAAAAAAACAUGUGAUCUCGGCAUAUAAAUAAAAAAUCAAAAAACUUAUGUUUGUGUGUUGAAUCAGAUGUUUAGUUGUUGAGAAAGGCUUAGGUGCGACAACCGCACCAGCUCAUCCAUACGACAUACCAUUUCCAGAAGGACACCUGUCACUUUUUUCUGUUGCCCAGCCCCGCCUUCAAACAGACGGGCCUCUCUGAUCAAACCAAACCAACCCACCCCAUUACGCUCCUCCACCUUGCCUUCAAUCACGACCAAAUCAUGAACCGGUUCAGGGAAACGGCGGCAUGUAUGGUGCUCAGAUUGGGUAUGGCGGCAUGUUCUGAUUUAUUGGCUUCUCACUCUGCGAGGACAUUUCUCUGUAAAUCCAGCAGUGGCAAUUUGACAGGUGGUGCCAUUGACAGCGGAGAGGCCUAGUCUGGUGCUGGUCUGGUGGUGAGUCUGGUGACAUGUUUGAAGGCGGGGCUGGGCAGCAAGAGAGGCCUGACUUGGUUUGAUCGGAGAAGCUCGUCUAGUUUGAUCGCAGUUUGCUGCCGUGGAAAAAAAUUAAAGACGUGGCACUUGUUGGUUGGCUGGUCGUACAAGCCAACUGGUACGUUCGUUGCACGGAAGAUUUUCUCUUAGUUGUUUAGUUUGAUAUUGAAAAUUAAAACUUUAGUUUGAAAGCGAGCAACAUAAUAGAAUGGUCAUUUGACCUCUCUCAUUGUCUGAAAAUCAAGCUCUGAUAGGUUUAUGUGUCACAAACUCUUCUCAUUUGACCCCUAUGUCCUUUUCUUUUUUGGUAUGAAGUUGGCCCCUUACUCAGAAAAACAAAGGAAAAGAUAAAGGCUAGUUUAAACAUUAGCCCAAUUACCCACAAUGUAUAAUUUACACCAACUGCGCAAGACUCUAGUUGAUCGAAACAAUAUAUUUAUAAACUUUUUUUAAUUUUCUCCUCGUAUUCUCUAUGUGCCGUUCUACUCUUGUUUUUUCUUAAGAGGACACUAUCGUUUUUUUUCUAUAUAAUUUACAAACAACAAGUUGAAAGAUGCUACUGUUUCUUUUGUAUUUUGGUAGAUUUAUGAAACAAAGCAGUGUCGAUUCAUUAAUCUACUACUAUAAUUAUAUACAAUAUAUCUAAAAGAAAAUUAACAAAAAUGUAUGUAAUGACCAUUUUGGCUUGUGAUGAAUGAAAACUGCACCCGAUUUAUAUUUGAUUAAAGAAAAAAAUCAAUACAUGCAAUAUAUGUUACCUAUUGAGAUUUUGAUAAAAAGAAUCGUUGUUAUAUGCCAUAGAUUUUGACCCUCCUAAUUAUGGUUUCUGGCUACACCACUAUCGUGAAGUCUUUAAUACUAAAACGGAAAAUGGUAAUUACAACAUAACUCGCCCGCAAGAGUCGAGAGAAUGAAGUCAGGCUAGAUAGCUCGAAAGCAACCUAAAAGAAACUACCAUGGAGUUCAACCAAGCAGAAAAUAAAAUAAAAACUAAAGUCAAAACAACCAUAACCACCAAGACUGGGGAUGCUCUAAUCCUGACCUAUUCGACGUACCCAUAACCAUCCUACACAGAGGAGGUUUCCCCAGGUUCCUCCAUCACCACCAUCUCCGGCCUUUCAUCCGUAGGAGAGCCAGCAUAACACUCUGACCACAUACUCCACUUGGGCCUCAAAGCAACAGCCCGGAGAAAGGGCCCAAUCCGGAAAAAAAUAAAUAAAUAAAUAAAAAUAAAAUAAAGCAACCCUAGCCCAAGUUUGUGUUGCUACCGCCACACACACCUUUGACUGGGAGACGCUAACACUGCCAGCAAACCAUCCCUGCCACCAUCGUCAUCAGCAAGAAAGACAACUCCCCUGUUUAAGCCGACAUCACCCAAAAACAAAAUCACACACCUUAGAUCUGUAUGGAAAUCACAACAAGGGACUCAAGAUCCACCUUCCAUAAGCGCCAACGACCCUCCAACAUGCCCAUCAAUAACGAUGUUGCUUGCUUUGCCCGAUCCAAACCGAAAGUCCUCACAGCGACCACCUUCUCUCCCAUCAGCAUGGCUACCCACAUAGACUAUUUUGAAUCAAAUCUGAAUGGAAAACAACCAUGGCCCCGAAGACGGCACCACAAACCAAAAGAGAGAAACCGAAACCUCUCCAUGCCAGUGAUGGUUGACGAGCAAAACAAAUCCCACCACCCUCAAUAGCACUCCGAGUGGAAGCCGAAAAUGCAACCCCGAGCGCCAAUCUCAUUCCGCCGUCAAGAAGCCCCACGCUAGGGUAUCGAGAGAGAGCGCAUCUUUUAAACUAUAUAAAUAUAUCAUAUCUUGAUUAUUUCCCUUCUUUAGAAUCCUUUCGUACGGGCAUUGUUCAAUCUUGACAAUGCAAAGCUUUCAAAUGCAAUAAAGUGGCUCAUGUUUUAACUUGUGAUACUUUUUAUGAGAUUCAUGACAAGGGUAAACUUAUGGUGUAUUAAUACAUGACAUGCAUUGACACGACCCACCCCGAAUUUCACCUUGAAACCCAGAGUAAGUCGUGCGGGGACCACCUCCAAGGAAAAUUUAUUGAAAAGAUUAAGAAAAUCUCCCUUGCAGAUGGACAACCCUAACUCGAAAAUUUCAUAUUACACUCUUAAUUCAACACUUCCGAACCUCACAUAAUAUACAAUAAUCCCAAAGUAUUCAGAGCUACUAAACACAAGCGGAAGCAAGAAAACACGAGUAGGUUGAACAGGUAACCUACUGGCGAAAACUGGCAGAAAUGCGGGUGACUAUGCCUCGUCUCCUACUAGAUCCAACCCGAACUCUGCAGACUGGGCAAUUUAAAACGAAGGGCCCAGGGGAAAACAUUUAAUAACGUUAGAGUGAGUGGACNNNNNNNNNNNNNNNNNNNNNNNNNNNNNNNNNNNNNNNNNNNNNNNNNNNNNNNNNNNNNNNNNNNNNNNNNNNNNNNNNNNNNNNNNNNNNNNNNNNNNNNNNNNNNNNNNNNNNNNNNNNNNNNNNNNNNNNNNNNNNNNNNNNNNNNNNNNNNNNNNNNNNNNNNNNNNNNNNNNNNNNNNNNNNNNNNNNNNNNNNNNNNNNNNNNNNNNNNNNNNNNNNNNNNNNNNNNNNNNNNNNNNNNNNNNNNNNNNNNNNNNNNNNNNNNNNNNNNNNNNNNNNNNNNNNNNNNNNNNNNNNNNNNNNNNNNNNNNNNNNNNNNNNNNNNNNNNNNNNNNNNNNNNNNNNNNNNNNNNNNNNNNNNNNNNNNNNNNNNNNNNNNNNNNNNNNNNNNNNNNNNNNNNNNNNNNNNNNNNNNNNNNNNNNNNNNNNNNNNNNNNNNNNNNNNNNNNNNNNNNNNNNNNNNNNNNNNNNNNNNNNNNNNNNNNNNNNNNNNNNNNNNNNNNNNNNNNNNNNNNNNNNNNNNNNNNNNNNNNNNNNNNNNNNNNNNNNNNNNNNNNNNNNNNNNNNNNNNNNNNNNNNNNNNNNNNNNNNNNNNNNNNNNNNNNNNNNNNNNNNNNNNNNNNNNNNNNNNNNNNNNNNNNNNNNNNNNNNNNNNNNNNNNNNNNNNNNNNNNNNNNNNNNNNNNNNNNNNNNNNNNNNNNNNNNNNNNNNNNNNNNNNNNNNNNNNNNNNNNNNNNNNNNNNNNNNNNNNNNNNNNNNNNNNNNNNNNNNNACGCUCAUCAUUAGCCUAACUUCGAUAUUCUUAAAUCGGAACGAUCCGAACUUAAAUAUCAUACUCAACAGUCGUAAAUACAACCUCUCUAAAAUACGACUUAAAUCCUACGGCCGGAUUCUACAUUAAUUAACCGCCAAAAAUACCUAACUUCGGAAAUUCACAAACCUAACCAAAUCUCAUCCAAAAAUUCCAUAAAUCACACCAAUAUACUCCUCUUAAUAUUCCACAUUUAAAACCCUAAAAAUCUCCUAACCGGCGGCGGCGCCGCCGGCAGCGGCGGCCGGCAGCCGUUUUCCGGCGAUCUCCAAAACCUAUGAAAUUUUGACAGAAUAAUCUCCUCAUCAUGCUCUACAACUUUCAUGACCAACACAUCACCCAAUUCCAAGCCUAACUAGGCUAAUCGAACGAAAAUAACUUAAAAGCCUAUAAAUUUCAACUCCACAUUUCUCCUUACCUAGCUCAAGAGGGAGGGAGCUGUUUGGAGGGGUUGUUGCACGGGAGGAGGGCUACAAAACCGUACCAAGCUUGCCCGGAUUGGUGGCCGGAGGAGGAAGUUCCGGCGAGAAAACCGAUUCGGCAGUCGGAGCUUUCGGGUGGCACCGCUCUCUCACGGCGGAGCUAGGGCUCCUCUCACCGGUCCAGGGAGGUUGCUGGGUUGGAGGUCGACCGAACGAGACCGGUGCGGUGGCGGUUGGUGGCCGGACGGCGGCGGGAGGACGGCCGGAAAACCGGGCAGCGGGAGGCUCGGGGAGAGGAAAAGAAAAGAGGGAAGAAGAGAAAGGGAGAAGGAAAAAGAAAUGGGUUGGGCCUCCACCGGUCCAACCUAUAUCAACCCAAAUUCCAAAAUAAAACACCCGAAAAAUAANNNNNNNNNNNNNNNNNNNNNNNNNNNNNNNNNNNNNNNNNNNNNNNNNNNNNNNNNNNNNNNNNNNNNNNNNNNNNNNNNNNNNNNNNNNNNNNNNNNNNNNNNNNNNNNNNNNNNNNNNNNNNNNNNNNNNNNNNNNNNNNNNNNNNNNNNNNNNNNNNNNNNNNNNNNNNNNNNNNNNNNNNNNNNNNNNNNNNNNNNNNNNNNNNNNNNNNNNNNNNNNNNNNNNNNNNNNNNNNNNNNNNNNNNNNNNNNNNNNNNNNNNNNNNNNNNNNNNNNNNNNNNNNNNNNNNNNNNNNNNNNNNNNNNNNNNNNNNNNNNNNNNNNNNNNNNNNNNNNNNNNNNNNNNNNNNNNNNNNNNNNNNNNNNNNNNNNNNNNNNNNNNNNNNNNNNNNNNNNNNNNNNNNNNNNNNNNNNNNNNNNNNNNNNNNNNNNNNNNNNNNNNNNNNNNNNNNNNNNNNNNNNNNNNNNNNNUAUAUAUAUAUAUAUAUAUAUAUAUGAAUCACUUUAUUUUUUUCAGAAAAUAUUUGAAUUUAUUUUUGAUCAAAUUGUAUUUUUAAUAUUAUGGUUUAUCUUUUAUUUAUUUUAUUGAACAACAAACAUUUUGGGAAAACUAGGGAGAGGUAUAUAUAGUAUUUUAGAUUUAUGUAAAAGUAAAUUAGAGGUCCAUUAAGUAGAGAGAUCCAAGUAGUAUUUUUGGAGGUAUGAAUAGAAGCUCCAUUUAAUUUAACCUCAAAGGUAAAACUAGCGAGAAAAGAACGAUGCAUACAAAACCAAUAAACUAACAUGUUACUAGACGUUCAAAUGUUACUAUGAAUUAAUUAACAAAAAUAUAGUUGUGAUGAAGUGAAAUAGGUUUGAGAAUAGAGAAUCGUGAAAGAUGUGUGUAUUAUUCAUUGAUAGGAGCCCUUUAUAUAAGGAAUUACACAAUACCAAUAUGGUAAGGAUAUGAAUACAUAGAUCUAGUCAAACUACAUAUCCUAAUGGCAUAAGGCCAAGACACACAUAAAGAAUAUCUAGAAAGAUACAGAAUAUCCUAGAACAUUCCCUCUUGUGCCGCGCGCUGAUAUGCCAAUAGUGCUGAUCUGUUGCCUCGUCAAAAACCUCGUCAAGUCACAAAAACCCUGUGGGAGAAAACUGAACCUUGAUCGUAGGAGAAAAGAGUACAACGCACCAGCCUACUUCAUUGAGAUGAUACUCCCCCUGAUGUGAACAUUAUUCAGAGAGACUUGAUAGCCGACGCAUGCCUAUACUUUUCACAUGUUUCUCAAAAGUAGACUUAGGUAAAGACUUAGUAAAUAAGGCUGCUGCGUUUUCUUCUGAAGUAAUCUGAUUCACUUGAAUGUUAAGAAACGCAUGCUGCUGUUGGUUGUAGAAGAACUUAGGUGAAAUGUGCUUUAUAUUAUCACCCUUGAUGUAACCUAACUUCAUUUGCUCAAUACAAGCUGCAUUGUCCUCAUAAAUGCAUGUAGGUUGAUCAGUUGUAGAAUUUAAUCCACUAGUCCCUCUAAUGUAUUUAAUGAUUGACCUUAACCAAACACAUUCCCGAACAGCUUCAUGCAAAGCUAUAAUCUCUGCAUGAUUUGAAGAUAUCGCCACUAGAGUCUGCUUUAUAGACCUCCAAGAUAUCGUCGUAUUCCCAAUGGUGAAUACAUAACCAGUUUGAGAACGUCCUUUAUGAGGAUCGAAUAAAUAUCUGGCGUCGGCGAAACCCACCAAUGUAUUGUUUGGUGUCUCGGCAUAGGACAAGGCUGCGGUGGAGUGCUUGGCAUUGGACCCGUGUCUAGCAGCCGUGCCGGCGGCGUCCAUGGCGGCGGUCCGGUCCCUUGGUGGAUCGGUGCCAUGUCUUCCAUGAGCCAUAGGACCAUCUUCUAUCCUUGAAUCAGUGUAGGGAAGGAACAGUCCCAAGUCAAUGGUACCCUUAAGGUAUCGAAAGAUGUUCUUGACACCAGUCCAAUGACGUUGGGUUGGCGCUGAGCUAAAUCUAGCUAACAAGUUGACUGAGAAUGCAAUGUCUGGUCGAGUGCAUUGAGCUAAGUACAAUAACGCGCCUAUUGCACUAAGGUAUGGAACCUCUGCGCCCAAGACCUCUUCGUCGUCCUCUUUUGGACGAAAUGAAUCCUUAGAUAUAUCCAGACUUUGACCAAUCAUGGGAGUGCUAACAGGGUGCAUCUUGAUCGCCUGAGCAUCUUUUGGACAUAUGCAGACUGGUGGAUAAGAAUUCCACAAACUCGGUGCUCUAGUUCAAGACCUAGGCAAAAUCGAGUCUUCCCAAGAUCUUUCAUCUCAAAUUCGGAUUUCAGAUAAGCCGCAGUCUCUUUGAUUUCAUCAAGAGUACCGAUAACAUUCAUGUCAUCGACAUAGAUGGCCACUAUUGCAAAUCUGAAACUUGUCGUCUUUAUGAACACGCACGGGCAUAGUCCAUCGUUCUUAUAUCCCUCCCUAAUCAAGUAGUCACUUAGACGAGUAUACCACAUUCGUCCAGAUUGUUUUAAUCCGUAAAGUGAGCGUUGCAACCUUAUAGCAUACGCACUCCAUGGUUUAGAGUCACUUGAUUUAGGUAACGUAAUGCCAAUAGGCACUUUCAUAUAUAUCUCUGAAUCUAGAUCCUCAUAGAGAUAUGCCAUAACCACAUCCAUGAGCUGCAUGUCAAGUUUUUCGAACACUACCAAACUGACUAAGUAGCGGAAAGUUAUGACGUCCAUGACCAGAGAGUAAGUCUCUUCGUAAUCAAUCCCAAGGCGUUGUGAGAAACCUUGCGCCACAAGGCGGGCCUUAUACCGAAGUACCUCAUUCUUCUUAUUACGCUUUCUAAAAAAGACCCAUUUAUGUCAAACAGGUUUUACACUCGACGGAGUUAGCACUACUGGGCCGAAGACUUGUCUCUUUGUUAGAGAGUUUAAUUCUGCCUAGAUUGCAACUUUCCAUUUAGGCCAAUAUGCUCUGCUUUGGCAUUCUGCAACAGAGCGUGGUUCGAUGUCAUCGUGCUCAAUGAUUUCAUGAGCCACGGAAUAAGCAAAUAUAUCAUCGACACGGGUUGAUGAUCGGUUCAUCAAUUCAUAAGUGUUAUCAUAACACAUGGAGAUCUCUAUGUUCUUUGAUGUUGACAUUGACCCUAACGCGUCCCUCAUGGAUUCUAACAUCAAUUCGUGGACAUAACUGUAAUCAGAGAUGAUCUCGUGAGAAAGAUUCUCAACAUCGAUGAUCAAAGGAUUGACUUGUGCCUUGUCGGUCCGUUUCUUUCUUGGACGUGUGUCAACCGAACCAGGUGGCCUCCCUCUUUUUCUUUUGGGAGCCACGGCCUCCAUCCCCCCACCAUGGGCGGCGCCGUCGCCGCUGGCAAUACUGAGCCCGGGGAUGGCCAUGCCUUUUCUAGGGACUCCGAGCCUAGCAGGAACAUUUGCAGCUGGUAUAUCUGAUCUUGUCACUUUCGCAAUCUCGGAGAAAGAGUCAGGCAUCGUAUCUGCUACUUUCUGAAGUUCGAGAAUACGUUUCACUUCACUUUCAGUUUGUGAGGUGCGGGGAUCAUAAUGAGAAAAAGUGAGGACAAACCACGACAAUUCCUGUUGUUCCACAUGAACACGUUUGUUCGUAUCUCCCCCUAACGACAGAAAGAAUGUCUCAUCAAAGUGACAAUCCGCAAACCGUGCGGUUAAGAGAUCACCUGUUAAUGGCUCAAGGUAUCUGAUAAUCGUUGGAGAUUCAUAACCAACGUAGACACCUAAUCGUCUUUGAGGACCCAUCUUAGAACGCAGUGGAGGCGUAAUUGGCACAUAAACCGAACAACCGAAAAUGCGUAGAUGCGAAAUGUCAGGCUCAUAUCCAAUGACCAACUUGUACGCACUAAAUGGUUGUUUAGCAGUGGGUCUGAAACAAAUAAGUAAGGCUGCAUGCAAUAUUGCAUAGCCCCAUGACGCAAUAGGGAGGUUGGUGCGCGUUACCAACGCUCGAGCAAUAAGCUGAAGCCGUUUAAUUGUAGCUUCGGCGAGACCGUUUUGCGUGUGAACAUGGGGUACGGAAUGUUCAACCUCAAUCCCGAUAGACAUGCAAUAGUCAUCAAAAGUCUUUGAUGUAAAUUCUCCAGCGUUAUCCAGUCGAAUUGACUUAAUAGGAUAAUUCGGGUGGUGAGCCCGGAGUUUAAUAAUCUGUGCUAGGAGUUUUGGAAAUGCAGCAUUACGUGUGGACAAGAGCGCGACAUGAGUCCAACGCGUUGAAGCAUCCACCAGGACCAUAAAGUAUCGAAAUGGUCCACAUUCAGGAUGGAUAGGUCCACAAAUAUCACCUUGGAUACGAUGUAGAAAUGGAAUGUUCUCGGUGUUAUCUUUAGCGUAAGACGGUCUCGAUACUACUUUCGCUAAAGAGUAAGCUUUGCAAAACGAACGAUGAGCGUUGGAAAGAGUCAACGACACAUCAAGGGAAGAACGGCGCGCCUCAAUUGCUUGAGGAGUCGGCCGAGCGGCAGCCAGGAAGUUGGUGCCGAGCCCGGGAGACGUCAAAGUUCCCUUUGGGCCGUGAUGGCCAUUUGCGGGGUCACCACUAUGAUGCAAAGAUCCCAAAUGUUUUCGUUUUUAUCUGAAGAAGGGAUGUCCAUGAGAAUUACGCAGAAUUCGGAUCAUCAUGUCCCUUCUGGGAUGACCAAGUCGAUCAUGCCAAAGCUUGUAUGAGUCAGAGUCCCAAAGAUUUUGUUUGGCGACUACAUGGGAUUCAAUAAUCCGAAUCGUAGUAAGGUAAAGACCACUAGAUUGACUCAUAAGUUUCUCCAAUAUACGUUUACGUUUGUAAUCAUGAGAAGUGAUACACAAGAACUCAGUUCCAUCUUCACAAUGAGUUUCCAAGUGAAAGCCAUUAGCGCGAAUGUCCUUACAGCUCAACAAGGUUCGGUGCCCUUUUGGGGCAUAGAGAGCGUCCGUGAUGUGGAUCAUAGUACCAUGAGGUAGAAAGAAGCGCGCGGUUCCACACCCGAGGAUCACAGUAGAAGAUCCAAUCAUUGUCGUCACAGAUGAUUUACAUGGCACUAACUCAAUAAAUAGUUGCCGGUUUCUUAGAAUGGUGUGGGUUGAAACACUAUCUGCGAGGCCCUCGAUCUCUCCAACAGACAUACCUACAAAAGAGAGUAGAUAUAUGAGUAAAUAGGUCGAUAUCGAGCCAUUUAGAAGGAUCGAAAAAAAGCUAAAUGUAGCGACAAUCCCGAGAGUGCUAAAAAUUUCUCGCGCAGAAUGACCUUUGCGCACUAAAACAAUCAUAACUCCUUCGUUAAAAUAGAUAUGGACGAACCGUGAAAUGUUCUAAAAACUAGAAUUGUAGAGCUUUCCAAUGAUAUAAAGCUCACUGUCUAGUUCGUCCGGAGCUGUUCACAAAGCUCAAAUGAAGUGACAGUCCAGGGAGGACAGAUUACUGUUUUUCGCAAAUUUGGCAUUAGUGAAGCUUGUGAAGCGUGCCGGUGGCAUGGAGGCGUAUCCUCAGCCACAGUGACGUGUUGAUGAUCAAAUCCAGGUCCUGAGAACCUAGAGGAUUCGAUGAUGGUCCGGUUGUGCCAAGUCUUUAACGUCUUUUACAAGACGGCAAUUGGAGUAAUAGCGUAAAGGUAUUCCAAAAUCAAAAGCUUUCGGUAACUCCAAAUUAAGUAUGACCAGGCAUGUCCGUGGAGGGUCGGUAGUGCGAGGCACACUUAAACCACUAGCUCCUUAAUUUCGGACAAUUCUAAGACAUCAUACUAACUUGGAUGAGCCUAGUUGAACAAUUGAUGAUGGAAAAUCCGCUAUAGGGGAAAAGCUUGAACCGGAAAACAAGUUAGUAACCCUCCUUGAGAGUCACGGCGUUGAUGCCAUGUUUUCUAAGAUAGAUGUAAAUCAAUUCGAACCAAGUAGAGACAAGAAGAACCAAAAUGAAAACUUUCAUUAAUGCGCUGAAAAGAGUACAUAAGGGUCUCAAAAAAAAUAGAGAAGAAAACUAAGCAUGGCAUGCUAACGAUGCCUUAUUACAUCAUGACUUGUAAAAGAGAAAACAAUCUUAGCCGGUGACGUCAAAGUCAGGGGCAUCUAAGUCAGAACAUUGUCCAUUGGGGUCUGCGACCUUGAAGGUAACAUUAUGUUCAACUCCAUUGUUUUCAGUGGAAUUGACUUCCAUCAAUUCCUUGUAUUUCUUGUAUGCGGCAACAACAUUUGUAGAAGCGCGACAGCUUUUAUACUAGUGGUCCUUGGACCCACAUCUGUUGCAUUGACUGUCAAAGGCAGAAGAAGAGCGAACUUGCUGCUUCCGAGGAGGAGCGGCAACGCCCUUGGGGCCGGCGGCACCGGUGUCUCGACGCCAAGUGUUGGUUCGGCCACUAAAGCCACUUUGUCCCCGAGAACUAGAGGCACGGUGGUGUUGAGUCCCACGUGCAUAAGGUUCAUUCCGAUGUUGAUCCUUGCGUUUCGGAGCUUUCUGACUCCGCUUGCUGUUGUAAUUAGAUUCUGGAAUUUUUCGGGUGCCUACAGGACGCAAAUUAUGCUGAUCAUUGAUCAUGUUAUUCUUUUCUUCCAUAAGGAGUUGCGUCAUUAAGCCAUUAAAUGUAGUAAUCCUCUUAUUUGUGAACUCAAGCCGAUAUUGGUUCAUGAGGAUCUUAGCAGCUGAAGGGAAGGUCGAGAAAGUCUUUUCGAUCAUGUCAGCAUCACUUUUCUUGACUCCACAUGAGCUCAGUUGAGCUUGUAGGCAAAGCAUAUCCCUGUUAAAGUCAUCAACCUUCUUGUAAUCCAAAAGUCGGAUUUCAACCCAGCGAGCAAUUAGUUCUGGGAGCAAGGUCGAGUGAAUGUUGCCGAAGCGUUAGGCAAGGGCAUCCCACAGAUCUUUUGGAUCGUGCUUGGAUUAAUACUGCCUGCACAGUGUGGGAUCGAUAUGCUUACGAAAGAACAUGAGCGCCUGAGAUUUGGUUCUCUUAUGAGGCAGUUCCUGAGCUGGAUCGGGGAAUAUGGUCUCGGUCAGAUCCUUAGCGAUGAAGGUCUGCUCUAUGUCCGAGACCCAGCGAUGGUAUCGGUACCAUGGGCGUCGAGGACGUCAAAUUCAAUGCCUCUGUCCAUCUGCAUACAAGAGAGAACAAGUCGUAUUAGUUUUCUGUUGGAGACCCUAAAAAUGAUACUCAAAUACGAUGCUUUUGGUUUGUCUCUCUAGGGUUGAUCAAACACAACCCUAAAUGUCCGGAGUCAAUCAAACACGACCCGAAAAACUUGUGUGAAGGUGAUCAAACACACCUUUAAAAUAGCAAUAACCAAAGUUGACCAAACACAACUUUGGACUCGGGGAGGACAACCGGGAUUUGUAAACCUGUAAAUACACCGACCCAAGCAUGGAAUGGAGUAGAAGAAGAGGAGAAAGCACUUUAUGUCCCCCAAGGUUAUUGAACUUUGAAGAGUUUUAGGGUUGUAAAGAAAACAUACCGUAAAACUUGGAUGCUUGAUCGGAUGAGAGAGAAAGCAGUGGAGUGGACGGCCGGGAAGUGGCAGUCGGAGGGCGACGACGGUGGCAGCGGUGGCAGCGGCGGCGGCGGCGGCGGCCGAAGUAGGGCCAAAAGUUUUCAGCUUUGGUUUUAGGGUUUGGAAAAAUAUUAGCUCAAGGGUUGAGCAAAUGGCUGAUAACGUGAUGAAGUGAAAUAGGUUUGAGAAUAGAGAAUCGUGAAAGAUGUGUGUAUUAUUCAUUGAUAGGAGCCCUUUAUAUAGGGAGUUACACAAUACCAAUAUGGUAAGGAUAUAAAUACAUAGAUCUAGUCAAACUACAUAUCCUAAUGGCAUAAGGCCAAAGCACAUAUAAAGAAUAACUAGAAAGAUACAGAAUAUCCUAGAACAAGUUGGAUAUUUUGAAGCCCAAGAAUCUAAUGGCCUCAAGUGAUCGCCUCAGUUCGCACCCUUUAAAUUCCAAAUGAAUUGAUAAAUUUCUUGUAUAACAUAACAGUUAAUAAUUAUAUGGACAUACUUGUUUUGCAUGUAGUUAAUGUUCAAAGAAACUAAAAUGAGGAUGAGGUAUGUAAAGGAAAACAAAGAAAAUUUUAUAAUGUGUUAAUGUAUAACAUGCAUCAACUUUGUCAUAAAGUUGUAAAAUGUGUCCUCGAAAUGAUAAUAUUAGUCCUUAAAGUUGUAAAUAUUCUUAGUUACCACAUGAGUUCUUAAAGUAGUAAUAUUAAUCCUUAAAGUAGUAAUAUUAAUCCUUAAAGUGGUAAUACCAGUCUUUAAAGUGAUAAAAAAAAGUUAAUAAAACAAAGUUGAUACAACUUUGAGUAGUAUUACCACUUUAAGGACACAUUUUACCCUUAAAGACAAAUAUUGUAAUUAAAAUUUUACAACUUUAAGGACUCAUAUUACAACUUUAAAAACCAAUUUUACUAUCUCGAUGACUCAUUUUUCAACUUUAGACAAAGUUAAUGUAUAUCAUGCAUUAACACAUCUUAGCCUUGCCCGAGAAACAUUCUUAGUUUUGGAGAGACUUCAAAGUUGAAUUGCAUAACCAAACAAAAAUAUCACUAUGUCAUGCAUUAACACAUCUUAACCUUCUCUGAUAAAUAGUCUUGGCUUUAGAGAGACUUCAAAGUUGAAUUGCAUAACCAAGCAAAAAUAUCACUAUAUAUAUAUAUAUAUAUAUUAAUUGCACAUACAUGCAUCUCUAGGUAGAGAAAUAGGUCCAAAAUAUCAAAAUGAGACUCCAUUUAACAUUUGGUUUGGAAGACUUUGACUUAAUAGAGUGGCUUCUAGAUACACAAAAGGGGGUUUUAAUUAUUUUGUUUGGUAUAGGAGGAGAGGUAGGAGAUUAAUUGUUUGCUGUCCCAUGACAGCUUUCCAUUUUAACUACAUGAUUACUGCACUUGUAUUCAAUUCUUGAAUGACAAUGAAAAGUUUGAUAUCUAUAAUUCUAUAUAAUGCAAACCCAGACUGUCCACAAAACUCAUAUAUAGUUGAUAUCCCUUUAAACCAGGCACAAACUUCACCAACUUAGUUGUCCGAUUUUAUUGGGCGGUUGUGAGUUGUGAUCACUUGCUUUCAUUUGGGAAUGGGUAGCCAAGAUUUGCAACCAUUUGUCUUAAUUCAAUUGAAUCAACAUUUUCCUUUCAAAGCAAACUUGACCCUACAAAAUUUAUGCUUAUCUUUAGUGUCACAUGGUACUUGGAAAGAUUGAAACCCUUAAUUAGAAAUCACAAAGAAGAAGAAGAAUAGGUUAAGAUUUAUAUGAAACCCUCUAGCAUUAGUUAGGCAAAAGCUAGAAAUGCUUUGAUUGUGGUUUGGCUUGAGGUACUCUAGUUUGAAAUACUUUGCCAAUUCAUUAUUAUCAUUGCACCAAAAAGCAUGAAUCAAUCAAAACCCCAAGUUCGAUUCACCUUUUUGUCACUAACCGAUCAUAUUUGUUUCUCUUGUAUUAACAAUGUAACUACUUUUACGAUACUAACGUUAUAACCUAUGAUUAUUAACUAUAAUUGCAAGACUUGUCAUUGCUUAGAGGUAACCAAAUUUUCAAAAGAAUUAAAUUCAGUUUACCCCCCUGUGGUUUGGGGGUGACUUCAUGUUAGUCCCUACACUUUUAUUUUCAUCAGUUUACCCCUUGAACUCUUCAAUUUCUGUCUACCGUGCCUAAAUUCUCAUAUUCCGUUUGAAUUGACCUUUAAUUAUCAGCAGUUAAGGUCUGAUUUGGACAUAUAAGGUCUGAUUUGUCCAAAUUCUAGAUACUGGCCUCACAGUUAAGGUUAAAAUUAUCAGCAGUUAACGUCCGAUUUGGACAGAAUAUAGAACAUUUGGUCACGCUUGAGGAAAAUUCAAAAGUUUGAGGGGUAAACUGAUGAAAUUGAAAGUAUAGGGAUUAACAUGAAGUUACUCUCAAACUUCAUGGGGGUAAACUGAAUUUAAUUCUUUUCAAAAUAAGGGUUCGGUAAAUAUCAAUUAUUUUAAUGACAUAUAAUACACUUGAUAAUCAUUGAUAAUUCAACUCAAAUUCGCCGACCACCCUUAUUUGCCCACCCCCGCCAUCCAGAUUUAUGUCAUGUGUCUUUUCUUUUAACCAUCUCUAAUCAUGGUUAACUAUAUUUAAUUAUAAUAAUAAAUUCUAUAAUUCUGUUUUCUUUUAAUUCCAUAUGCAAAUAAGAUUAUAUUUUUGAACAUGUUACUUUAUAAUAAAGGGUUUGGGAUAUCCCUUGGUUGUUCAUCAUCCAUUGAGUCACAAUUUGCGAUGGAUUGUUUUCCUCAGUUUUCCUCUCAAGCCUUCAGUGCCUUUUAGUUAGAUUCUUUUCAAUUUAACUGCUCUCGGGCCUCGGGGCUUUUUGUUGUAAUUUUCUUAUUCUUAUAAGAAAGAAAAAAGAAUAAAUCUUUCCUUUAGAAGAUCAAGAGUCUAGACAUGGUUAGAGCAUAAAGUGCUUUUAUGAACUGCUUGUCUAGGUUCAUUAUAUCUAUAAUUUUUUGUUAUUUAGUUUGUUAACUGAUAAAUACUAUUUUGUCCUUAAUAAUAAUAUCAUGUGUAUGUCACGUGCUUGACACGUCAUCAUUUUAACAGAAUAAUAACACAAAUUACACAGAAGUAUCACACUUACAUCAAAAUAAGACUUCAGGUAUCACAUUAAUAUGGUAGAGUUUGGGUAUUAACUUGGUCUUGCUACUAAAGUUUAGACGUUGAUGCUAAAUUUUUUUACUAAACCUUUCCAUAUCUAGAAAAUAUGGAAAAGGGAAAUUAGAUGAAUUUAACCAAACACAAAGGUGUAGUAGAGUAGUUGAAACUUUAAAAAGUUAAAAAAGUUAAAAGUGACGCAAUUGCAUGCAUAAAAAUAAGAGAGAAAGAGAUAGAGAUAGAGAAGAGUGUGAUUACAAAAAGGUUGAGAGAGAAUAAGACUAAAGGGGUUAAAAAGCCAUGACCGUGCGCGAUUGAUAGAGUUGCGUGUGGAAAGGUUCAACAACGGCUAUCCCACUCGACUCCAACACGCGUGCUUCCUAGUCCCGCCAUUGGGCAGGACAGACAGCGCGGCGCGUCGCGUGACGCUUUACCCGCUGCACGUGGAGUACGUAUUUGGGUCACCGUUAGAGAUUAGAAGAGGAAAAGGAGGAAGUGAGAGCGUGAGAGUGAGUCAAUGGGAAAGUCGGUCAAUGAAUUCAGAUGGGGGAGUCGACUUUUUACUUGGGCUUCUCUCUUCUCUCUUAAAAAGCAAAAGUGUGUCUCUGUCUCUCUUCCAUUAUUUUUUUUUUUUGGUAUAUCUCUCUUCCAUUAUCUUUAAUAUUGACAACCCUUUACCCUCCUGUUGGUGAAAAAGAUUCAUGCAAAUCCACCUUUAUUUGGUCAGAAAUUUCCUUUUCCAUAUCUGUUUUUUUUAUUAAAUGAAAUAUCAUUCAUACGGAAGAUGUUACAAGCGGUAUGAAUAAUAUAAAUAAGGUCACUAACGGACCACUUAUAACAAAUUUCAGACCGAAGGCCAAAAAAAUUACUUCCUAAAAGAGCUACCAAAUCUCUGGUACACAAUGAGACAAGAAAAUGAUCAUCAAGACCAGAAGACUCGUCCGACAAACUGCCAACAGAGUUGGAAAGAUAGCCUCGGCAUCCCCAAUGGGUAGCAGCUCUAACCCCAUGCAGGACAACAGCUCGAGUCAACUCCGCCUCCUGAUUAGUGAAUACACGUGAUAAUUGUGGGUGUAAACCGACAUCAUUAUAUCAGUAGUGUAUUGUAAUCUGCCCAAGCACAACCACAACGGGUCAAAUUAUUCAAAACACAGAAACAAACAUAAAGCUAACAAAAAAAAACAAAACAAAACAAAGGGAUGCAGCACUUCUCUUGGAUCGGCAAGAUCAGACCCGACUGGGCCUGCCCAAGAACAAAGUCCUAGGCCCAAUCCAAAUAAAACCCGGCCCAGAUCCAAGAGCACUCCAAACAACAGCUUCCAUCAAGACCACCGCCGCCGACCCUCAGCGUCUCCAUCGAGCUACCAACAGAUGAUGAUCGAGACUGAAUCCACCAGCCUACGUCGCCUUCACCGACGAAGCAACCCAAAUCAGAUCUGCAGCCCCCCACACCUUACAUAACCAACCCCUAGAACAGCUAGCCAAAACACGGUUGAGGAUCCGAGAUCUGACACCAGAUCACUAGAGAACCUCAACACUUUUAGCUCCCCGCCCAGAUGAGCCCGAUCUGAAACAAGAGGACACCAGAUCGGGGCACACAACCCCCAAAGACUAACCUCUCCACCAGCGCUGCACUCGGAUCUCCAAACUUCCCGGCCGAAGGCGGAUCUUCAUACUGAAACUCUCACAAUCCUCCUAGCCAAACUAGACACCAACCCAAGAAGGAAGACCAAAGCCGGAGCCAGCAAAAACGGCUGCAUCCCGACCGAAAUCCUCUCUUGAUCGAGAUGCAUCGGCAGGGCGCCGCCGGCGUUCGACCGAGAGAGAAGCAAAACUCUCUCUCGCUUUUUCUUUUCCUUAGGCACGUUCUAGGCCCGUGGCUCUAAUCCUACGAAAUGUCUAGCUCUCCUUUUCCAUAUCUAGGUUUCUAGUAUCACGAAAAAUGCAACCCACCUCAACAUAAUGUUUAAAUAUUUUUGUUAAUGAUUAACUCAUACCUAAUUGUCGAUCGUAUAAGUAGUCGUUGAGUUGUGAUAUGUUAGUUGUUUAAGAUAAUUGAUAUCGUGAAGAUAAAAUGUACAUAUACAACUGACAUUAUGAGAUUUAUAUGAUUAGAUAGAAAUUGUCGUUUCUAUGAAAACAAAUAUUUAGUUUCGUAUGCUCAGAAUGGAGAUUCUGAGUUCGCUUCGUAGUCAUUUACAAAUUGUGUAAUAUAAAAAUGUUGUGUUUUGGAAUAUUCAUAAUUUCUUGAAUUAUGGAGAUGCAAUGGAUUUUUAAGUAUGAAAACUCUAGAAUAAUGUGCAAGUUGUCCUUAACAUUAUGGAGAUGUUUCAAGUAAGAAAGUUUGAGUUGUGGACUUAUGGUCAUUAAAUUCUGAGGUGACAAUCAGAUAGUUGCAAAAGAAUGAACAAUCUUGAUCGCACGAUACUAUUAAAGGAUGUAGAUAGUCAUUUAUAUGAAUAGAUACAAUUGUCUUGUACCGUUUGGUCUAGUAGCGUAAGUUUAUUUUUGUAGGUGAAAAGUCGUGAGUUCAACUCUAAUUAUAUACUAGUUGUAACAUAUAAAUUGUUUAUUUAAUAAAAAAAGAAAAAAAGAAUAGUUUUGAAGAUGAGUAGUGCUACAUACACCAAAAGGUUAUAACAAAAUCUAAUACCAAAUUAUAUAGCAUCAUAUGUGGCAACUCCAUGUCACCACAUUCAAUUGACAUUUUGCAUAUUCAUUUUUUAAAUUAAUAAAUAACCCUAAUAAUAAUAAUAAUAAUAAUAAUAAUAAUAAUAAUAAUAAUAAUAAUAAUAAUUAGUUUCUUUAUAUGAAUGAAAAACUUGAAGAGAUUAACCUAGAAAUAUCAUAAACGUAUAAAAAAACCUAGAAUAUCAGAAAACUAAUCAUCAAACAUACACAACAGUAGGACAUAUAUGUACGUUAAUCCUUGUUACUGAGAUUUUUCGUUUGUUCAUUGGAACUUUUCUCAUUAAUCUAGGUUAAUAUACAAAUUUCAGAAAAACAGGACUCAAAUAUUAAUAACUUGACUUUGGUCUUCAUAAAUAAUGCUUGUCACUCUGUGCGAACAAAAGAGUUGCUCUACAAAUUACCAUGAUCAUAGAGGCUAUGGUGCUUCCCUGGAUUUGGGGAUACUUCCAUUCCCAUAAGGGUUGGAACUGUAACACCUUGACCUAGGUGUUAGAAAAAUAAACGAAUAAAAUAAAUAAGGAAAUCCUAAAUCGAAAAUGAGAUAGGAUCUCAUUAUCAAACAAAACCACAAACAUUUUUGUCGCGUUUGGAACCUAAAAUUUAUUUUGUUAAUUUGCGGCUGCACCCAAAACUUGAUCGGGCUGCCUACGUACCCUUUUAAAGGGAUCAAACCACUCGUAGUUCAACAUUUUAUUCUACUUCUCUACCUUCACUAACAACAUCUCAUUUACCACCAUAAGUCCAAAAAUCAAAACCCCACACUUGACUCGCAACACAACCUACUCAAGUGCCAAAGAGUGUGUAUAUGUAUGCACACAUACAUAUAUAUAUAUAUAUAUACCCAAUCAAAAUUUCGUUAGAAUAAUAUAAAACUCAACUUAUGCCAAUCAUCAAACAUGCAUUCUUUCACUUUGAACCCAAAUUUACUAAACAUUCUAACUUAGAUUUACUAUGGACACCCAUUAGAUUGACUAUGGACACUCAUUUCGACUAAAACCAAUCACAAAUCUAUACAUAACACUCCGAUAUCCACUUCCAUGCAUAAACACAAUCCAACAACUGUCUAAUAGUAGUAUUCCUAUACCCGGUUAUCAAUUUUAACCUUUAAUAUCGUUAGUCUUCGGAAAAAAAAUCUAAAAUCUAACCAACAUCCUAAUUUACUCUCAACACCCAAGACUAUCAUUUUCAUUUUUUUUCUCCCUUUCUAUAUCUCAAACUAAAAGACUCAAUGUCUCAAUCAAACUCCACAUGCAUGUCCAACCUUCCCAAAAGGUCAUAGCAAUAAACCUGCAGUACGACAACGCUACUGCAUGAAUCAAAGCAAUACAAGUAGAAUGAUGUCUCAUAUUAACAAAACACACAUAGCCAUUUCUCCAUCACCCAACUUCCUCCUUUCUGCAAUUCAAGCAACACAGUUGGAUUCUACUGCUACUGCCAAGCUCACCAGAACCCAGAAAUACUCAACCACCACUAUCGCCGUCGUCGAGCACAACAACCGCACACAUUGCCCAAAAUCUCCCAUUCUCCAAAACUCUACCAAUAUUGAAUUCAAGCAUCUCAACCUACUCCUUUAAAAUCAGGAUACUAACAAAACUAGAAACUACCAGAACAACCACCUACCGCCGCCGUACACAGCAUCACUCACGCGCGGCCAACACUACCCAAAUUCAAAUUCAACAAAACUCAACCAAUCUUAAUUCCAUGUAUAUACAGAGAUAAAGCUUGAAGAGAAGAUCAAGUGUCAUACCUCGCUUGGCUUCGCCGGUGGCCGAAAAACACUAAGAACACGGCCUAAAACCUAAAACAUUCCUCUGCUCGAUUCUCUCUCCUUCGCUUGGAACACCAGUACUACAACGUUCAGGGAGUUGAGGAGAAGCUACCAGCACCGGUCAUGCUCACCGUUGUGGUCUGGAUCGAGAACUCACCGACGAACCCAACCCCUCAUUCUCCUUCUUCGAUUCUCUCUCACCAGACUUCGUCUUUGAAAAUAAAGACCACAGAGCGACUUAUGACGUAGAGAUAAAGCCGUCGCCACCAGUUAGACUCGACGCAGCCGCCGGAGAACGGAGAACCGGUCGGGUUGACCCGUUGACUCCGUUCGGGCCAGAGUGACCCGGUCUGGGUCUGAACUCAAUUUGAUCCCGUUUCCCUCUCUCCCGAACCUUCCUUUACUCUUCUCUUUUUUUUUAUACCCUUUACCAAAACAGUAACUUUCCGUUUUUAGACCAUAACUUUCUCAUAAAAACUCCGAUUUGAGCGUGCCAUGUGUCCACGAACUCGUAUUAAUGUCCUCUACGACUUCCAUGAAGGACAUUUUCCCAAAUUAUCGACUUAACGAAAAGUCAACUUUUUGGGUCCUUUACGGUAAAACGGUUAUAAGAAAUAAUAAUUGAAAAUUCAUUGUAAACUUCAUAAAUUCAAAGAACAUAACUCGUCGCUCCGGAAAAUAAUCCGGGCAUACCGGUGAGCUUGUAUAAGCGUGUACAAUGACUUCGGAGUUUUAAAUCCACUAUUUACCUUUUUCAGAAAAACUCGAAAACAAACUCGAGCAAUCACUAUUUAAAUCUUUGAGCGCGAAUAAAGAAAGUCCACGGAAAUUCAUAACCCCGAACAGUAACCUUUUAGGUAUGGGUAUUACAGGAACUCAGAAGAGUAACAAUGUUUUUUUAGUUAUGAACGUUGAGUAACAAUGUUGGAGGAAAGGCUUUGGGUUCUAAAUGGGAAGAUGCAAACAGGUGGAUUUUGUAAUUUUUAUUUUAGAUUUUGUGAUUUGUAUUUUUUGAUAUCUAUUCAAAAUCAAAAAUUUUACAUUUUAUUAAGACAUGGAGGAAAGUAUUAGUUAUUAGUUUUAACAUGAUGAUGUGGUAUGUGUCACAUCAUUUUGUAUAAAGUUUUUGUAUAAUAUUUUGGUGUCUUUAGCAUUUUUUUUGAGAAUAUAAAGAUAUAAAAAUAUAGAAAUUAAAUAUGAAAAGCGCUUUAUUUAAAUUGGAUUUCGGGUGGAUCAGUGUGGUAGCUUUGUCACCAUUCUUCACCCUUGUAUUUGUAUUAGGUAGAUUGUAAUGUUUUUCUAAGGUCCUUAUUCUAAUUCCAUUUGUUCUUUGAAGGGAAGAAAAAAAUAAGGGGGCUGAGAUUUACACAUCCCUUUUUACAAUCCACACACCCUUAUCCUAUUUUUUAUAAGUAAAUGUCUAAAAUGUCCUUAUCUUAAACAACUUAAAGAGAUUAAAACAUGGAUAGUUUAAACAUUUUCUUAUAAAAAAUGAGACAAGGGUGUGUGGAUUGUAAAAAGGGGUGUGUAAAUUUCACUCCCCAAAAAUCAACAUCAUCUUUAGAAGAGAAUCAUAAGAAAUAAAAAAAUCCAAAUCAAUUAAUUGAAUAAUAAAGAGAAGAUAGAUGCCAUAAAAAAAAAAAAAAAUUGAGAGCGGAUUUGCUGUGGUCAUCACUGCUCACUUGCUCAGAAAUCAUCUUCCAGAAAUCCUUGCAAGCUUUAAGCAUUUCCAAUAUUCCAAGUUCCAAUUCCCUAUCCCCCCAAUAUUCCCUAGACAACAAGGUCCCUAACUAACCAAGCUUAUCUGCUGCUCUUAUAAGUUAGUUUAGCCUGAACCCAGUAAUUUACAUAUAUAAACAGCUGGGUUCUGUUUUACUUUACCAGGUCUCUGUUUUAUUCCUCCUUCUCUUUUACCAUUUUUAUAAAUGUUAACUCCUUCUGAGAGAGAGAGAGAAAGUGGGAAAGCAAGAGGUUCGUGUGAUGGAGGGAUCUGAUCUUUCCUUUUCGCGUUGAAUUCUCAUAUUAGCUUUUUUGUGUGACACACAGUUGGUGAGAGAGAAAAGGCAGAAAAACGAAAGCAAAGAAGAAGCAGAGAAGAAGGAAGUAGAUGUAUAAGAAGCAGAGAGCUAUAGCUUUCCUUCGAUUUUUUGGUUUUGUUUUGUAAACAAAAAAAGAAGAAGCUAUAUUUGUAGAUUGGUUUUAUUCUUUCUUUUCCCCAUCAGACCCUGAAAAUGCAAAUUUGUCUAAUUUGAACAAGGCAUCCACACCUGGACCUGUAACCAUUUCCAUUGGUGGGGUAACUCGUACUCCUGACUCAAAUUCCUGAUAAGCUUGAAUUUGAUUUCAUAUCUCAAAACCCAACUUAUAACCGCAGCAGAAAGCUCAGACAGAGAAUCUUUGAUCAAAAGAAAUGAGAGCAGGCCUGAGCACGAUCCAGCAAACCUUAACGCCGGAGGCGGCGAGCGUCUUGAACCACUCGAUCGCCGAAGCGGGUCGUCGCAACCACGGCCAAACGACGCCGCUUCAUGUUGCGGCAACUCUUCUUUCCUCCCCCACCGGCUUCCUCCGCCAAGCAUGCAUCAAAUCUCAUCCCAAUUCAUCUCACCCUCUCCAGUGCAGAGCGCUCGAGCUCUGCUUCAGUGUCGCCCUGGAGCGGUUGCCCACGGCGCAGAACAUGAGCCCCGGGAUGGAGCCGCCCAUCUCCAAUGCCCUCAUGGCCGCCUUAAAGCGGGCCCAGGCCCACCAGCGCAGAGGCUGCCCGGAGCAGCAGCAGCAGCCGCUCUUGGCCGUCAAAGUCGAACUCGAGCAGCUCAUAAUCUCGAUUCUCGAUGACCCCAGUGUUAGUCGGGUCAUGCGGGAGGCCAGUUUCUCUAGUCCGGCAGUUAAAGCGACCAUCGAACAGUCUCUUAACUCUUCAUCAGCGGCGGCGGCAGCGACCUCUACCGUCGCCGCGAAUUCGUCCCCAAUUGGAUUGGGGUUCCGGCCUGCGGGACCGCCCGCCGGUCGGAACAUGUAUUUAAAUCCCCGGCUGCAGGGAGCAGCAGGGCAAUCGGGGCAAAACCGAGCAGAGGAAGUUAAAAAAGUUGCUGAUAUUUUAUCAAGGGGGAAGAAGAGGAAUCCGGUAUUGGUCGGCGAUUCGGAGCCGGAGGCUGUGACGAAAGAGCUGUUCCGGCGGAUUCAGAGCGCGGAAUUGGGAGAAGAGCAGUUAAAGAAUGUGGAGAUCAUUCAUUUGGAGAAGGAAUUUUCUUCGGAGAGGGGGCAGAUAUUGGGGAAGAUGAAAGAGUUGAUGUCUUUAGUUGAGACGCGGAUGACCAGUUCGAAUGGGAGAGGGAUGAUUCUUGAUUUGGGGGAUUUGAAAUGGUUGGUGGGGCAGCCGGUUAGCUUGGGAACGGUUGGUCCCGGCCCCGGUGGCCAACAGGUGGUUUCGGAGGCGGGACGGGCGGCGGUGGCGGAAAUGGGGAAGGUGUUGGGGAGGUUCGGUGAGGGCGGUGUUAAUGGCGGUGGCCGGCUUUGGUUGAUAGGGACGGCUACUUGUGAGACUUAUUUGAGGUGCCAAGUCUAUCACCCUUUAAUGGAAACUGAUUGGGAUCUACAGGCAGUGCCGAUUGCUGCCAGGACACCUUUUUCCGGAUUGUUUCCCAGGUAUGUUCGCUGUCCGUACUUGUCUGAAUUGGAUCAUGGAAAUUUUUCUUCUAUUUAUGUAAUGAUGUUCUGUUGAUCUGACACCUUGAAGUAUCUGUAUUGAUGAAUGCUAUAAAUUGCUGUUUAUGGCAUCUUCAGUAAUGCUCUAUUAAAUUCUUCUGUGCAAAGCUAUUAUGGAAGAAGGAGUUCCUUAAUUUUGAAUUCAAGAGUAACUGAUAGUAUCUCGACUUAUACUUGUUAAUUGGCAGGGUCUAGUUCUAACUUCCAUAUAAACUUGUUUCAGUAAAUUUCUUGUUACUUAAUGUAGUCUGCAUAAAUCAUAAUCAGUCCAAAGUAGGACUUUUGCAGGCCGCUUUCCCUCUUGCUGAAGUUUGUUUUUGUUUUUGUUAAUUAAUUUACCGACAUCUUUUGAAUUUUAGGAUGGGGACAACGAACGGGAUCCUUAGUAGCUCAGUUGAAUCUUUGUCUCCAUUGAAAGGCUUUCCGACUGCUCAACAGAGGCUUGUGGCUGAAAACUUGGAUCCUGUUCGAAGAACAAGCUGUUGCCCGCAAUGUACAGAAACUUGUGAGCAAGAAGUAUCAAAAUUGGUUGCAAAGGAGUAUGAGAAAUCAUAUUCUGAAUCAAAAUCGGAAGCAGCUCAACCAGCACUACCACAGUGGUUGCAGAAUGCUAAAGCCCAGGACAAUAAUGUCAAAAUGUCAGAUCAGUUGCAGGUGACUUAAACUCAGUCAAAUUGCUAUAGAUUCUUUUUUGUUUUGUUUUUGGUUCUAAUAGGAAAACAUUUUUUUUUUCUUCAGACCAAGAACCAAGAUCAGACCCUGAAUGAGAAGACUCAACAAUUACGAAAGGAAUGGAAAGAUACAUGCAUGCGCCUUCAUCCUAAUUUUCAUCAGCAUAGUUUCAGCUCAGAAAGAAUUGCUCCACAACCUCUCUCAAUCACCAGCAUGUACAAUAUGAACUUGCUUGGUCGCCAAUCUUUCCAACCGAAAUCGCAACCAAACAAAAGUUUUGGGGCUCUGCAAUUGAACACAAAUCUACAGACCAGCCAAUCAUCGGAACGUGCAGCAGUUUCGCAUCCACGAAGCCCUGUAAGGACGGACCUUGUGCUUGGGCAAAAAGAAGUUACUGAAACCACCACUCCUGAGCAAAUGCACAAGGAGCACGUCAAAGAUUUCAUGGGCUGCAUGCCUUCUGAACCACUGAACAAGUUACUUGAAAGGCAAACAGAUGAUAAGCAAUUGUGCCAAUUAGAUGCUGAUUCAUUCAAAAAGCUAUACAAGGGUUUGAUGGAGGUCUGGUGGCAGCAGGAAGCAGCAGCCGCUGUCGCUUCAACUAUAACCAAUUGUAAGUUGGGUAAUGGAAAGAGGCGUGGUGCCGGAUCAAGGGGAGACAUGUGGUUGUUGUUUAUGGGUCCGGACAGUGUUGGCAAGAAGAAGAUGGCAUCAGCUCUUUCAGAAAUGGUAUCUGGAUCCACCCCGGUGAUGAUCUCUCUUAACAAUAAACGUGGUAGUUGGGAUUCAGACAUGAGUUUCCGUGGAAAAACGGUGGUGGACCGAAUAGCUGAGGCUGUGAGGAGGAACCCCUUUUCUGUAAUCAUGCUUGAGGACGUUAAUGAAGCAGAUAUGAUAGUUCGCGGGAGCAUAAAACGAGCAAUGGAGAGAGGUCGUCUUGCCGACUCUUAUGGCCGUGAAAUCAGUCUUGGAAAUGUCAUCUUUAUUCUCACUGCAAAUUGGUUGCCAGAAAAUCUGAAACACUUAUCAAAGGUCGAUUCACUUGAAGAAAAGCUUGCUUGUAUAGCUAGGAGUGGUUGGCAGUUAAAGCUAUCCAUUUGUGGAAGAAGUACAAAACGGCGAGCAACAUGGUUACAGAGCAAUGAAGACAGAGCCACAAAGCCUAGGAAAGAUGCGAGUUCUGGACUAGGAUUCGAUCUAAAUGAAGCUGCUGAUGUUGGGGACGACAGAACAGAUGGUUCACUUAAUUCAAGUGAUCUAACAGUUGAUCAUGAAGAUGAGAACCGCCUCAAUAACAGGUCAUUGCUCACAAGUACACCUUCAUCAGCACCAAGGGAAUUGCUUGAUUCUGUUGACCAUGCCAUUGUGUUCAAGCCAGUGGACUUCAACCCUAUUCAGAAAAACAUCACAAACUCAAUUACAAGAAGAUUUUCAAUGAUCAUUGGCGACAGAGUUCCCUUGGAAUUGCAAGAUGAUACUGUUGAAAAGAUCCUUAGUGGGAUAUGGCUAGGCAAGACCGGAUUAGAUGAAUGGAUAGAGAAGAUUCUAGUCCCAAGCCUCCAACAGCUGAAGUCCAGCCUAGGUGUGACACUCGACGAGUCAAUGGUCGUUAGGCUCGAAGCUGAUGGAGAUUCGGGUUGCCGGAGACAAGGAGAUUGGCUGCCGAGUAGCAUCAAUGUGGUGGCUGACGGAUUAAGGCAAUGAUAAUAGUGAGAGUGGAGGGUAUAGUUCACAAUGUAUGUAAAUAUGAUCAACGGCGAUACAUGUGGUAUUGGGAGGGUAAAGAAAAGAACCUUACAAGAGGAAGAGGCGAUUGGAACCUGCUCACCUCUUUCUUCCAUUAGCUCUUCUUUUCUUUUUUUUUUUUUUUUUUUUUUUUUUUGAGAUUUUAAUUAUUAAUUUUUUUAAUUUCUCAAUGUUUUUAGCCCCAAAAGUUAAUAGUAUUUAUAAUCAUGAAUAUUUUUAUCAAAUUACAUGGACAUUGAUCAAUAAGAUGAGGCAUUCCUCCCCUUUACUUGGUACUCAAUUCAAGUCUCCUAUUUUAUCAAUUUUGUGUGAAGUGGGAUUGUUCACUUUUGAAAUGAGGGAACCGACCAUUCGGAUAGUGAUAGUGUCUGAUUAUAUAUAUUUCAUACAAUGAAUCACACUAGUAGCUACACAAUCCUUUGGCUCCGAAAACAUGGAAGAGUCGAAUUUAACUUUGGCUCCCUGUUUUCCGGUUCUGAUGAACAUAACGGUUCGGUUUGGCGUAUUAUACUAGCAGUCCACAUAGUAUCCACGUUCCCUCUUGACAACCUUCUAGUAUCGAAGAAUCGAGUAUCUAAGGUGAACAGACUCCGAUCGAUUUCCGCAGGACGAAACUGCGUCUCAAUCAAUCCCGUGGGCUGUUAGUGAACUGCUGAUGUUGAAAGCGUACAAUAGUACACAAGGAACCGCUAUUAUUGACAAAAGUGUGGAAUUGGAAUUGGAGAUGCAUUCAAAGAGGUACAAGAGAACACAAAAUGUGGGAUGCCAUGCAAGAUGAGGUGAAUGGGCAGAGAAGCCACAUGAAGAAGGGUGAUGCAUGGUCCAUGUAGCCACCCACAUGCAGGCUCCUCUUUUAUAAUCUUUGCAAGCUCAACAUAACCAGUUGCUAUAUAUCUUAAUUGGAUGUGUCCUCGAUCUACUUGUAUUUUUCCAGAUCAAAUAAAACACUCUCUCUCUCUCUCGAUCACUUAGCGUUAGAGCUAGAUGAGAAAAAGAGCAACAUGUAUAUUUGAUUCUUUGUCUGUGUGCUGGUGUGGUGUGAAAGGCCAGGCUUAAAAGCUUUAACUUGAAGCCAUGCAUUAAUGUAGUGAUCGAAGCUGAAGGUGACACAGCGAAAGCGAGACUACGAAACACAUGGACAAUGAAGAAGUUCGAUGAGUGAUAGAACGAGCAAGAGCCCUACAUGCCUAAUGUAGGAGUCAUAUCUCAUUCAAUUCCAACCAGGCCGACUUCCUUUCUUAAACCCCACAACUUUGUCAAAUUAUACAGCUUCCCAUUGAUAUUAAGCACCAGUGGCGUUUUUCCUCUUUCGUUUCAUACUCGUCAAGACAAUAUACCGCGUCAAUUAUGUAAAUGCCAUAAAUAUCAAGAAACAAAACUUACAUACUACGUUACACUUGUUUACACCCACAGCAUGCAGGAAAAACACAUCACUGAAUACUAUACUUACUUCACUAGUGCAUCACGAGUGCAUCUUGCUGUGGUCGUCGUCAUGCCAAGACAACGGCAAGCUUUAUUAGAUAGGAUUUCGCUUUUAGUUGGUUCAAAUGUAGGAUAUGAGACUAGCACUACUGGAAAAUAAAAGACUUAGGUGACAAACAGUUUUUGUCGUCUAAGUUGUCAUUUUCAUCGUCUAAGUUCUCAUGUGAUGAAAGUUUCGUCGACUAACAGUCGUGGCUUGAGCAUGGAGGCGUAAGAACUUAGGCGACGAAUAAAAAAGAAAUGGUCGCCUAAAUGGAUAGUUAGACGACUAUUUAUUCAUCAUCACAUAAGUCUAAGGUGAGGAAGACGAACACAUUUAGGCGUCAAAAAUUAUUGUCGCUAACACUUGGUGACGAAGGGAAAUUAUAGUUGCCUUAGUUUCUUUUUACGCGAUCAUUUAUUGAUCGUCGCUAUGUUUAAGGCGAGGAUAAUUGGCACACUAAGUCGUCGAGAGUUUUGUCACCUAACACUGGCGACGAUUCUAAAUAAUAUGGUUGUUGGAUUCUUAAUAUCUUAAACGACAAAAGUUUAAUUCUUCGUCGCCUCAAAGAUCCAACCCCGACCAUGAUUCCUCAUUUUUCACCGCAUAGGACUUAAUUCAACAUUUAAUAUAUAUGUUUUUAAAUUAUAAUUAUAUAUUAUUAAAAAAAUUAAUUAUUACUAAAAUGCACACAGUAAUUAUGUGUGCAUAUUUUCUGACACGACCCACCCCGAAUUUCACCCUGAAACCCGGAGUAAGUCGUGCGGGGACCACCUCCAAGAAAGAUAUUACCGAAAAAUCGGCAUAACCUCCCUUGAAAAUGGACAACCCUUCCUAAAGAAAACCUGCAAACACUUCCAAAAAUUUUAAUCCAUCCUUCACUCCUGGAGCCUACGUGCUCCCCAAAUACCACUACCACCAACAACGCAACAUUAUCCAAACAUCAAAUAUAAUUAUCCAAAAGAUAACAUAAAUCCUCCAACAAAUAUUCUAAAACGUCAACAAGUCUUCACCCACAACCGAAAUAAUAUACAUUAAACCCAAGUAUUCAGAGCUACUAAACACUAGCGGAAAAAGAAACCACAGGUAGGUUAAACAGGUAACCUACUGAUGAAAAGUGGUGGAAAUGCGGGUGACUAUGCCUCGCCUCCUACUAGAUCCAACCCGAACUCUGCAAACUGGGCAUUUUAAAACGAAGGGCCCAGGGGAAACAUUUGAACACGUUAGAGUGAGUGGACAAAAAUAAAAUAAGUAAAAUAAUUCUUUAUGCUUUCCCAAUUUUACUUUUCCAUAGAAAAAUAUGCUGCAUGCGACAGCUCAAAACACUCAACACGAAAACUGGAAAUUUCAUGACUAGCUCCGGCCAGUCUCCAAUGCUCAAUAAAAUACAGCAUCUCAGGCUAAAAUAAAAUAUGUAUGUAUUACACUCGUCAUAUCCCUUGUAUGAAUUUUCUUGAAACAACAAAAAAACAAAUAGAAAAUUCACACAAGGCUACGACGCUUGCGUCUAACGCUCACGUCGCACCAUAAUGGCAUUUUACCUUAUUAUGGUGGAAAAGACGGUGUAUAAAUAUACGCGCAUAUCCCCUAUAUAAAUUAUUAUUUUUAUAUAGGGCAACGACGAUUGCGUCUAACGCUCACGUCGCACCAUAANNNNNNNNNNNNNNNNNNNNCGAUCCGAACUUAAAUAUCAUCCUCGACAGUCGUAAAUAUAACCUCCCCAAAAAUACGACUUAAAUCUUACGGCCGGAUUCUAUAUUAAUUAACCGCCAAAAAUACCAAACUUCGGAAAUUCACAAACCUAUCCAAAUCUCAUCCAAAAAUUCCAUAAAUCACCUCAAUAUAAUCCCCUUAAUAUUCCACAUUUAAAACCCUAAAAAUCUCCCAAACCGGCGGCUCCGCCGGCAGCGGCGGCCGGAGGCCAAUUCCGGCGACCUCCGAAACCUAUGAAAUUUUGACAGAAUAAUCCUCUCAUCAAGCUCUACAACUUUCCUAACUAGCACAAACACCAAUUCCAAGCCUAACUAGGGCAAUCGACUAAAACAUCAAAACACCAUAAAACUUCCACCUCAAAUUUCUCCUUACCUAGCUCAAGAGGGAGUGAGUCCUUUUAGGGCAAGGCUGCUGGGUUGGAGGGCUACAAAACCAUACCAAGCUUGCUCGGAUUGGUGGCCGGAGGAGGGAGUUCCGGCGAAAUGCUUCCCGGCGUCUCCGGCGGGAUUUCUCCUCUUCCGGCGGGUUAGAGACUCGGGGGGCUAGGCCGGGGAGGGAGAGGAGGAGAUGGGGGCCGAACUGAGGUGGAGCAGUGGCCGGUGGCUGGCCGGACGGCGGCAGACGUGGGCUGGGCGAUCCGGCAGGGGAGAAGACUCGGGGGGGAAGGAGAAAAACGGGAGAAGAGAAAAAGAGGGAGAUGGGUUUGGGCCUCUCCAAACCGGUCCAAUACUCAUAUAUCAACCCACUCCAAAAUAAAACACCCCGAAAAAAAUAAUACCCGAAUAAAAAUUACCUUUUACUAGAUAAAAUUCACUAUUUUUACCGUCGUCAUAUUUUCCUCCUACGGAUAAACCUCCGCACAUAAUCGUCCCCGAAACCCCUCUAGGGACCAAUUAAACUAUUAACUCAAUGACGGAGACGGUAAAAUUCUUAUUAUAAUCAAGCCAGUCAAUAAGGUAAAAAUAUAACGGUCGGGAUGUGACAACUCUCCCCUCCUUAUAAAAAUUUCGUCCUCGAAAUUCACAUACCUGUCAUCCGAAGAGAUAGGGAUAUUGCUGCAUUAUUUGCUCCUCUGAUUCCCAAGUAGCUUCUUCUACUUGAUGACUCCUCCAAAGCACCUUGACAAGCGGAAUUGUCUUGUUCCUAAGCACUUGCUUCUUUCGAUCGAGAAUCUGAACCGGUUCCUCUUCAUAGGUCAAAUCUCUCGUCAAACUGAUCGGUUGCUCUUGCAGCACAUGAGAAGGAUCGGCAAUAUACUUGCGAAGCAUGGAUACAUGAAACAUAUUAUGUAUCCUAGCCAACUCUGGAGGUAAAAGUAGCCGAUAAGCAAGUGAGCCAACUCGCUCAAUAAUCUCAUAAUGGCCAAUAUACCUCGGGCUAAGCUUCCCACGUUUACCAAAACGCACAACCCCUUUCCAAGAAGAUAAUUUCAGGAACACCCAAUCACCCACUUGAAAUUAAAGAUCUCUCCUACGGACAUUUGCAUAACUCUUCUGCCUACUUUGAGCGGUCUUGAGUCUAUCUCUAACCACUUUAAUCUUCUCAUUCGUAACAUGGAUUAACUGUGGGCCACAAAGCUCUUUUUCCCCUACUUCAUUCCAACACAAAGGCGUGCGACACUGCCUCCCAUAAAGAGCCUCAAAGGGAGCCAUACCAAUGCUAGAAUGAUAGCUAUUAUUAUAAGCAAAUUCCAUCAACGAUAGGUUUUUAUCCCAACUCCCUCUGAACUGCAAGGCACAAGCCCUCAACAUAUCCUCCAAAGUCUGAAUAGUCCUCUCGGACUGCCCAUCAGUCUGAGGAUGAAAAGCAGUGCUGAAGAGUAAUUGGGUACCUAAAGCUGCCUGAAGAGCUCCCCAGAAUUUAGAAGCAAAUCGAGGAUCCCGAUCUGACACUAUUGAUUCAGGAACACCAUGAAGCCUUACAAUUUCAUUCACAUAAAGCUCCGCCAAUUUAUCCAAUUUAUACUUCUUUCCCACUGGCAAGAAAUGUGCAGACUUGGUGAGUCUAUCCACAAUCACCCAAAUACCGUCAUGCCCUUCACGGGUACGAGGUAAACUAAAAACAAAAUCCAUGGUGAUGUGGUCCCACUUCCACACUGGAAUAGGCAACGGCUCAAGCAAUCCAGAAGGCUUCUGCCUUUCAGCUUUUACUUGCUGACAAACCAGACAUCUACUCACAUAAGCUGCAAUUUCCCUCUUCAUGUUUGGCCACCAAUAAUAAUCCUUCAAAAUCCGAUACAUUUNNNNN